rnacentral:lncRNA from 1 species
CUUGCUGACCACCUUGCCGACCCAAUUAACAAUAACGCAUGGUCCUACGCUACAAACUUUGUUCCCGGAAAAUGAAGUUCUUUAGAAACAAAAAGCACCUCCUCUGUUAUCACAUUUUUUGUCUUUGUAAAGCUAAUGUAAACUUUAGUGAAUAUUAUAUGUGAAUUUUGUUUGAUUGUGUAGUUCUCAGUUACAUUUCCGUGAUUUCCUUAAGUUAAAUACAAGUUAAAAGGGCGCAAGUUUGACAUUUCAGAAGGACUAAAACAAAUGUAAUAGUAACAACAAAGCCGUUCAAUAUCCCCGCCCUCCAAACCGGACAAUAGCUACUUUUGCCCCGUUUAAGCUAAAGCAUAAGAAUGACGAACUUGGUGCUCCCCGCCCGUUGUUUGAACGACGUGAGCCGAGUCGGGUCUCAAUUCGUUCAUUAUCAUUCCAAUAUAUAUAACUCCAUUAUUAAAAAGUUUGCCAUAGUAGAAAGAGUUUACUAUUUAUACACUUAAAAUAUAAAAGUUUUUUUUACAUUAUCAUGUUAUUUAAAAGAGUUAAAUGUCCAGGAGCAUUAAUUUAGUUGCAUAUAAGCCAUUAUAUAUCCACAAGGACAACAAUGCUGGGUUGUAGUCACUUUUGCAACUUCAAUUUCGUAAAAUCUUAUAUUUUACUUAUCAAAAGAAGGAAUUCACUUUUUUUUAUAUAUAUAUAUUUUUUUUGUUUUUCUACCACAUUACAAUGAUGGGAAGAUAUAUUUCUGCAGAUUGACAAUAGGAAGAAAAUCUUAUCUAACCAAAUUUAAAGCAACAAGAAAAAUAAUCUUAAACUAUUGCAGACCUUUUUUCCAUCUCUGUCAGGGAAAAAACUAACGAAAUAAAAGCAUUAAAAAUUGUGUGAAAAGUUCCACCCAUUGUUUCAUAAGAAGGAAAGCGUUUAUGAAUACUAACGGGAAGAGUGUAGUAGGAGGGUAAGAAGUAAAAUGAUUGUUUAACUUACGUGCCGACCAUGGUAGCCCUAUGCACUAAGCUCCCGUUAUGUAUGGGGUCGGGAGAAGGAUCGAACCAUAAGGGUCUAUUGUACGCGACUUACCCUGUAUUUUUACAAGAGAUUUUUUUCACGGUUUGAACUCGUGACCGAACCACAAGGUUCUAUUGUACGCGACUUACCCUGCAUUUUUACAAGAGACUGUUUUCACAGUUUGAACUCGUGACCUCUCGUAAAGAAAUUUUUAUUAUUAUCACAUUAACCCAAAAAAUCUAUACAUAACCCUUCCAUAAAAAGUGAGAUUUGUAAUCAUAGAAAUAAGGCAAAUUUUUUGUUACAACAGCUAUAGUUAUCCCUAAGGGACGACCCAGUUGGGUUUGGAGGGCGCGGUCUACAUGGGCGACGCAUAUUCGAACUACCUCAAUGCCCUAUGGGUCUGAGCAUGUCGCACAGAGCUUGCCUAGUACGAUUUACAUUACCUGUGUGGUUUGCAAGCUACUACAUAGUGGGGGGUUUAUUCAGUGUGCACAGAGUACUCACCCGAAGGGCAGAGGCUGUAGCGUCUGCGUGCUUUCCUGGGUGUUUAACCAAAAAAUAGGACCUUGGUCAAAGCUAGAAAUUUAUGAAAAUACGGGCUACUGAUAAUCAGAAGAAAAUAUUAAGAAAGACUUUUGAGAAUGAGAUAGUAAGAAAGCGAGUGAAUCAAGUAUAUUCCAAUAAUUCCUUGUAUCGUACAAUUAUUGUUUCUUUCCCCUUUUAUAGCCUUUUAAAAAUACGGGCUACUGAUAAUCAGAAGAAAAUAUUAAGAAAGACUUUUGAGAAUAAGAUAGUAAGAAAGCAAGUAAAUCAAGUAUAUUCCAAUAAUUCCUUGUGUCGUACAAUUGUUGGUUCUUUCCCCUUUUAUAGUUGUCACGACCCAAUUCCCCACACUGGUCAUGAUGGCGCCUCUCAUGAAGACAAGGCCAGCCAACUAACCCAAUUAGACCCCUUCCAAAUAAUUAAACAUGAAUGAAAGGCAAAAUACGAAUUAAUGACAUUGAUUAACAAAAUUUACAACUCAAUGCAUGUCACAAGUUACGAUCAUCUAGAAGGAUUUUUUAUAUAACAACACGGUCUAAAAUACAUGGAUAUAAUCUGGAAUCAAAAAGGAAGAAAUCCUGUGCCGCGAAUGCUGGCGGUCACCUUGCUCAGCUAUGAUAGCAAAUCCUCAACCAGCUCAACCCGCUACCGGGUAAAUCAAUACCUGCAUAUGCACGCGAGGUGCGGGGAGUAAAGUGAGUACUCCAACUCAGUGAGUAAUAAGGGUAAAUGAUAACUGAGCAGCAAGAAACCAUAUAAAGCAAGUAAUGAUGCUAUAUAGUACAAUGUAACCCUUUGAGAAAAUAGUGAAAACAUGGCACGCGAGGUGCAUGGAGUAAAGUGAGUGCUCCAACUCAGUAAGUAAUAAAGGUAAAUAAUAACUGAGCAACAAGUAACCAUGUAUAGCAAGUCAUCAUGCUAUAUAUUACAGUACAACCCUUUUGAGAAAACAGUAAAACCCUGAAAUCCUUUGGAAAACAUCUGGGCUCAGUUAAAACCUCUUUUAAAAAUAUUUCUUUUCAAUAGUUUAAGCAAAUGAACGUGACACGUAUAGUGCAAGUCAGCAUGUAAGUCAGCCCCUCAGGCACAACAAUCCAUCAACAAAUAACACUGGGGUAUCGGGUAAAUAGUGCAAGAAGUAGCAUGUUUGCCAAUGAAAUGAGAGUACUGUAUGCCAUGGCAACUAGUACAAAUAGGAACAAAUGCAUGAGUGCAACGCAAUGCAUAUUAUGGUAUAUUUCAGUACCCACUGCGACGUGCAACAUGAUCCACCCAUAUUUAUUUAUCGUUGACGGUGUUCACUGGGGUUGUGUACAAACUCCAGAGGGGCUCCUACAACCCAAGCUCAAUAACAAGUCAUCUCGUUGCAUCAAUCAAGUCCUGGUCAGUCAUUGUUACCUGACCAAUUUAUAUUACACAGUGCCAUUGUUACCACUAUUUCAAGUCACAUCACAUAGUAUCAUUGUUACCACUGUUUCAGGUCACCGCUGCGGAAAUCCUGAAAUCCUUUGGAAAAUAUCUGGGCUCAGUUAAAACGUCUUUUGAAAAUAUUUCUUUUCAAUAGUUUAAGCAAAUGAACGCGGCACGUAUAGUGCAAGUCAGCACGUAAGUCAGCCCCUGGGGCACAACACUCCAUCAACAAAUAACACUGGGGUAUCCGGUAAAAGUGCAAGAAGUAGCAUGGAUGCCAAUGAAAUGAGAGUGUUGUAUGCCAUUGCAACUAGUACAAAUAGGAACAAAUGCAUGAGCGCAAUGCAAUGCAUAUGAUGGUACAUUUCAGUACCUACUGCGGCGUGCAGCCCGAUCCACCCAUAUAUAUUUAUCGUCGACGACGCUCACUAAGGUUGUGUACAGACUCCGGAGGGUCUCCUACAGCCCAAGCGCAAUAACAAGCCAUCUCGUGGCAUCAAUCAAGUCUUGGUCAGUCAUUGUUACCUGACCAAUUUAUAUUACACAGUGCCAUUGUUACCACUGUUUCAAGUCACAUCACACAGUAUCAUUGUUACCAUUUUUUCAAGUCACCGCUGCGGCACGCAUCCCGAGCCACCCAUAAUCAGUCCAUAAAAACCUCAUAAUCCCCAUAGGCAUUUAUAAAACAAUAGUUCUCAGCCCGAAAUAACAUUUAAAAUAUCAUUUAAAUUUUCAAAACUUAAAAGUGUGGCUGAGUUUGUAAAAACAAUAUUUAAAAUCUUGGACAGUAAUCAAAUGAUAUGCAACAUAUGCUAAAAUAGUAAUCUCAAUCCCCAAAUGAUUCACAUAGUUGGCACGAAGCUCAAACAUGACAAUCAACCUAAAUUAUGGUGAUAACAAGUAGUUUUGGUUAAAUAUGCAGUAAAAUCAACAACCGGGACGAACCAAGUCACAAUCCCCAAUAGUGCUCUACUCCACGCUCAUACCCGACGUACAAGUCACUUCAAUACAACAGUGUGAUGUGCAAAUCCGGGGUUUCAACCCUCAGGAUAUCAUUUACAAGUAUUAAUUACCUCGAACUGAUAAAAUCUCUAGCUUGUGAUGCCUUUGCCCCUCAAACUGGCCUCCACGCGCAUCGUAUCUAAUCAAAAUCAGAGCGAAUACAUCACAAUAUGCCAACGGAACAAUACCUAAUAAAAAACAAUCAAGAAAUAGCAAAAAUCUCGAAACUAGCAAAACCUGAGCCCCGGGCCCGCUCCUCGAAAAAUUACAAAAUAUACGUUACCGGAUUCUUCGUCUCACCACGAGUUCAUACAUACCAAGAACUCCCAAAUCCGAGCUCAAAUGGCCUAUCAAAAUCCCAAUUUGGAAAAUAAAAAAAAACUCAAACCAUAGCCUCUAUUUAUAACCUUUAAUUCCUUGAUUUUUCAGUGUUAAUCCAUGUUUAUACACAAUAAUAUCAAAAUCUAUGUCCAAGAAUCCACACCUGAUGAUAGCCCCCGAAACCCUCUUCAAAAAUCGCCCAAAAUCUCCUUAGUCUGAAGUCCAAAGUGUUUGCUCUUUCAGAAAUUGCGAAGAAUACUUAACUUAUUAUUCUACCCAGAUUUCCGCUUUUGUGGUUCGAACACCGCACCCACGGUUACUGCUUUUGCGCCCAAUCCACUUUUUUUGCGGCAAAGUAUCCGCUUCAGCGGACCCGCUUCAGUGGCCAGGAUUCCGCUUCUGCGAAACCUGCCCUGAGCACCAUUUCCGCUACUGCGCUCCCAUAGACCGCUUCUGCGAGACCGCACCUGUGGUCCCAAAACCCCAGGUGCGAAAAUAUCAGAACCUGCAACCUUAAACAUGCAGCAAACUUCAAAACUCUCCGUUUAACCACCUGAAGUCACUCCGAGGUCCCCGGGACCUUAACCAAAAGCACAAACAUGAUCGAUUACCUUAUUCAAACUUUCUCGAACCUUCAAACACUAUUUCUAACAUCAAAAUCAUCAAAUUUCACCAAAUCAAAGCCUAAGUUCUUCAAGAACUUCCGAAAUGCACAUUCGAUCAAAAACCUAACCAAACGAUGUCCGAAUGACCUGAAAAUUUGCACACUUAUCCAAAAUCACCUAACGAAACUAGAACAACUCUCGAAAUUCCAUUCUGACCCUCGAAUCAAAUUCUCACCCAUCAACCGAAAUUUUCCAAAAUACUAACUUCGCCAAAAUAGGCUAACUUCUACACCGAGCCUCCAAAUUUACUUCUGAUUGCGCUCCUAAGCCUUAAAUCAUCCCCCAAAACUAAUCGAAUCAUCGAAAAUCCAUUCCGAGCCCUCUAACUCGCAAGUCAACUUCCGGUUGAUUUUUUCAAACUAGGCUUUCCUUAAAGAGACUAAGUGUCUCAUUAUUCACCAAUACUGAUCCAAAUCAACUCUAACACACCACAUACUGAUAAUGAAACAUGAAGAAGCAUAAAACAGGAAAAAUGGAGCAGUAACGCGUGAGACGACAGGUCAGGUCAUCACAUCAUCCCCAACUUAAACCAACGCUCCUCCUCGAGCGGACCUAGAGUUGUCCUAUAAUCCAACCAAUAGCUGAAUAACCUUACCAAGCAUAUACCCGGGUUGAUCCCACGUCACCUUAUCUCGCAUAGGUCUGAUAACAUAACAUAGCUGAAAUCUCACAAUCCAUCUAGACCAUAAACUGUAGAACCACAUUGCAUUUUCUAAAAUCAUACACAAGAUCAGAACCUCACACCUACACUCAGGAUAAGUCAAAACCAGCUGCAAUAGCUCAUACAUGCACCCUCAAGUGAAAUCAUGCGAUAUACCCCAUAACCCAAACACUCGAAAUGAUAACUUCUAUCCGUAGUAGUUGCCUAUAACACCCGAAUACCGGUAGGAACCUUUUAUCGACUGACAUUUCAUUCCAACACUUUUCUUAUACGGCCGACGAUACUGAAAGAUGAGAUAAACCGAAGCCAUUUAUAAGAUCAACCAUUUAUGAAGCCACUUCUCCUCCAACAAUUACCAUAGCAAAAUUUUGAGCCGAACCUCGAUAUUAUCCUUCCAACUAGCUGAAAUUAAAUCCGUUCAUAUUCAUUAAUAACUCCCACGAUCACCUCGAAUCCAGCACACCACUCUGGUGAUAUGACACCUCCACACAGGCCUAAGCCACAACUGGCAUAAUCCACGCACCAAUGAAAGGCGGUUUGAACAUACUCAAAUCAUGAAAAAUGACUCAAACAAAAGAGUUGUAACUCAAACUCCUCAGUACCAUCACCACCAGGCUGGGACCUCGUCUCACAUCAUAGAAAUAGAAUAUCUGAAUCUACCCCAAAGGGUCUAAUCUCCAUGUAGCCUUGCUAUAAUACACGAGCUUAUCCAAACGAUGUCACACAUGAAUCACCUCAAGUCGCUAUACUCAAAAUUGACAACCACGCACGACCGAUAUCUAGAACCCAAACAAAUCGUCAUACCCAUGGUGAAGCAAGUAAUAUAUACUAUACGAUCCUGGAAGGACACAACCGAGGUGCCAUUUGCCGAGCAAUACCCAAUACGGACUUUUAUUAGAACCAGGAAACAAGGAAUGCAAAAUAGCAUAUGGAGAUCUACUCUCAACAUCACAGUGUUGCGGCGUGCAAUCCCAUCUAGACAACAACCCGUGGCGGCAUGCCACCCGAUCCACACAUAUAUAUCAUAUAUGGAGAUGCACAUCGAGCCAAAUUUGCUCAUUACAAUAAAAUAUCGAGUAUCGGUCGUAAGCAUACUGAGUGCAUAAUAAUAUCUUCAUAUAGCGUUAUAAGAUACAAAACUCAAGCACAACUGAGGUUUCCCCCCUCAACUUCCACUAUGAAUCCGGUAGUACCGCACCAUAUGUGCCCAUUAUCUGCAAUCAUAGCAUCUCGUAAUGCAGAAAACAACUCAUAGAUCUCUCCAGAGUGUUGAUAAGCUCAAAAAUGGUCGAGUCAACAUAUCCCUCGACAGUACAAUUUGUAGCCAGCCGAAUUAACUAAAACUGGAACACGCAUCCAAAUAGUCCCUUAAUGUCGGAACUGGCUCAAUAGUAGCAACCUCUGCAUUGGUAUCCAUCAUGAAGGCUCAAUUAGGGAAAGCAAUCCUUCCCACCCGUCAGCUCGAUCUUUAAAAGAUAAACCACUUUGCUAGAACAUAAUCAGAUGCACCUUGCCACGCAAUCUAUGGCCUUUUUCCGACAGAGCCCAUAGCACAAUAGUCUAGAAUAACCUAACACUGAGACAUCCAAUCUACACUCCAAGAUCAUGUCCAGAAUCUAAUACACCAAACAAAAAGAGAUCCACUCGGGCAUCCAAAUCCCUAUAGCCGCUAACAGUACCAAUACACAUGAUCCACAACCACUACAUAGUCUGUACCUAAGAACUCCAUAUAGCACACGAAUCACUGUACCUGAUCCCAAAUUCCAUAGUAUGAAUGCAUAUUACACCUCUAGUACCUAAUCAUUCCACGAGAGAUAUUCUAAAAUUCCCCUGUGCCAUCAAACAUACUCAGAUAUCAGUAGAAGAUCUAGCAAGAAAGCACCGCAAUACUAAUGUAGUAGCAUCAAUCUGACCAUAUUACCCUUUCGAGACAUUUACUCUUCACAAAUCACUUCCGAUUAGUAGUACCAUUUCCUUGAUUACCUUAUACUACUCUUUACUUAAGAGUUUUAUGAAUUUUUUCUAGAACGGAAUUGCUACUCAUUUAGCCAAGACCUUCCGCAAAUCCCAUCUAGAAGAAGAAUCAUUACACAUUCCAUGCUUCGCAUGCCCCAAGAAAAUAUAUACAUCUCCAAUCCACAGCAAAACCCGACAAGGACUUUCUCCCCAAAUCCCAUGUGCACAAGCUAAAUUAUGUCAGGACUAAAUCCUUGUACCUAAACCAAGCUAAUCAAGCUGCCAAAACUCAAGAGUAUUGCUUCAAAAUGCUUGUAAGGAUCAUUACCUCGAACACAUACGAAGAAUUAAUCAUACCCUUACCAUACCAACUUAGUCUACUAUCAACCUAUUCUAUUUAUCAAAUUUCCUUCUGAUUCAUUUUCAACUUGAUAUUCCUCCUUGCUAUAGCACCACAAUACCUCAACCUUGGUUAGCACACAAGACUCAAACGUAAGACCACACUGCCUAAGACCCAUAGGCCACCGAAUACUCCCUCAAAUGUUUCUAGAAAUACCACACUCCGGAAAACUUUACUUUGAAGAACUUCCUGUAAAUAUGAAUUCGUUACCAUUGCUUUCCAAAUGCCGAUACAUAGGAUUCCAUAAUAAACAUAAAAAUAACACAAAUCCUGACCUUUUCCAAUGAAAACACAAUCUCUACCCACAUACACAACCUUAAGACACCUGACUGUUACUUGUAAAAUCUUGAACACAAUAAAACCACUCUCGAGAGUCAUUUACUCUUAUUCAAAUUUUCAAAUCACCUGACAUAAUGAACAAAACCACUCGUGCCUUAUUAGAACUCUGACAGUGCAAGAUAUGAUCUAAGUCCAGUACAAACAAACACCUUCCUUUUCUGUACACCGAGCAUUCUUUCCAGUAACACUCAAGACAUUUUUGUGAUUCUCAUACUCUACGAGGAAUAAUGUAACCUUUGUCAAGAUUUUUGUUUCACUCGUGCCAUCCUCGGCUCAAUUUUUGAGACCAGGAUUUAUUCGCCAGCAUACCUUGGAACGGAGCCAACAUAGCGCAUAACCGUAAGAUCAGCUAAUCAAUAGCAACCUCCCCAACUUGGCUUGAAGACAUAUGUCAGGACACACUUGAUAACCCAUAAUACUUUAUUUUUAAUAAUGGCACAAUAUCAUAGUGAGAUUAAACUCAAAUCAUCUACCUGUUCCUGAAAACACAGAUCAUCUCGUACUGUAAUCCUCUAUACUUCUCGCAUCGAUCUCUACAUCAAUUGAGUCCACUCUCUUAAGCAACCCCAGAUUCUCAAAUUUCAACGCGUACCCUUCAAUUACACAUGAGAUCUUCUAACAUACACAUAAGGACCAUACCAUUUAAGAACACUCCACAGGAGAUAAACCACCUGCUUCGCCUCAAUUUAGUACUUCAGCAUACCUUCCACCAUCAUAUACGUUACACAGUCAAUUUAGACUUCCUGAGUCCGAAAUCAUACCGCCACACAUAUUGCACUUUACUUUCCAACUAGGAAACAUGAAAAUAUUCUUCACGCACCCAUAAAUCGGGGCUAUACAACAGAUCACAAUAGGAAAAGAAUCACUUACCAGUUCAUCUAUUAUCCAGUAAAUUUCUUCGUCACUACCAAGUCAUAUAAAUACACCUCGCAACACUAACAUACUCAUCACUUAGUCUUCCUGAGUCUGGAUUCAUACCGCCACAUGCAAUGCACUUUACUUCCCAACUAGGAGAUUCGAAAAUAUUCUUCACACGCCCAUAAUUCGGGGCUACACAGCUGAUCACAAUAGGAAACGAAUCACUUAACAGUUCAUCUAUUAUUCAGCAGACUUAUUCGCCACUACCAAGUCAUAUACAUACAUCUCGCAGCACCAACAUACUCAUUACAUGAAUACCAAACCACCAUUCUAGCUAAUAGGGAACCAUAUCGAACAUAUAAGUUCAAAACACUUGCUCACACAAUCAGCACCUUAGUGCUCAAGCCAUAGGCAAAGAUCCAGCCUCAAGUCCUCUAGACUAGCCCAACAUACUCACGAAGAUCACAUCUCGCCCCUCGAUCAGGAAUCCCAAGCCAUCAAGGCACAUACAAUACCGAGUGCUCAUGCACUCAUACAGACGUGUAGGAGGAAUUUCAAGAGUUACUUUCCAAACUGAAUCAAGAACGCACGAUAAGAAUUCAAGAAUUCGAAGUUCUCCUAAAGGUUCUGCAGCCUCUCGAGGAUAAAUACAGACGUCUACGUACCAAUUUGCGAGACUUUACUAAACCUGCUCAUGACUCGUGAGACCUAGUAACCUAGGCUCUGAUACCAACUUGUCACGAUCCNNNNNNNNNNNNNNNNNNNNNNNNNNNNNNNNNNNNNNNNNNNNNNNNNNNNNNNNNNNNNNNNNNNNNNNNNNNNNNNNNNNNNNNNNNNNNNNNNNNNNNNNNNNNCGUAAAAUUUGGUGUGAAUCUGAUUAGUCUAAAAUCCAAAUCCCCAAACUAGUUGUGAUGGCGCCUCUUGUGAAGACAAGGCUGGCCAACUAACCCUAUUAGACCCCUUCCAAAUAAUUAAACAUGAAAGAAAGGCAAAAUACGAAUUAAUGGCAUUAAUUGAUGAAAUUUACAAUCAACGCAGCCUGACCGGGGUGUCACAAGUUAUUAGCAUCUAGAAGGAUUAUUGAUACAACUACACGGUCUAAAAUACAUGGAUAUUAUCUAGAAUCAAAAAGGAAGAAAUCUGAUGCCGCGAUCGCUGGCGGUCACCUUGCUCAGAAAUGAUAGCAAAUCCUCAACCAGCUCAACCCGCUAUCGGGUAAAUCAAUACCUGCAUCUGCACACGAGGUGUAGAGAGUAAAGUGAGUACUCCAACUCAGUGAGUAAUAAAGGUAAAUAAUAACUGAGCAGCAAGUAACCACGUAAAACAAGUCAUCAUGCUAUAUAGUACAGUACAACCCUUUUGAGAAAACAGGAAAACCCUGAAAUCCUUUGGAAAACAUCUGGGCUUAGUUAAAACCACUUUUAAAAAUAUUUCUUUUCAAUAGUUUAAGCAAAUAAAUGCGACAUGUAUAGUGCAAGUCAGCACUUAUGUCAGCCCCUCGGGCACAACACUCCAUUAACAAAUAACAACGGGGUAUCCGGUAAGCAAUGCAAGAAGUAGCAUGGAUGCCAAUGAAAUGAGAGUGUUGUAUGUCAUGACAACUAGUGCAAAUAGGAACAAUGAAAGAGUGCAAUCCAAUGCAUAUGAUGGUACAUUUCAGUACCCAAUGUGGCGUACAGCCCGAUCCACCCAUAUUUCUUUAUCAUCGACGACGCUCAUUGGAGGUGUGUACAGAUUCCGGAGGGGCUCUUACAGCCCAGCGCAAUAACAAGCCAUCUCCUGGCAUCAAUCAAAUCCUGGUCAGUCAUUGUCACCUAACCAAUUUAUAUUACACAGUGCCAUUAUUACCACUGUUUCAAGUCACAUCACACAGUGUCAUUGUUACCACUGUUUCAAGUCACUGCUGCGGCGCGCAACCUGAGCCACCUAUAAUUAGUCCAGAAAAACCUCAUAAGCCUCUUGGGAAUUUAUAAAACAGUAGUUCUCGCUCCAAAAUAACAUUUAAAAUAUCAUUUGAGUUUUCAAAACUUAGAAGUGUGGCUGAGUUUGCAAAAAUAGUGUUUAAAACCCUGGACUGAAAUCAAAUGAUAUGCACCAUGUGCUAACGCAGUAAUAUCGAUCCCCGAAGGAUUCUACAGAUCGGCACGAGGCCCCAAACAUGGAAACAAGCCCAAAUAACAUUGUAAUCAAAUAAUAUGCAACAUAUGAUAAAAUAGUAAUAUCAAUCCUCAAAGGAUUCACAUAGUUGGCACGGAGCCCAAACAUGGCAAUCAACCCAAAUUAUGAUGAUAAAAAGUAGUUUCAGUCAAAUACAAAGUAAAAUCAACAACUGACAGACCAAGUCACAAUCCCUAACAGUGCUCUACCCCAUGCUUGUAAAGACCUGACUGGUCAUUUUACUAUUUAGGACCCUGCCCCCUUAAAUAAAAACUUCCCAAGCCUUACUUAGCUAAAUCAUGACUUGCGGGGGCGACCAGUUUGGAAGUUAGAAGAGUUUGAGUGAAAAUAAAAUUAAAUAUUCCCAUAAGGUUUUCUUAAAAAGUCAAGUUUGACUUCGGUCAAUUUUCUUGGAAAACGAACCCAAAUUUGUGAUCUGACAGUCCCGGGAGGUCCGUUGAAAAAUAUAGGACCUGGGCAUAUGCUCUAAAUCGAAUUUCGAUGUCCCUAGCCCGAGUACGGAAUUUUUUUUGUAAAAUUGUUAAAUCAAAGUUUUAAUUAAAGAAUCUAAUUAUUUAUUAAAAACUUAGGUAUCAGGUUCGGAUUCCAGUUCUGAAACUUUGUAAAAGUCCAAAAUAUUCGUUAAGAGCUACCCGUAAAAUUUGGUGUGAAUCUGAUUAGUCUAAGGGCAUUUUGACCCGUUGGAAGAAAAUUUAGAGCUCGAAGUUCAUUAAGUUUGAUAAAGUGGUUUUGGGGUCCAAUUCCUUGAUUUAGUGUUGUUUUGGGAGUUUCAAGGUUACGACUAAGUCCGCCUCGUGAUUUCAGACUUAUCGGUAUGUUCAGACGGGGCUCAGGGGUCCCAGGCGUCAAAUGAUCGAGGUUCGAGCGAAGUUAGAAUUUUAGAAGGAACAAAACCUGCUGCUUCUGUCAAAACUGCUUCUGCAGCUCUUGGACCACAGAUGCGGCCCUUUCAUCGCAAAAGCGUCCAGGCCAGACCAGGAGAAAUUACAAAAGCGGCCAAGGAACCGCAGAAGCGUAUUCCGCUUAUGCGGCCCCUAGACGCAGAAGCGGUCAACCUCUCCUUACCCCUAACCGCAGAAGCGGCUAAUUGAUCGCAGAUUCGGGACCGUAGAAGCGGUCCCCAAACCGCAGAAGCGGAAAUCACAAGGCAGUGAAGCUCAUUUAAUACUGAGCCUGCAUUUAUCUCCCAUUUCCUCCACACUUGGGCGAUUCUUGAACUUCCAAAGAGCGGAUUUCAACAUAGCAUCACAAGAUAAGUAAUUUUCACUCACUCUCAGCCUAAAUACAUGAUUAUCACAUAGAUUUAACACUAAUAACCAAAUAAAAUUAAGGGUUAGAGCUAGACCCAUGGUUUUGGUAAAAUUAAGAUUUAACCACCUAAUUGGCUAUGUAAUGAACUAAAAAUCACAUAUUAGUUAUCCUUAGGUUAUAGAGAAUAACUUCCUUCAAAAAAUCUCAGAAUCCAGGCACGUGGGCCCGGGGUCGAAAUUUUGGAAACUUGCGGGAAAGGUUGGGAAAUCACUUAUAUUAGUUAGAAAUCAACUUUGUGAGCACUUAUUGACUAGUUCUUUCCUUAUUUAACUAGUUGGUGCUUGUUCGGCUUCGAAUUGAGCUUGGAGCCUAUUCUCGAUAUUGGAAGAGAACUUCGGAACAAGGUGAGUCUCCAUUCUAACCUCGUGAGAGGGAAUUUUCCUUCUAAGGUUAGUAAAAGAUAAAUUUGCUAUUAAAUGCGGGGGCUAUGCACGCACCAGGUGAUGAAAGUCCAUGCGCGAGAGUCCGUGCGUAGCUACUAUAAUGUUAAUGUCUGGGUAGUUUAGGACCCACAUCAUGCCUACUAUGAACUUUUCCUUGUUUGAACUAUGUGAAUGGUCUUUUAUGACUUGCUAGAGGUUAGAGGAGGAUGGAAAACGAGCAUGUGCUUAUUUAUGAACUUGGAAGGAUUUUCCCUUGUAUAUAGUUGAUGCCUUAUUGCGCAUUCUUGAUAUUUGGUGAUCGGGCCGAUCGUCUCAGUGAAAUCGAUGCAUCUAUGAUACGGGCCGUUCGACCCUCGGCAAUGCACAAAAAAUUAUAUUCUAUUGGAACGGGCCGUCGACCAAGGCGUUGUUACGCAUGAUUUAUAUAUUUUUGCUUGAAGCUUAGGAUUUUUCAUGAUUUAUUGCUAAAUAAAUAAAAAAGGGAGUAAAUGUGAUAAAAGGAAAUAUAACUACAAGCAUGCUUUGACUUAUGUGGCAACUGUUAACUAAUUACACUAUUCAUGUUGUAUACUAUACAUCAUUAUUAUGAUAUUAUCUGGACCUAGUAGAUAUCAAGUCGACCUCUCGUCUCUACUUCUCCGAGAUUAGACGAAAUACUUACUGGGUACAUAUUGUUUAUGUACUCAUGCUAUGCUUCAGUACUUAAAUGAACAGGGUCUGAGGCUGAUUCAUCUGUAUACUGUCAGGGUGCGUGCCAGUGAGUAGCUGUUGAGACUUCUACGGUGAGCUGCUUCCCUUCCAUAUCGCCUGGCAGCCGGAUGAAGUCUUCUUUUGUAUAUUUGCUGUCUUUUCCUUAUUUCAGACAGUAGGGUAGAGAUGUGUAUAUUCUACUAGUUGCCCUUACACUGUGACACCAUGUCUUGGUACGUACACUUUAGUAGAUUGGACUUUUGGAUUUUGUAAUAUUAUAUAACUCGUCGCAUUUACUGCUUUAGUUAUAAACCCAAGCUAAAUGGGUCUUUCAGUUAAAAAUUGAGUAAAAUUUUAUAUGAUUAUUAGUAAUAUUCUACACUUGGUGGGCCCGACAAGGUUAUUGGGUGCCAUCAUGACCUGUUUUGGAAAUGGGUCGUGACAACACUCAUACCCGGCAUGCAAGUCACUUCAAUAUAGCACUAUGAUGUGCAAAUUCGGGGUCUCAGACCCUCAAGAUAUCAUUUACAAGUAGUACUUACCUCGAACCGGUGAAAUCUCUAGCCUGCGACACCUUCGCCCCUCAAGCCGGCCUCCACGUGUGUCGUAUCUAAUCAAAAUCAGAGCGAAUACAUCACAAUAUGCUAAGGGAACAAUACCCAAUCGAAAACAAUCGAGAAAUAGCAAAACUCUCGAAACUAGAAAAACCUGAGCCCCGAGCCCGCUUCUCAAAAAAUUACAAAAAUCAAAUUACCACAUUCCUUGUCUCGCCACGAGUCCAUACAUACCAAGAACUCCCAAAUUCGAGCUCAAAUGACCUAUCAAAAUCCCAAUUUGGAAUAAAUAAAAAACUCAAGCCUUAGCCUCCAUUUUAACCUUUAGUUCCUUGGGUUUAUAGUGUUAAUCCAUGUUUAUACACAAUAAUAUCAAAAUCUAAGCCCAAGAAUCCACACCUGAUGAUAGCCCUCGAAACCCUCUUCAAAAAUCGCCCAAAAUCUCCUUAGCCCGAAGUCCAAAAUGUUUGCUCUUUCAAAAUUCGCGAAGAAGACUUAACUUAUUAUUCUGCCAAGAUUUCUGCUUUUUCGGUUCAAACUCCGCACCUGCGGAUACGCUUUUGCACCCAAUCCACUGCUUCUGCGGUUCAACUUAAAAGGUCCAAGACCGCUUCUGCGGCAAAGUAUCUGCUCUUGCGGACCCGCUUCAGCGGCAAGAAUUCCGCUUUUGCGAAAUCUUCCCUGAGCAUCUUUCUGCUUCUUCGCUCCCAUAGACCGUUUCUGCGAGACAGCACCUGCGGUCCCAAAACCGCAGGUGUGAAAAUACCAGAACCUGCAACCUUAAACAUGCAACAAACUUCAAAACUCUUUGUUUAACCACCCGAAUUAACCCUGAGGCACCCGAGACCUCAACCAAAAGCACAAACAUGAUAUAUACCUUAUUCAAACUUGCUCGAACCAUCAAAACACUAUCUCUAACAUCAAAAUCAUUAAAUUUCACAAAAUCAAAGCCUAAGUUCUUCAAGAACUUCCGCAAUGCACUUUCGAUCAAAAACAUGACCAAAUGAUGUACGAAUGACCUGAAAAUUUGCACACAUAUCCAAAAUCACAUAACAAAACUACAACAACUCUCGAAAUUCCAUUCCAACCCUCGGAUCAAAGUCUCACCCAUCAACCAGAAUUCGCCAAAAUACUAACUUCGCUGAAAUAUGCUAACUUCUACACCGAGCCUCCAAAUUUACUUUCGAUUGCGCUCCUAAGCCUUAAAUCAUCCCCCGAAACUAACCGAAUCAUCGAAAAUCCAUUCCGAGCCGUCUAAUCACAAGUCAACUUCCGGUUGACUUUUUCAAGCUAGCCUUCCCUUAAAGAGACUAAGUGUCUCAUUUUUCACCAAUACUAAUCCAAAUCAACUCUAACACUCCACAUACUGAUAAUGAAAGAGGAAGAAGCAUAAAACGGGAAAACGGAGCAGUAACACAUGAGACGACGGGUCGGGUCAUCACAAUAUCCUUUUUGAGACUAUGAGUCUUGCCUUAAGCUAUAAUAAGACAAUAAUGAGUAAUAAAUGUCAUUUAAUAUCACAUUAAAGAAUCAGACAUUAAACAAAUAUUCUCUAACAUUUCUAGUAUUUAAUAUACAUUAAAUAUUGUAUCUGGUCUCUCAUUGGUUGUAAGGUUCAUCUUCUUUGUUCUUUGUGCUUUAAAUAUCUUGAAUAGGUACAGGCUCUGCAUCUCCUGGGUAAUCGCACGUGCCUUCUCCACUAUCUUUGCUCGCAUCUGUUAUUGCUCGUGUAUCUUAGCUAACUUUAUUUCUUUGACUAUUUGACUAUUCCACGUGUCAUGACACGUCAUCUCCAAUAUAUAAACUCAAUUUUCCCAAUACAUAUAGUCCCCCCACUUUCCAUUUAUUUAUCGAUUAAAUACCUGGGAAGUGGAUUGCUUUAAAAAGGGAAUUUUUGCCUUCAUUAAUGCUAUGACAUCAUUGAUGCUUCAAUUGUCUUUUCUAUUUAAUGCUCUGUAUACUUGUCAUUCUCCCAUAGAUUCUGCAGUAUUGCAGCCUUCUUUUACGGCUCCACUAUUCACAAAGAGAUAGUUACCUUUAUUACAGGCUUUCCAUCAUUACAUUUUUUGCUUUUGACGGUCAUUUUCUUAUAAAUACAAUCUUUUUUUCUUGUCUUCUUCUCCAUAAAGUUUUACUGAAUACUUUAUUCUUCAACACUAUUCACUUCUUGCUCAACUCGUCCUCUUUCAUCAUGUCGUCUUCAAACCCUAACCCUGGAAGAGUUCCAAUUUUUGAUAAUUUUCCCAAUGCCCUUGUUAGACAUAGAAGGGGUAAAGGUGGUAGACCGCACAGUCUUGGAUUCGCCCGUGGUAGUACUUCUGCUGGUUCUUCUUUACCUUCUUCUAGUUCUGGUGUUGUUUCUAGAACUAGAGGUUAUUUUACACAAAAAUCAUCCUCUAAGGGUAAAGAACCUUCUGAAUCCUUACAAGAACCCUUAGUUGAAGAGAUAAUACCCAAUGACUUGAUCUUUGAUCAUGAUAGAGAAUCACUCGAAAACAAUUUGCUGGUUUAGACUAUGCCGAUAUGUACCCCUCCAUGAUUACAAAGGUUUUAACUUCUACGGUCCGUAAAGAUUGCCAUUGGAGCAGUAGUUUUUCUAUUGAAAUCCCCAAUCCAAACCAAAGAAUAUCUUCUUACAAAACUGAUCAUUCUUUUGUUUACACUUAUCUCUUUACUUUGGGAUUUAAACCAGCUAUCGACCAUGUAAUUCUUGAUUUCUGUCGUUUCUUCAAGGUUUGCCUGGCACAGAUUGAACCACUCAUUUAGAGAGCGGUGGCUUGUUUGAUAUAUUGUCAAAUAAAGCAGGUGUUGAGUUUACCUUCCCCACCUUAUUCAUCUUUACUCCCCUAGGCUAUUUCGCAAUGGUAUUUUCACCUUUGUAGCAAGGAGUAAAAGGGUUUUGGUGAGCCCUGAAGAUGAUAAAAAUCGUGAGUGGUAUGCCCAGUUUAUUGCUGUACCCACGGUGAGGUUGAUGGGUAAAGAUUAUAUUCCAUUUGUUGAAAAGUUUAACCUUGCACGUAAGUCUUCUUCUUCAUUCAUACCUCUUUUCUUAAAAUUAAUACCUUUUCAAAUUUUAUUUUCUUUUGCUUUUUUGUAGCAACCAUGGGAAUUGUGGAUCCCAUCCCCGAUUUUCAUGGUUGGGUAGGUAAGUUAUUGAAUACCGCGGCUAUGGAGGUUAGGUCUUGGAAGUCCAUUUCCAAUCUUCAUGGUUGGAAAGUGAAAACUCAUGGUAAGAAUUCUUUUUUUCCUUUUUGUACCUUCUCGUAUGUAAAAUCCUCCCUUUAUUGAUUUUAACUUCAUCGUUUUGAGGGAUUUCUGCUGAAGAUGUUGUAACCUCUCAUGCUUCUUCAGUAGAUUACCUUACCUUAUGGGGAGCUCAAGAUACUCUAGUGAAGAGAAAGGUUAUAGGAGAUGAUUCCGAGGAAGAAGAGGACGAAGAUGGUUCUUUGACUUCUAGGCCAAGAGUCAGGAGGCGUAUCAUAUAUGAAGAUGAAGCUGAAGCCUCACCUCCUCGUACCUCUCCUAAUAAACCUGUUCACCUCGUCUCUGAUAAUGAUACCACCCCCAAGACACUCAUGAGUCCAUUAAACAACUUUUUGUUGGGGGCUUCGAGAGUGGUAAGUUAAGUCAUGUUUUGGAUGAGCUUCCCCUUUCCUAUUUUUUUCAACUCCAAUUCCUUCCAUUCUUUCUUUACCCGUAACUUCUUCCACACCUCCUUCAUCUGCAUCUAUUCCUUCUCCUGCUAUUUUCGCUUCUUCUACCCCUCCUACUUGCAUAGUUCCCCCUUCUACUAUUCAACAAAUAGAAGUUGGUUCUACGAGAAGAAGUACUACUAUGAGGAGUGUGACCAUCGAAGUUCCUGCUAAUAGUAGUCUCUUGAAAGAAUCUGGUCAAGCAUAUGAUUGGCUUGGUCAUUUGAUUAGCUCAAUUGAAAAAGAUAAGAUGGACAACCAUAUCUGCUUGACCCUGAUGAACGACAUUGUUCAUGCCACUUUGAAGAUAUUUUCCUUACUUUUUAAAAAAAAAGUUUCUUUUUACCUUUGGAUUCUUACUUUUCUUCUUUAUUAUUUGCAAGCUAAUCUCAUUGGCAUAGAGUUGAUGGGAAGAAUUUCCCUUUUAGAGAAGGUGGCCCGUGACUCUGAGAAAAAUAUUUUUGAAGCUGAGAGAGUGGCUCAUGAAGCUAAAUUGGAAGCAGCUAAUUGGAAAGGGCAGUUUGAAAGUGCUCAAAUAGCCAUGGAAGAUUUGCAGGAAAGUAGAAAUCACCUAGAGCAGCAGAAGCAUGUACUGACUUCAGAGUUGGCAGUGGCCAAGGCUUCUUCAAGCCAAAUAGUGAAGGACAAAGAACGCCUUGAGUGUUCUUUCUCGAAACAACUGUCGAAGUCUAGUGAUAUUUGCAGGAAAGUAGGAAUCACCUAGAGCAGCAGAAGCGUGCACUGACUUCAGAGUUGGCCGUGGACAAGGCUUCUUCAAGCCUAAUAGAGUAAGACAAAGAGCGACUUGAGUGUUCUUUCUCGGAACAACUGUCAAAGUCUAGUGAAGAAAUUAGAGAGCUUAGGGAACUUCUAAAUAAAAAAGAAGUUUAUGCAUGAGAGUUAGUGCUAAAUUUGACUCAAGCUCAAGAAGAUUUGAGAAUCUCUUCUGAUAAGGUAAGUGCCUUAGAAAAUUCUCGUGCCUCCCUUCAAGCUUCUUACGAUUCAACAUUGGUUGAGAAUGAAGAGCUGAAAAGUGAACUUGCUGCUUGGGAAAGAGACUAUGAACUUCUCGAAGAUAAGUUGGAUAUUGAAGUAACUUGGACUUUUCUGAACUCUCGGCGUGAUGCCUUAACUGAAGCUAGCCAGGAAAACUUUGAUUUAAAGUCAGAAUUAGCUAAGGUCUUGGAUACUAAUGAAAAGACUCAACAGCCACUAGACUUUCCUUCUCCUGCAAUUGAAGCACACGUGGCUGAAAAUCCUGAAGAUGAAGUAGCCGUGGCUGAAGCUCUCGAAGUUGAAAUACCGUGGCUCAAGUUCUCGAGGGUGAAGCUACCAUGACUCAGGCUUCAGAAGCUGAAACUUCUGUGACUCUUGCUCCCCUCAUCGAGCCUAUUACAUUGAGUCGAGGUGACACAGUGCCUAUGGCUGCUCCUUUUGAAGUUGACAAUGUGCCUGUGGCUACCUCUUCUGAAGUUAGAAUCAUUACUUCUGAUGCUCCUGCGUCCCAAUGACCAGUUUUUAUAACUUAUCUUGUUUUUGUUUUUCCUUUCUAGAAGAUGAUGGUCAAACCCUUAGUUUGUUUUAAGGGUUUUUUGGAAGGGAAAAGUACCCAGUUCUCAAAAUGGGGCAUCUGUAUAAAACAUUUUGAUGACUAAGUUUAUACUUAGUCUUUUAAAAUAUAUUAAGAAGUUUUUAUUACUUCUAUUCAUUUUACUCUUGCAUUUUUGUUCUUAAGGACUUAGAGAAUAGUUUUGCAUUUUUAUUCUUUGAAAAUGCUUUAUGAUUAAUCUUAUGACUUAAUAACAUGAGUUUUAUAAAAGAGAGCCCUUUUAUAUAUCGACCCUUAAUGAAGAAGACAUCUCAACUUCAUAAUGCUGUUAUAAUAAGAUGAAAGAAAUAGGAACACACAUGUAUUGUUUGAAGUAACUUUGACAGGUUUUUAUUUAUGAACCUUGACAAGCUUUUGAAUAAUACUUUACAUGUAUUUGAAUUACAUCUAUAGCUUUCUCGUAAUUGUUUUUCUUGUAACAGAUUUUUACAAAAGAAGAACAAUGGAAACUAGAUUUUCUCGUUAUAACCUGUUUUGAUACAUAGUUUUUACCCUAAUAACUAUUUUUCUUGUAACAGAUUUUUUACAAAAGAAGAACAAUAGAAACAGGGUUUUUCCUUAAAACCCAUUUCGAUACAUGGUCUUUACCCUAACUGUUUUGAGAGUACAUUUGGAUCCCCUUAGCUUCGAAACAUUAUGAAGGGUUUGAGAAGUGACUCCAUUGUUAUCAUGGGAAAGAACACUAUAAUGAGAAUUUCGAUGGGAAAGAACACUAUGAUGAAUGUUAUAUCUUCAUAGUUUUUAUCUUGCACUUGCUUCUUCAAAGCUUGAAUUUUGACAACUUCUUUCACCUUCUGCAUACAUGUGUUGAUACAUACUAUGUAGUCCCCCAAGUGUUUGAGUGUUGAAUUAUGAGACCUCGAGCACUUGUUAAUUUCUUUCACUUGGUCCGCUUCCUGAAAAAGAAAAAUAUACGGGACUCGGAAGUGCAAUUAUAGAUGAAGACUCUUAAUCCUUGUGUUUCUAUUAGAAUAAUUGUAACCUUAGGUCAAAAUUUUUAAUGUAUUCCAUUUUUCCUUACAGGUCGUGACUCAUCAAUUAGUACGGGUUAGCUUUUUACCUAGCAUCUAAAAUCGUUAGUAAAACCUUAAUAAUCCAAAAAUAAAUUUUUACAUGGUGAUACCUGACCGUGGGUAUUUCCUAAGAAGUAAUAUCUCUUCAAAUGAACAGCGUUCCAGUGCCAAGGUAGAACUUUCCCAUCCAUUGUCUCCAACUCGUAUGCUCCUUUCAUGCAAUAUCCCGAAUUCUAUAGGGUCCUUCCCAUGUUAAAUUUAGCUUUCCUGAAUUAGCAGCUUUUGUUGAUUGAAAAACCUUUUUGAGCACGAAGUCCCCAAUUUUGAAGAAUCUGAGGCGUGUUUUCGGUUGUAAUAUCGUUCAAUGACCUGCUUUUGUGCUGCCAUUCUUAUUAAUGCAGCUUCUCUUCUUCCCUCGAGUAAAUCAAGGUUAACCCGCAUCUCUUCAUUAUUCGAUUCCUCCGUUGCUUGGACGAACCGUGUGCUUGGUUCUCCUAUCUCGACUGGAAUCAAAGCCUCAACACCAUAAACCAGUGAAAAUGGUGUUUCUCCCGUGCUCGUUUUUGUAGUUGUACGAUAAGCCCAUAGAACUCCAGGUUGAUUCCUCCGUUGCUUGUACAAACCGUGUGCUUGGUUCUCCUAUCUUGACUAAAAUCAAAGCCUCAACACCAUAAACCAGUGAAAAUGGUCUUUCUUCUGUGCUCGUUUUAAUAGUUGUACGAUAAGCCCAUAAAACUCCAGGUAAUACCUUAGGACAAUUACCCUUUGAUUCUUGUAACCGCUUAUUCAAAUGACCUAGUUUGUGAUUCCGCUUGCCCAUUACCUACUGGAUGGUAUGGUGUAGAUGUUAUCCUUUUGAUUUGCCAACUUUGAAAAAAUUUUGUGAUUUGGGCUCCUAUGAAUUGUGGACCAUUAUCACACACGAUCUCCUUUGGUACUCCGAAUCGGCAUAUAAUGUUCCUCCAAAUGAAGUCUUUAACUUCUUUCUCUCAUACCUGUUUAAAUACUCCUGCUUCUACCCAUUUAGUGAAAUAAUCAGUGAGUACAAGUAGAAACUUUACCUGGCCUUUUGCUGUGGUAAUGGACCUACGAUAGCCAUGUGGUAAUGGACCUACGAUAGCCAUUUCCCAUUUCAUAAAGGGCCUGGAUGCAAUAGCUUCGCUGGUCUAUGCAUAUUGUUACCGUACCUUUGACAUUUGUCGCAUUUAGAUACAAAAUUUUCUGCUUCCUCUUCCAUCUUAGGCCAAUACUAUCCUGCCCUAAUUAACGUUCUUACCAACGAUCUUCCUUUUAUAUAUCGACACCUAAUUCCUCUUCCAUCUUAGGCCAAUAAUAUCCUGCCCUAAUUAAAGUGACCAACGAUCUUCCUCCUGCGUGAUUGCCGCAAUAUCCCUCAUGUAUUUCCCUCAUUACGUAUUCCAUUUGGGAAGGCCCGAGACAUCUUGCUAAAGGUCCAUCAAACAUUUUUUGAUAAAGAUUUCCUUGGUUUAAACAAUAACGGACAACCUUUUUACGAAGCGCAUGUGCUUUCCUUUUGUCAUCAGGUGCGGCACCGUACUGCAUAAAAGCAACAAUUUCAUUUCUCCAAUCCUAAGUCAAAUUAUUAAAAUUUACCUCAUUUUUAUCAGGUUCGAGAAUAUAAUGAAAUAAAUGUAUAACCGAAGCAUUUGCAUCGUUUACCACGUCAGUUACAGACGCGAGAUUGGCUAAAGCAUCUACUUCAACAUUUUCAUCUCUUGGUAUUUGCACAACCUUCUGGGUUUGAAAUUGCUUUAUCAAUUCACGUACUUUUUCUAAGUAUUGCUACAUUCUUACUUCCCUAGCUGUGUAAGUUUCCAUCAUUUGAUAAACCACGAGUUGUGAAUCACUUUUGAUUAUAAUUUGGGUUAUGUCGAGUUCUCGUGCCAGUUCUAAACCUGCAAUCAUAGCUUCAUACUCUACUUCAUUAUUAGAUAUAGAAUGACAUUUUAUAGCAUGUCUAAUGAAUUCGCCCGUAGGUGGUACAAGAAUGAUUCCUAAACCUGCGUCUUUUACAUUAGAUGAACCGUCAGUAAAUAAAAUCCAAGUCCCCGGGUUUGCACCAUUGAAAACUUGUAGCUCUUUUUCCGUUUCUAAUUGCAUCCCUUGGCUAAAAUCAGCCACGAAAUUAGCUAAUACCUGAGAUUUUAUAGAAGUUCUAGGUUGAUAAGUGAUCACUCCCAACUAUGUCUUAUAAAAUAUAAUCUGGGGGUGGUGUUGUUCCAACACUUACCUAAAUAUGCACUCUUUCCCGAGUUAUGCAUACUAAAUAGGUACAGCUAGUUAAAACUCUUCAAACUAAAACAAGAACGUAGUUGAACAAAUAGAGAUUAUACUAGAAUUCAAUUAUAUAAAAAUAUAACAAGAAUUUAUCCUACAAAAGGUUCUAUCAAAACUCUAGAUAACAGAUUAGCUAUUUAUAAUAGUAUGUAAAACUAGAAUACUAAAAAUCAUAACCAAAAAUAAAAAAUAGGAAGAAGAAGGAAAAAACUUGUAGAAAAAUUCCCAAGCCUUGCUCCUAUUGUAUAUCUGCCUUCUGUCAUACCCCCUUUUUCGCUAUACACCCCCGCAAAGAGGCGUAAAAGAGUUUUUCCAGUUAAAGGACAAUCGGAACGAGAUUUAGUUAUUAAUUAAUUCAGAGUCGCCACUUGUGAGAUUAAUAGUGUCCCAUGUCACCGAUUUGAAUCCCGAAGCGAGGAAGAUUAUGACUCUGUUACACUCUACGAACCAGAAACUUGGAUAAGAAAUUCUGUUAGCCCGGGGGAAGGUGUUAGCCAUUCCCGGGUUCCGUGGUUCUAGGACGGUCGCUUAACUGUUGCAUUUGAUUAUAUUUGAUUUUAUUACAUGCUAACUUAUGUGCUUUUAUUUAUUAACCGCUUUUACCAUUAUUUAUUUUAAAAGACUUGCGACGUCGUGAAAAUGCAUUUCUGAUCGCAUCGCCAUCAAGGCACCCGGGUUCGUCAACACAUUUCGACUUCGUCGAGAUUUGGAUUUGGGUCGCAUCAAUGCGCACCCGAGNNNNNNNNNNNNNNNNNNNNNNNNNNNNNNNNNNNNNNNNNNNNNNNNNNNNNNNNNNNNNNNNNNNNNNNNNNNNNNNNNNNNNNNNNNNNNNNNNNNNNNNNNNNNNNNNNNNNNNNNNNNNNNNNNNNNNNNNNNNNNNNNNNNNNNNNNNNNNNNNNNNNNNNNNNNNNNNNNNNNNNNNNNNNNNNNNNNNNNNNNNNNNNNNNNNNNNNNNNNNNNNNNNNNNNNNNNNNNNNNNNNNNNNNNNNNNNNNNNNNNNNNNNNNNNNNNNNNNNNNNNNNNNNNNNNNNNNNNNNNNNNNNNNNNNNNNNNNNNNNNNNNNNNNNNNNNNNNNNNNNNNNNNNNNNNNNNNNNNNNNNNNNNNNNNNNNNNNNNNNNNNNNNNNNNNNNNNNNNNNNNNNNNNNNNNNNNNNNNNNNNNNNNNNNNNNNNNNNNNNNNNNNNNNNNNNNNNNNNNNNNNNNNNNNNNNNNNNNNNNNNNNNNNNNNNNNNNNNNCUACAAUCCAAAUGGUCCAUGCAACUUGAGAUUUUAUUUGGCACGGCAUGCCCAGAACUAUUCAACUGAUUUUGGUAUGAGUCCCAAAAAAGCUAUCAUAAAAGCCACCCGCCUGUGUUCCUCCCAUUUUUGUCGGUUCCUUCUACUACAUAAUUUGAAGUCUAGCUUAUUAAAUCCUCCCACGUGUCCGUAUCUGUUAUAUAUGAACCGGAAACUGCAGUAACUCUUUGCAAAAUCUGGGUGAUGGAUUGUUCGAGGUACUUUCAAGGGGUCCAAAAACCGGUGUAUGGUGAUGGCCCUGGGAGCAAUUAAGUAUCCGAAUCUCAAUGGAUCUUGAUCACCUCCGAUGUACCCCCGCUAUUUCUUCCGAUGUUGGGGUGAGCUCAAAGUCCGAAAAAUAGAACACAUUAUGUGCUGGAUCCCAACAAGCGACCAAUGCCCUGAUAAUAUCCCCCCGAGGCUGGAUGUCUAAUAAAUCCGGGAGAUCUUUUAAAUACUUCUUUACUUCGUCCUGCUCUUUUUUGCCUAAGUCAUUCCACCAUAAUCCCAACUCAAAAGGGAUCUUGGUUAAUAUUGAAAAGGGUUCACUUAGCAUCGUGUUCAUCCUGCACAUUUAUUAAAGUGAUUAAGCAAAAGAAAAAUCUUCAUUUAACUCAAAAUAAAACUAUCUACAUCUUCCUAGAUUUUGAACAUAAGGGACUCGAUAUAAAAAUCAAAAUUAGACUAAAAAAUGGGCGUAUUUGCAAAGUCGGCCUUCCGGUGUCCAUUUCGAGAACGUUCGGCUAUUUAUGACAAACGACCCUACUUAAUUUAUUUAAGACUCUUCUUGCUUCUCAAAUUUAAAAUAAAAGACCCAAUUUGGCAAACACGGCCUUUCAACGCCCCGGGGACGCAAAUUUAAGGCUGUGAGGGUCAAAAAUCAAAACAUGACCAAAGGUGGCCGUUUUACACAGAGACAGCCUUACGACGUCCGUUUAGGAACAUUUGGCUAUAGUGCAAAAAUUGGAUUACCUAACUUAUUUAUGAUGCAAAUUAAUUAAUUUUUUUUUGACAUUUUGGCUAUUUAUGCAAAAGGAAAGUUGGACCCGAUGAGGGUUGCCUACGUAUCCCACACCCUGUGAGAAUCAAACCGGCGUAGUUCGGGCAAAUUAAAAAAAUUAUUUUAAAACAAGACUUUUUUUAUUUUUCAUUUUGACGCUUUAUAAGCAAAUAAGAAAAUUACUUUUAAAAACAAAACUCUAUUCAUUUUCAUUUUCAUGGCAAAACACAUUAUUCUCUUUUUUUCUAUUUUUGAAAAUAAUAAAACAACCUAUUAAAACAAAAACUCUUUUUCUUUUCUUUUUCAACAAACAAUUUUCCAAAAAUAAAAGACUCUUUUUUUUCUAUUUUCUUUUGCUUUUUAGUAAAACAAACUAAUAAAAACAAAACAACCUGUUUCCUUUUUUUUUUCCAGAAUUUCGGCAGUGUUUCAACAGUUCUUGGGCAUUGGGUUUUUCCAAGAUUAAUUCUACAACUGCUAAUUCUCUCAUUUUUCUCUUUUUUUUCUUUUUCUUUUCUCAAAUUCCGACAUUCCGAAAUUCAAAAACCGAUCAACAUGCGGGUUCGAACAAAUAAAUGCACAGAACAAGUAGGAUGCACCAGGAUGGUCUUUUUCAUUUCACGUUGCUAGCCCUAGACGGACCCAACCCCUGUGUUGAGUCCCCUAAGUCAAAUGCAGCAUGAUGCAAAUAAGUGUUCCUACUAGGGAUCCGGCAUGAAGUCAAGUUAUUCUAUGUUCAAAACCUGGGUNNNNNNNNNNNNNNNNNNNNNNNNNNNNNNNNNNNNNNNNNNNNNNNNNNNNNNNNNNNNNNNNNNNNNNNNNNNNNNNNNNNNNNNNNNNNNNNNNNNNNNNNNNNNNNNGACAACUCGAGUCGACGAGGGGGCAACUUACCGGGAACCAAAAGGCCAUCCGGCAUCGUAACUUAUCCGAACCUCCUUCUUAUUUCAGGGUAUGACACUAACAGAAUAUGGAGUCUCAACCAGUAUGCACAUCCCCGGAGGUAGACAGAGAAGGGUGUCGGCACAGUUUAUAUACAAUUCAGAUAACAUUAAAGCGGUAACAUUUAGCACAUACAACAUGUAAGAAAAACAGAUAUAACCAAAUAUAGCAAUUUAUCUAAGCUCGAAUUCUGAACCCUGAACAAAACGUUCUGGGUUCUUACAUCCCCAGCAGAGUCGCCAGAGCUGUCACACCUCUUUUUUCGCUAUACACCCCCGGAAAGAGGCGUAAAGGAAAUUUUCCAGUUAAAGGACAAUCAGAACGGGAUUUAGUUAUUAAUUAAUUCAGAGUCGCCACUUGGGAGAUUAAUGGUGUCCAAGUCAACGAUUUAAAUCCGGAACGGAGGAAGAUUAUGACUCUGUUACACUCUACGAACCAGAAAACCGGAUAAGGAAUUCUUUUAACCCGGGGAAGGUGUUAGGCAUUCCCGGGUUCCGUGGUUCGAGCACGAUCUCUUAAUUGUUGCAUUUGAUUAUAUUUGAUUUUAUUACAUGCUAACUUAUGUGCUUUUAUUUAAAAACCACUUUUACCAUUAUUUUAUUUUAAAAGACUUGCGACGUCGUGAAAACGCGUUUCUGAUCGCGUCGCCAUCAAGGCACCCGUGUUCGUCAACACAUUUCGACUUCGUCGAGAUUUGAAUUUGGGUCGCAUCAAUGCGCACCCGAGUUUAAGAAAGUAAUUUAAUUAAAUCGCGCUUAUAGGUUCUAGCGUAAUAUUGUUUGGGAAAGGCCGUUGAAAUUCGCUAAACGGCCCUUCCAACUUCUAACCAUUUUUAAACAACAAAUUAUUGAGGGGCCCACAUGGUUUUUGUUUGGUGAGACUCAUCUCAACAUUUAUUAAAAGGCCAUUCUAAAAUCAACUACAUUUUCUAUCUUUGGUUUUUUCUUAGUAGUAAAAGAGAAAUCCUAGUUAAAACCAUGGUCAAUUCCAUCUUUGGCUCCAAAAGACCCGAGUCACUUAAUACACUUACAACUCCAACAUCCAAAGGCUAUAAAAGAUGGGCCAAGAGAUGGUCCAAACCGGACAAACGAGCCCAGUCAAGGAAUUCGAGGCUCGAGUCCUUGGGGUCACAAAUCUAUAACUACUUAAAUAACCACACGAUUAAAUCCUUAUAAUUUUCCAAUUUUUACCAAUUAACUGAUUCGACUAAUGACCAAAUGAUCAAGUGACAACGAAACAGUAACUAUUGAACUUUAGUUGAAACUCAAACCAAUUAUUUAUCAGUCACUAGAAAGGUGAACAAGAUCUCAUGGAAUCAAAACUUUUUAAUGAGAUUAUUAUAAUAAAGUGGAAAACGAACUAUUCAACUGAUUUUGGUAGCUAGGGACACUCAUUUUUAAAGUCAGUCCGAAAUUAAUCACCGCAACUACGUCACGUGAACCGUACUCGUAGUUGUUAUGUUCAAUUACAAGCUUAAGGCGACAAAACAGGUUAAAUCCAAAUUACUCACAAUUAGCAACCAGCAUCUAAGGACUUAUAUCAACGUCAGGUCCUCUCUUUUGAAACUUUCAAAUUCCAGCAUACAUGUUCAAUCCAAUAUUGUAAGGAACAAAUAAUUAGCAGAUGCAAAACUAUGGAAAACACAGCAACAUGAGUGAUUAAACUCAAAGAGCAAGAAAUGAUCACACAGAUAUAUCCCCACUCUUUACAAUAGACUCAAACCUCUUCCAAAUCCAGCACUCUUACUGCCAAGAAUGGGAGGAAAUAGAAGUCAUUCAGCAGCAUUGUUAGAGGCUCCCACAUACAGAACCAAUUGUGGAACAAUGGACAUGUAGAUGAUCAGGAAAAGAAGCAAACUCCAAUAUGGUAUGUACUCCUACUCUAAACAGCAUGACUGUACACCUAGUGAACUCACACUGAAAUUAACAAGCCCAAACUCUGCACUUAGCAGAUCCUUCCCCAAUCAGUCCUCAAAUUGUUGGUUAAACCUAUUGAAUUCAAAUUUAUAUGGGAUUAACUCAUUAAUGCGUCAAAACUUUCAGGGAUCCUCUUUCAACAUUAGACGAUCACAUUACUUGUUGUUACUCUACAACCACACUUCUAAGAAAGAAAUUGAGCAAGCUACAAAGGAUAGGGAAUUCACAUGGACCUAAGCAGAGGAUGAAUAAAUACCAAAAAGGAAUGGAGCCUUCUAAACUAGUAAUAAACCUGGUUUACGCAAACAAAAUUGACUAACUCAGCAUGAUGAGAGAACACAACAAGCUUGCCAAAAUCCCACAUAUAUUAAACUGAAGAAAUUUCAUCAAACAUACAUACAUCUCAUAUUUGUAAAUAAACUCAAAACUGAACUGUUCAACAAGCAUGACCCAAACAGUGGUUAUAUAGAAGCAACAAGAGUCGACUACCAUCUAGUGUACCCAAUGUCAACUGAGCUCGCAUCUGCCCGGGUUACAGGAAUGCAACAUACUUACUACCAGCAAGAAAUCUUCUACCCUGUAAUUCGAAAUUCUACAGAGACAAAAUGAACAGGAAAGUUGGGAAAAACCAUUUCAACUUCAAGUAUAGUGGAAGCAAACUAAAGCAGUCAUGAGAAGGCGAGCGAAUGUAUUGCGAUUGUACUACCCAUUUAGCUAUAACCUAUCGAAACUAAACAUAUCCAAACUCAACCGAACAUUCUCGAACUGAUAGGUUAAUUCUACAAUGAACACAGUCGGAAAGAUUCCAAACUUGUCUCAUGUUCAAAACUAAAACUGGUCAAAAUUAUAAAUUGAAACCUUUGAAUUAAAAGUCUUAAUCCUUAACCAAGUACUUAACCCAAAUGCCAAUAUUGCAAACAAGAUCCAAAUUGCCUUUUUGCAUUUCCAUAAAGGUUUGCCUGAACAUCGACAAGCAAGCAGAUAAUUUCAAAUCUCAUGGUAAAUUCUUAGUUAAUUCAUCGCUAAUUGCCUACUCUCAUAAAGAGUGACACAAGGACUUGCAGGGACAUAUGAAUAAGAGUUGUAGAAGGCUUGAAUCAUAAACAGAUACGAUUUAAGUGACGAUUUCUCUACUCAAAUUGUCGAACACAAUAAAAUCAGAAUAAAAGUACUCCCAUCAAAUACAAAACCAACUCUACAACAUAUAUUCAAGCACAAAUCUAAUAAACACCAACUAUUAAGAUCCUAUGAAUUCACAUCUCGCAUGUAGCUCUACAAUCCAAAUAGGAUAGCAGUAAACAAACUUUACCUGGAUAGCUCACAUAUUGCUUGUCAAAUCAAUAUCUUACUGACUAUAUAGAUUCAAACACGUACCCCUACUGAUAAGAGAUUCACUCAACCGGAGAUUCAAUCAUAGCACAAAUGAAGCAUUCGAGACAGAAACACAUAGUUCAAAACGCUAAAACAAAACAGAAACGCAAGAAUAAAAGAGAUGAAGAUUGAACCUGAAGCUGCAAAUCCCUUUUAUAACAAAUUUAGACUCGACAAUACACUUCUCGACUCCAAAUCCUAGAGAGGUUCAGCAACAAAUCAGCAAGACGACAGUAAAACCCAGUUUGAACUUCAAUUCUAUCUCCUUAGAACUCAAAUCUGGAUUCAGGAAAAAUAAGAAGGAAAAAUUUGUAUCUAUGCUUCUCUUAAACUUUAAUGAACUCGUCAAAGGAAACAACCUCAGAAAAACCAUUCGUUCCCAGAAAACCUUUCAACUUUUUCUUUCUCAGAAUUUUUCAGCCCCCCCCCCCACCCCCACCUCAAUCAGACUUCAAUAUAUAUAUACCCCUCUCUCGAAUUUUCCUUUUUGCACAAGAAAUAUGGAAGGAAACCUCUUCUAGAACGAACCCUGACAUAUGGAAGGAGAGGAUUGAUCCUUAAAUCAAUCCACGGCUCCCAUAUUCGGAGUUCAUUCUUCAGAAAUUCCCAAAUGAAAUCAGCACAUGAGAGAGGAAAAGGACUCUAUCAGAAACGGUUAGACAAUGGCAAGGGGGAAAGGAGGGAACGCGUGGGGAGAGAUUUUGAGGUUCACUCGCCAUGGAUUUGGCGAGUCUUGGGCGAGUGUUGGACUGACUCGGGCGAAGAAGAUGCGUGAACAGUGCUGCUUGUCUCUCUUGUAUAUUUAGGGUUUUUUUUUUUAAUUAAAAGGGGACAUGGGGCGGGUCAGCGGACGUUUAGGCUGGGGCGCUUGAACGAGAAUGGCCCAAAUUAUUUUUAAAGAUUCUUUUUCUUUCUCCUUUAUUUAUCUUCCCCUUGGUUUUUUUUCAAUUUUUUAUUUUUCCACUUUAUAAUGUUGUGUUGUAUUUUUCUGAAUUUUAUAAAGAUGUAAAAAACAACAAAACUUUAAACUAAACUAAUUAAUGACCUAAAAAUACUUUUAAAACUAUUUUGUGACAAUUUCAUGAUUAAAACAAUAAAAAUGCUAAAGAACUAUUUUUGUAAUUUUCAUGCAUUGUUCUAAGACAAUUGACCCGUAAUUGAUAUUAAAAUAUGAGACUAAAUCAUAAAUACAAAUGCAUAUUUUUGUAUUUUUUAUGAAUAAUGCACAAAUAAAAUGCAACAAUUAUCAGAAAAUGACACAAAAUGCACCAAAAAAUAAAGAAAAAUUAUUAUUAUUUGUUUGAUUUUUUAUGGGACUAAUUCAUAUGUAGGGCAAAAAUCACGUGCUCACAGCUUCCCCUCUUUGCUUGGAAACAUGAAAUAUUUUCGGGCAAAGAUAAGUUGAAAAUUCCAUUGUGAAGCGUUUUGAAAAGUUUUGACCGCACACUGCUUCAAAGGUUGCCUACAUAUCCUGGGCUAAACAGGAAUCAAGUCAGUGUAGUUCGGGAGUGUCUCUUGAAAAUUUCGUUGUGAAGCGUUUUGAAAGGCUUUGACCGCACCCUGAUUCAAAGGUUGCCUACAUAUCCUGGGCUAAACAGGAAUCAGGUCAGCGUAGUUCGGAAGUGUCUGGUAGCUAGGGCUACCAGGAGCUGUGAUUUCACUGCACUUGCUGCUGCUGUUACUGCUCGCUGACCUUCCUUAUUACACCAUGUCGAAAAUAAAAGAAGCUAGCCUAAACUACAAGCUACGAAUUACAAAAAGACCUAUCUAAAAUCUUCAAACUUGUUGCCUUGUUGUCUUGUACUUUCUCUUGUUGUUACUUCAAAUCAUGCACUGGAGUGUGUUCCUCCCCCUCCCAAUUGCUGACCUUGAAUAAACUUGGACUUGAAUGUAUUCCUCUGUUAUCCAGGCGGGCUCCUGAUUGCUGAACUUCAGCUUGACGGUAUUCCUUUGUUAUCCAGGCGGGCUCCUGACUACUGAACUUGAAUUUGUAUGUCUCUAUACUCCAAGCGGACUCCUGAUUGUCUCUCUUGUAUAUUUAGGGGUUUUUUAAUUAAAAGGGAACAUGGGGCGGGUCCGCGGACGUUUGGGCUAGGGCGCUUGGACGAGAAUUGCCCAAAUUAUUUUUUAAGAUUCUUUUUUUUCAUUUAUCCUUUAUUUAUCUUCCCCUUGGUUUUUUAUUUAAUUUUUUAUUUUUCCACUUUAUAAUUUUGUGUUGUAUUUUUCUGAAUUUUAUAAAGAUUAAAAACAACAAAACUUUAAACUAAACUAAUUAAUGACCUAAAAAUACUUUUAAAACUAUUUUGUUACAAUUUCAUGAUUAAAACAGUAAAAAUGCUAAAGAACUAAUUUUGUAAUUUUCAUGCAUUGUUCUAAGACAAUUGACCCGUUAUUGAUAUUAAAAUAUGAAAUUAAAUCCUAAAUACAAAUGCAUAUUUUUGUAUUUUUUAUGAAUUAUUAUGUACAAAUAAAAUGCAACAAUUAUCAGAAAAUGACACAAAAUGUACAAAAAUAAAGAAAAAUUAUUAUUAUUUGUUUGAUACUUAUGGGAAUAAUUCAUAUGUAGGAAAAAAAAUCACGUGCUCACACCUCCUUAGGUCAAAUCUGUGUAAAAAUAUGUCCUUAUAAAAGGAAAAUGCGGUCGUCGCAAAUAUAAUCCGGUUUACAAGUCCGGAGUCGAAUCCCGUAGAGAACUAAGGUUUAGCUACAGCUGUUCACUAUCACCAAGAAGACAAGAUUGAAUAAUUCCUAACUUAAAGAUAUUUAGAUUAUUGUGUUUAACUAACUAACUAACAAAUUAAAAUAAUAAAGUAACAACUAAAUAUACUAAGGGUUAGAGACAAGAUUAAGGAGGUCUAGAGUUAUGAUUUCCCCAAUUGUCGGAUUCCUUCCCACUGUGUCUUCUAUUAUUUUGCCUAAGUAUUCUAUACCGAUCAUGAGCACUCUUCUUACGGUAAAUCUCUCUCGAGUAAUCACGACAAUUUACUAGACGCACUCUCCUGAGCUACGCUAGCUGUCUUUUAAUACAGCCCACUUCAGAUCGCAUCCAAGGCUUCAUUAUCCCUAAUCCCGCCUUUAAACCCGCAGUUAUAUCCCUCUUAUACUUUGGAGUGGUGUUGUUCAACAAUUACCUAAAUAUGCAUUAUCUCUCGAGUUAUGCAUACUAAAUAGGCACAGCUAAUUGAGAUCUCUUCAAUUAACUACAACAAGAAUGUAGUUGAACAAAUAGAGAUUAUAGUACGACUCAAUUAUAUAAAAUCAUAACAAGAAUUUAUCCUUAAAAAGGUUCCAUCAAACCCUAGAUAAAAAAUUAGCUAUUCAUAAUAGCAUGUAAAACUACAAUAUUAAAAGUCAUAAACAACAAUGAAAAAUAGGAAGAGGAAAGAAAAAAACUUGCAGAAGAAUACCCAAGCCUUGCUCCUAUUGUGUCUCUGCCUCCUUAGGUCAAAUCUAUGUAAAAAAAUAUGUCCAAUCCUAUUCUUGGCCGGCCUCCUUUGUUUUAAAUAGGGAUUAGGGAUUAAAAUCCCAUGUUUUGCACAUAAGUUCCUUAAAUUUCCGCCUCCUUCCGUGGUUUUUCCACGGUCGCCGUCAAACCGCGGCCAAACAUGGCCUUUGAUUCUUCAGUUGUCUGCGUCUGCACUCUACCGCGGUUCUACCGCGAUCGCGCUGAAACCGCAGUGUUUCACCUUGUUCCUUUUGGAAUUUGGAAAAUAUCAAAACAUGAAAGUUGUAGCCCUUUAAGUUAGCUUCCAACUAUAUAUUAUGGAGCCCAAACAGAGUUCUGAGCAAAAAGUUAUGUCCAUUUUACUAGAUAGUGCACAAUAUACCUCGUCGAGUUUUUGUUCAUUCUCAACUAUUAAAUUUGACCCCCGAACAUGAUAUCGGCUUAAUUCCUUGAGCUUUUACUCAGACUUCAAAGCUUCAAAUCACUUAAAUUCAUUCCAUAACGUCUAUAUAUCUCGGAAUCACACCUACAAGGCAUAAAACACACAAUUAGUGCAAAACACUAGCGAUAAAGCGCAAACUCAACUAAAGUGCAGUAAAUUAGAGUGUAAUAAUCGACUAAAAUACGUAAUCAAAUUUGACCCCCGAACACGAUUAUGGCGUAAUUCUUUGAUCUUUUACUCAGACUUCCAAGCUUUAAAUUACUUAAAUUCAUUCCACAACAACUAUAUAGCUCGGAAUCACACCUACAUGGCAUAAAACACACAAUUAGUGCAAAACACUAGCGAUAAAAUCGCUAACUCAACUAAAGUGCAGUAAAUUAGAGCGUAUUAAUCAACUAAAAUACGUAAUUAUAGCCUAUCAUCAACACCCCACACUUAAAUCAUUGCUCGUCCUCGAGCAAUCAAACUACACUUUUUUUUAGACACAACAUUUUUAAACAAUUCUUCGAACUCAUCAUACCAAGAGUAUUUAAAAUAGACUAAGCACAAAAGCGUAACAUCUUCACCUCAAGAUUUUACUCACGAGUACCACACAUUAUUCAUAGCUCACCUACUUACUGUAAUAUAGAGGUCACAGACGAUACAUUUCCUUCAUGAAUCAAGUGCCCUCCGACAACAAAAGAGAGUAGUUCCACACAAUAAAAAUUUAAGAACACUUAGGAACUCAAGAUAGAAAGAAUUCACUCACUCUCAUAAAUAACAUUCAUAUGUCACAAAAGAUGCACCAUAAGCUUGCCGGUAGUGUACUACUCCACUUAUCGAGCUCAUUCAAUCGAGGAUCAAUUAGGACUUUAUUUGGUUGUUAUGUAGGCUACGAGACAGGUAGGAUACAUUUACAUAUAAGAGUGACUACACUUCCCUAAGCAUUUUAAUACAUAUACUUUCACAUUCAAACCCCAUACUUAUGUCAAGCCAAACUCCAGCUUCACAUCAAUGUAUAUUACCCAUUGCUUGUUUAAGCACACUUACAUCAAGAGCCACCACAUAUCAAGAAAUUGUUCUUUUUACAAUAAUCCAGCUAUUGUUUUUCCAAUUCAAGUGUCAUUUACUUUUCCAAAACAGUGCACCUUUCUCUUUAUUUCAUUACUUCCACUCAAAAGCCAAACCAACCAUCCCACAUUUUAACUUUUACAAAGUUCAUAACAAUUUAAGUGCUCAUGAGAGGUUAGAAGGAUCAAAUAGAUGGUUAAUUCAAAUAAAUGAGUAAAGCUUGUAAUGUGGUUGCCAAAGAAACAGGAUUACAGGCUCAAAUGGGUUAACUACGAUACAUAACAAUUAGGUGGGUAAACUAUACAUAUCUGGCUCAAUAAAGAAAUGCUUAUAUCACUACUUAAACUGAAUAAAAAUACUAUUUUUCUUUGCAAACACACAGGGCAAGUUCUAGACAUCAAAUGCAAUGCACAUAAUACAACAAGCCUCACAUGCACAUGGCACAUAACUCACUCAGGUUGGAUUAAUGGACACUCUAGUCAAAGAAUUUAAGUAAAGUUAAGGUUAUACAAUUUAAGGUACUUCUACAAGAGUCAAAAACUGAGCCUAAGCAUCACAUUCAAAGUACUCACUAUUCUUAAGGCAUAAAAAAGUCAAGAGAUAUUGCUUCACUUCAAAACACAACACAAUGGCUUCUAUUUCAAAAAAGAAAAACUAACUACACCCGGUUCAAACAAAACCCUUGGAAAAGAACUGUGGUUUAAAGAAAAACCAAGGGGAAUUGCUACACUACCCAACAAAAGAAAAUCUUUUUGUUUUUUUCUUUAGACUUAAAUCCCUCAAGAAAAUUGUCUAAUAGACCCAUUGUCGGAAAAAGUCAAAUCCCUUUUUUUUUAUUUUUCAAAAAAAAAUUAUUCAAUUAAAAUAACAAAACUAAAAUAGCAUAAAAAGUUAUCCAAACAAUCUCCUCACCCCACACUUAAAGUUCUGCAUUGUCCCCAAUGCACACCAUAACUAAUAAAAGGGUAAAAGUGACUCCCUGGUAGGCCAAAGGCCAAAGCAUUGCAACUCAUGGGGUACUCAGACUUCUCCCAAGCUUGGUGCUUCGUGUGGGUACCUCACACUUAGUUCCAACCAUUUGGUUUGUUAUUGCAUCCUUCCAAUACCUUUUCAUGCUCCUAGAAAAUAAAACUUGACACUACAAAAAUAAUACAAUUAAAAAAAAUAAAGCUGGGUUGCCUCCAAACAGGCACUUGAUUUAACUUUGUGACACGACUCAAAUAACUUUUUGCCUCCACCUCGAGCUUAUGAAUUGGACCCCAAGUUUUGAUUCUGCUCUAUGAUCAUGCCCUUGGGGUGGUGGAACCAAUCUGACUGGCCCAAUAAAAUAAUAUAGUAUUGUGCACUUCUUGGCCUUUAGAUGAGGUGUGUAAUCCCGACUUUCUGGCAAGAAGAAUUCCAGAAUGUAAACACUUUGUUCCUCAUUCCUUGACUCCUCAAGUGGCUCGGACAACUCUAUUUCCAUAUCAUCAUCUAAACACAAUGUGGAAAAAUGCUUGGAAUAAGGACCAAUGCGCUCAACUACAUGAACAUUUGGACAAUCUACAUUCUCAACACUAAUGACAAUAGAGUCAACUAAAUAUGUAUCCUCAAUAUCCUUGGUUGACUCUAGUAUGUCUUCUUCAACAUCGACANNNNNNNNNNNNNNNNNNNNNNNNNNNNNNNNNNNNNNNNNNNNNNNNNNNNNNNNNNNNNNNNNNNNNNNNNNNNNNNNNNNNNNNNNNNNNNNNNNNNNNNNNNNNNNNNNCAUCUAAUGUGAUUGAUUGUUGGUGUUCUACUCUAGCCUCCUCCUCUAGCUCAUCCUCGUAUUUUUUAAAUCCUCCAGUAGUAUGGCAAUUUCUAUAGCCCUUUCUUUCUCAUAUUGGCUACUAUCCAUAGUGUCAACUUGUUGCGCUUUACCAGGUUCAAUUAAUUUAUUCGUUUGAUCCUCCAAGUUGUGAAUAGUUGCCCCUUGACUUUGUACCCGCAGUUGUAUCUCAUCAUAUCGUUUUGUAAGGCAUUUUAGCAUAUCCUCGAUCUCUUUCAGGUCCUCAUACCUGGGUUCUUUGUUCCUAUUGUUCUCAUAAGAAAAUAUAGAAUCUUCAUAAUAAAGGGUUAGGGGAAGAUAAGAAAUAUAGGCACAACCAUGAAAGUGACCAUCUUGACCACCACACAUAUCACAUAGAUUCCACACAUAAGAUUCAGUUGGUGCACAUAACUCGCUCUCGAAUUUUUUUUGAUAAUUUGGCCAAGGGUGGUUUUCAUCACAAUAUACAUAAGGAGGAUUAAAAGUAGAAUUACCAACAUCAAACCUUUCAUAAUUCCAUGAUGCCAUGUUUUUUUAAAUCAACAAGUAAAACGAAAAAAAAGAAAGAAAAAAAAAUCAAAUAAAAAAAAAGUUCAAACUUGAAACCUUGCAAUAUGUACACAUAUAGCUACACCGUUAGUUCCCCAAAAUGGCGCCAAAAUUUUAUCACGCCCAACUAUGCCUUAUAAAUGGACAAUGCGGUCAUUGAAAAUAUAAUCCGAUUUACUAGUCCGCAGUCGAAUCCCACAGAGAACUAAGGUUUAGCUAUAGCUGUUCACUAUCACCAAGAAGACAAGAUUGAACAAUUCCUAAAUUAUAGAUAUUUAGAUUAUUGUGUGUAAUAACUAACUAACAAAUUAAAAUAAUAAAUUAACAACUAAAUAUACUAAGGGUUAGAGACAAGAUUAAGGAGGUCUAGAGUUUUGAUUUCCCCAAUUGUCGGAAUCCUUCCCGCUAUGUCUUCUAUAAUUUUGCCUAAGUAUUCUCUACCGAUCAUGAGCACUUUUAUUACCGUAAAUCCUUCUCGAGUAAUCACGACAAUUUACUAGACACACUCUCCCAAGAUACGCUAAUUGUCUUUUAAUACAUCUCACUUCAGAUCGCACCCAAGGCUUCGUUAUCCCUAAUACUGCCUUUAAACCCGCAAUUAUAGAUCCCUCUUAUACUUUGGGAGUGGUGUUGUUCAAAAAUUACCUAAAUAUGCACUCUCUCCCGAGUUAUGCAUACUAAAUAGGCACAAUUAAUUGAGAUCUCUUCAAUUAACUACAACAAGAACGUAGUUGAACAAAUAGAGAUUACACUACGACUUAAUUAUACAAAAAUAUUACAAGAAUUUAUCCUACAAAAGGUUCCAUCAAAACACUAGAUAACAAAUUAGCUAUUCAUAAUAGUAUAUAAAAAUACAAUACUAAUAGUCAUAACCAACAAUGAAAAAUAGGAAGAGGAAGGAAAAACUCAUAGAAUCAUUCCCCGUAUUGCUCCCAUUGUGUCUCUGCCUCCUUAGGUCGAAUCUCGCCCCCCUUAGCCUCUUUAGGUCUAAACAAAUUUCGAAAGUGUGUCUAACCUAUUAACAUACCAUUUUUUCAUGUAUAUAUAUCAAGUAGGGUCGGACCCAAAUAAUUAGACCUUCUCCUAUGCGAAAAAGGACAAUAAAACUACAAUACUAACAGUCAUAACCAACAAUGAAAAAUAGGAAAAAAAAAGAAAAAAACUUGUAGAAGAAUUCCCAAGCCUUGCUCCUAUUGUGUCUCUGCCUCCUUAGGUCAAAUCUGUGUCAAAAAUAUGUCCCCUCCUUUCAAAAUAGGUUUAGGACCCCUUUUAUAUAAGUUGGAAUAGUGUAUAUGUCCAAUCAUGUUCUUGGCCGGCCUCCUUUGUUUUAUAUAGGGUUUAGCGCUUAAAAUCCCAUGUUUUGCACAUAAGUCCCUAAAUUUUCCGCCCUCUGGCGCGGUUUUGCCGCGGUCGCUGUCAAACCCCGGCCAAACAUGGCCUCUAAUUCUUCAGUUGUCUAGGUCUGCACUCUACGAUGGUUCUACCACAGUCGCGGUGAAACGGAGUGUUUCACCUUGUUCCUUUUGGAAUUUUGAAAACAUGAAACCUGAAAAUUGUAGCCAUUUGAGUUAUCUUUCCAACCAUAUAUUAUGGAGCCCAAACGGAGUUCUGAGAAAAAUGUUAUGUCCAUUUUACUAAAUAGUACACAAUAUGCCUCAUCGAGUUAUCAUUCGUUCUCAACUAUCAAAUUUGACCCCCGAACAUGAUCCUGGCUUAAUUCCUUGAGCUUUUACUCAGACUUCAAAGCUUCAAAUUACUUAAAUUCAUUCCAUACCAUCUAUAUAGCUCAGAAUCACACCUACAAGGCAUAAAACACACAAUUAGGGCAAAACACUAGCGCAAACUCAAGUAAAGUACCAUAAAAUAGUAUUUAAUAAUCGACUAAAAUACGUAAUUAUAGCCUAUCAUCAAUAAGGUAUUUCGUACUCACUUAAUUCAAUAGCGCAUUUUUCUAACCUCUCUGAUAAUUCAUGCUUAUGUAAAAUAUUACGUUACAGGAAAGGAGUUACUACAGCAAUGAAAUGACGUUGAAAAUAAGGUCUUAAUUUUCUAGAUGCCAUGAUUAAAGUAAGUGCUAGUUUUUCUAAUUACAGAUACUGUGUGUUUAUAUCCAAUUUUUUUUAUGUAUUUUUAUACUCAAAAUACUUUCAAAUUAGCAUGUUUAUGCAUAUAUAAGUAUCCCCAAAGGUUUUGGUAUUUUUUCCAAUUUUUUAAAGAUUUUUAUAACCAACUUAUGGCCUAUUUUUACAUUAUAAAAUCCAAUAAUUAUUCCUAGAACUUGUUAUUUUGGUGAAUAAUUUAUUUUAUUCUCACAUUUACGCGAAAAUAUAAUCUACAUGAUUGUUUACAUAAUUUUACAAGUCCAUUUGGUAUUUUUAAACUAAAAUUGCAUGAAAUUGCAAUUUUAGCCUAUUUCUCGAUUUAAUAUCAUUAUCACAAAAUCACUUCCAAUAUUUUUAAAGUAAUACUUUCAUAUUGUUUAUUAAAUCAGUAUUUUUAAUUUGAUUUUAAACAACUUUUACUAUUUUUAUAAAUUCAAAUUGGGAAAAGUUGCUAUUUCAAUUGUAGCCUAUUUUACUUUCAAUUAUAGCCUAAUUUCAACCCCAAUCCUUGCCCCUAAUUAAACGACCCAAUUUCAUUUCCUACCCGACCCAGACUCAAUAAAAAAAACCCAACCCACGUACCCCUUAAUCUCGACCUUUGAUCAUUUAGAUCAACGGUCCACGUUUGCCCCUUCCUUUGUUAACCCAAUCAACCCUCUAACCCUAAUCACUCACACAAAAUAGCCGCCUUUGAGGUCCCUUCGUUCUCUCAAACUCUCUCAACUCCUCUCCGAAACCCUAGCUCCUUCCCACCGGUUUCUUCCUUAUGUCACCGGAAACCAUGGCAUCUCAGGCCCUGGGUGGCCUGUACUCAUCCCCACGUGCCCUUAUACUCCUUUUACUCAAAGAUCCAAGGUCCGACCUUGAGGACCCUGGCUCACAAGUCCUCUGAUUCAGGUUCUAUGGCCAUUUCCAGCUCGUCUUCGGUGUGUCUUAGCCCUGGGAGAUCAUCUCCGAUUACGGACCAGCUCUUUCCAGGCCUUUCUCAUUUUUGAAACCCUAAGACAUUUUCGAGGUUUUACUGUUUUCUUUAAGAUUUACUUUAGAUCUGUGCUAUUUUUUAUAUUUUCAAAGUGUUUCUCAAAUCAUUUCAAGUUUUUCUUUCGAAACUGUUCGUCGUCUCAAACCCAUGGUUUCCUGGAUUUUUUACUUGUUUUACUGUAAUCUCUUGCUAUACUUUUUUUGCUAUAAUUCCUAAGUGUUCUUACUAUGGUUUCUGUGUAUUUUCUUUGUUGUAUUUUUCUCCUAAGGUUUCUAGUGCUUUCCUUUACUGUGUUUGCUUUCAUGAAAUCGCUGUGUUCUUUGGGUUUUCCUGAGUUUAUUUUGCCUGAUUUUCUAUACUUUCAUCUUUGCAUUUAAGUUGUGGGGGGAAACCCUAGAUUUUGGGGGGUUUUCAGCCAUUUGUGUACGAUUGUUCUGCUUCUUGUUUGAUCCCAAAAACCCUAAUCUCUAAAUUCAUCUCAUGUUCUCUGAUUCUUUAUAAGCUUUGCAAGACCUUCUGAUUCCUCUCAUAGCUGUGUUAUUCUACUUUUGAUUGCAAGACUACUUUGCUCUAUUUAAUUCUAGUCUCUGCAUGUUUAAGUUUAUGCAUCCUUUAUAGUCAGACCUUUUUCUUUCAAAAUAACCCUAAUUUUGGGGAUUGAUUUCACACCACCAUUAUGUGAGCCUAUUCAAUUUUUCCUUGUCUAAUUUGGACCAAUUUUCUGACUUAACUCAUUAUAAAGUUCGAAACUUUAAUUCCUUAAUUUACUAUGUGCUAGUUGAUUUUAUUCUUACCUUAUUUAUCUAAACCGUGUAUUUUCAAAAUCUUCUCGUAUGUAUUUACCCUUUACUACACAAUGUGUUCUUGAUUUGCUUUCCUUAAAUAAAAACUAUGCCCUUUCUUAUUCAAAUUCGAACUCCUUAAUUAAAGGAGUUCCCUUCCCCUGAUUGAUUAUGAUUGAUACUGAACUAUUUCUUGCCUUGUUUACCUGCCUGUUUUCAACUAUGAAUACCUCACUCCUUUUCUUUAAAAGACACGAACAAUAGAGAUUUCAAAAAACACACACACACUCAAAGCUCUCUUUUCUUUACUAUUAUUUGUGCUACUGUUCUGGCUAGCCGGCUGAAAGCCAAGGCUAGACUUUGGAAUCUUUCUUGCUUUCCUCAAGUGUUUGCUAAAGAUUCUCUGGUUGUUUUCUUGUUUUGUUUGUUCUGCUGUUUGAAAGUUGCAACUGGUAUGUCUCCAUAAGUUAAACAUGCUCCAUAACUAUGUGUUUACUUCUCCUUUUUACAUGUCCCUCACUAUAUGUUUAGCUUUCUUGCAUUAUGUAACCGUAUCUUAGUCUGUUAUAUUUUUUCUUCAUGUUUCUGCACCUUUAAGUUAUGUUAUGCUUUCUUUUCCUUGAUGUUUUCUAUACAUGCUUUUCCAUGUGAAGUUCUUUCUUCAUGUUUCUGCACCUUUAAGUUCUGUUAUGCUUUCUUUUCCUUGAUGUUUUUCUAUACAUGCUUUUCCAUGAGAACCCCUUCCCUUUGACCCCUUUAUGUGUGAGUACUGUUCUAGGUUAAGGUAGAAUCCCAUUGAUAUCCAUGACCUGGGACCAGGUUCUCUUGGACCUUUACUCAAAUCAGUCCCACUCCCCUCUCCUCCUGUAUGUGUUGAGCCUUGACUAGGGUCUGGAAGUGUCCUAAUCACCACCCAGUCCCAUGUCUAACUUCUAAAGUCUGCUCUUUAUCUGUUUAAGCCAAAUGAAGGGUCAAGGGUGUGCCAGUCUUACCCAUGGCUGGGUAUGACCACCCUUUCUUUAAGUUCUACCCCCCUUUGGUAAGACAUGCUUUGGGACCCUAGAUUUCCCUCUGAACCUUGAUGCCUACGGGCUGGUAGUUCCACACAUUGCACUACUCUGUUACAAUAUUCAAUUUUCAGAGUGUAAGCAUUGCCUGGGGUUUUGAAAACCCUUGGAAUUUCGAAACACUCUAAGAGAGGGCCUAAAAUCUGGAAUCCGGAUUUGGUGAAACAUAUGUGUUGGAUGUUGAAGGUUGCAUUGAUCCUCCUCGGGUCUGACUUUAGUUUUGAUGUACUUAUUUCAGUCUAUUUCUUUCUAGUUUUGUAAUAACUAUGUAAUGAAACUCGGGAAAAAUAUUAGUAAAGGGUGUGGGAUGGGUUUAUGUUGCAUGUAUAAGUCAAAGGGUCGAAAUCCUGUCUAUAGGUCUUUUAUGCUUUCAAUUAUCUAGAAAUCAUGCCUAUAGGAUGUUCUAAUGCUUAACAUCGUCUAGUUACCAUACCUAUAGGAUUAAUACUUCCAAGUCACCAAGAUGACAUGACUAUAGGGUUUAAUGUUUAAUCAUGUUGCAAAUUAUUAGAAAUCCUGCCUAUAGGACUUUAACAUUUACCUAAUCAAUUGCAUAUAGAAACCAUGUGUAUAGGGAACGCAUAUGCGAUAGGCAAACCAUAGGGUAACUGAACGUUCGUCUAUUUACCAAUAACAUGAUUUAAAAUUCAAUAUAGACAUCAUGCCUAUAGGAUUCCGUCUCAACUUGUCUGAUUCGUUUUAAUCAAUAACAGUCCAAUACCUGGCCCUUAAUUUCCUAAUGUGAUGUUUUCAAUAAAACUCUUGACAAACCAGUAUUAUUUUAAACUCUUCAAAUUUGCAUCUUUUUCUAAAUCAUUCUUUCAAACAUUCUGCCUAAAUGUUUUACUUAAUCCCUGAAAUUAUCUUUUUAAAAUAAAUAAUUCUGUAACUCACUCUUUUCUUAAGACAUUCCUGCCUCUAAAAGUAUUUCGUAACUCUUUUGCAUUUUUCUUACUCAAACAGUCUGCUGAUUUCAAAUCCUUUUACAAAUUUACUGUAGUCUUUACUUUCUUUUAAACUCUUCUGCUUUAAGACCUCAAUAACUAACAAACCAGAACCCAAUGAAGACUUUUUAUCCAACUUUAUGAGUUAAAAUGAUUCGUCCGCCUCUUAAUUUCUUAACUUUAAAUACCAAACCAGUAUAUGCAAGUCAUGCUAAACUAAUUGCUGUUGUGAUCUACGGGGUUUUGUAUGAGCCUUUGAGUGUUUUCUUUGUACCCCACUUAUUUGCUAUUUGUUUUGAUUGACGCCCUAGUAUUUUAUCCCUUUCAAACUCCAUAUAUGCCUCUAUCCCGUUUCUUCCCUUUUAGGAUUAGAAGUCCAAACACCUCGGGACUGAUAGGUCGGGACAAGUAUUAGCAUGCAAUAAGUAAACGAGACUAAUCGUAUUUAAAUACCUUAACGGGGUGGGAAGGGUAGAAUAUGGAGAUGAUGAUGGUGCACUAAUAUCUCGUGUGAGAAUCAUUUCUGGGUAUUGCACCAAAUGAUCCAUAUUAUAGUUAAACCUAGGACUCUUUUUCUUCACUUUUCCUUUAUUUAAAUUAACGUUUUUUUAAACUAAGCUGUCUUUUCACUUGUGCCUUUCUUCUUUCAAAAUUAUCAGCUUGUUUAUAUUUCUUAUGUGCAAACUUUGCUUGCCUACUCCUACUCUUCUUAAAGUCACAACUAGAAAGGCCGGGAAUUACACUAGUGGAUCUUGAAGGGUGCCUAACACCUUCCCCUCAAGAUAAUCUCAAGCCCUUAACCGAACUCUGGUUUUCUUUUAAAUCCUUCUUAUUUUCUCUAAAAGUGUCCUAAUGCACUAUAAUCAUUAGGUGGCGACUCUCCAAACUCCAUAACCCAAAUACCACAAAAGGGGGAUAAAAGAGCCAUUCCACCCAUAAUGUCGUAAAUCCGAUUUCUCCUUAGAAAAAGGGGGCGUCAACAACAUGGCGACUCUGCUGGGGAUUCUUUUUAAGACUUUUCCCAUUACUUGUUUUUGUGACUUUAUCGCUUACUUAAUCACAUUUAUUUAUUGUCCUUGGUUAUUUCAUCAUAGUUACUAACUUGACUCUUCAUGUCUUUUCUUUCCUUUAAUUGAUAUCUUUACUGCUUUAUUAUUUCAAUACUGUUGUAAUUUCGAGCAAUCAUUGUAAUAAUUUAUCUUAUGUACGUGAAAAUAUAUGUAAUUUGUUUCAUUAUUGAAACUGCAUUCCUCAACAUCAUAUUCCACUCGUGCCAAAACAAAUCUUAUAGUAACGUUUACAAUGAGUGGUUGUGCCCUUCCGAUAUUAUAAACCCCCUAAAUGUGGCAAAGGCAUAUUUGCGAUAAUACCAGUCAAUCAACGGUGUAGUCGACGGUUCCGCGUCUUUCGCUCUUGAGUUGUCCGCUCAAGGGUACCUUGUCUAGCACUAAAAAAGUAGAAACCUUAUUCCAUUAAAUUGUUCAUGCAUCAUGGUAAAACCUAGUCGAGUCAUUUACGUUGUCCACAUAAUGACUCACUAAGAUAGCCUAAACCAAAGUCCAUCAGGUUUCUUGAAACCCAAACGGACACCUUCACGUUAUGUGCAUUUAUUUGGAGAACUAAAUGCCNNNNNNNNNNNNNNNNNNNNNNNNNNNNNNNNNNNNNNNNNNNNNNNNNNNNNNNNNNNNNNNNNNNNNNNNNNNNNNNNNNNNNNNNNNNNNNNNNNNNNNNNNNNNNNNNNNNNNNNNNNNNNNNNNNNNNNNNNNNNNNNNNNNNNNNNNNNNNNNNNNNNNNNNNNNNNNNNNNNNNNNNNNNNNNNNNNNNNNNNNNNNNNNNNNNNNNNNNNNNNNNNNNNNNNNAGAACUAAAUGCCUUUUGCUAAUUAUUGAUUUAAAUAGUCGAGUCUGGUGGGGUUAAGGGCCUAACACUUUGUUUUGCAGAAAAUGAGGCACGAGGUCCUAAGAUUCGGUAUGGUAUCCAACGGUCAUCCAAGGUUGCUAAGCUGGUGGGAAGAUCUUCAUGGCAGCAAUCAAACCCUCGUCAGCCAGUACUUAGGGAAAUUGCCCUCACUUUUGGAAAUCCAUCCCAACAACAAGAUCAAAGAGGUUGUCACCUUGUUUUGGGAUAGUGAUCGAUCAAUGUUCCGCUUAGGAGAUUUGGAAAUGACCCCUUUGCUAGAAGAGAUAGGGGGCCUAGCUGGUACCCCCUGGGAGACUCCGGGUUUGCUUAUACCGGAGAACCGCAAAAGUAAAGGCUUUCUUAAGAUGGUGGGACUCAAGAAAAAUCCCGACCUUUCUUUCUUGAAGGACUCCUACAUAUCAUUUGACUUCUUGUACGAGAGAUAUGGCCACAACAAGUACUAUCGCACCUACAUGGACGAAUUCUCCCCCACUUCUUUGAGACACAUACAUAGAAGGGUCUUUUGUGUUCACGUUUUUCUUCUUGGGCAUGAUUAUUUUCCCUAUGAAGAAGUCUAGGAUCCACACUAGAUUAGCAAUGGUGACCAAGAACUUAAUGGAAGGAAUCGACGGGCAGUCUUUCAGCAUAGUGCCUAUGAUCAUCGCGGAAAUAUAUCAAGCCUUAGGAAAGUGUAAGCAAGGGGCUCCACAUUUCGAGGGUUGUAAUCUGCUACUUCAACUCUGGCUCAUAGAACACCUUCAGAAAGGCGACUACAGACAGGAAAUCAUACGCAAGGAUUGGGAUGACCAUAUCGCUUGUCAUCACCCAAAGCAAACAAACUUCAUGCCCAACAUGUUCGCUCAGCCAGAGGACGCUACUGGAUGGUCAAAGUUGUUUGAGAAUCUAACAAAAGAGCAAGUUCAGUGGAUGUUCGAGUGGUUCCAACAGGGGAGUUCAUUGUCCGUUAUCGAGAUGCACCGUUCUUCUUACUCAUUGAUCUGAGGGGAACUCAUCCUUAUGCCCCCCUUCUGGGCCAUGAGGCAAGAUGGAAGAAAACAAAUCAUACCCAGGAUAGAAAAAAUGAAUCAAUUCAUGACUGACUUUCAAGAUGAUGAUAGCCCGCACAGGUGUCACACUCAGCAUAUGUGGCACUGCAAGCUAGUCUUAGGAAAGGAGUCUAUUGAACCAGACAGGUAUCAUGCCGGGUGUGUGCCGCACUACACAGGUUGGUUGGAAAACUCAUCCUUAUGUCCCUCUUCGGGCCAUGAGCCAAGAAAUCAUACCUAGGAUAGAGAAAAUGAGCCAUUUCAGGGCUGACUUUCAAGAUGAUGAUAGCCCGCAUAGGUGUCACACUCAGCAUAUGUGGCACUCCAAGCUAGUCUUAGGGAAAGAGUCUAUUGAACCAGACAAGUAUCAUGCCGGGUGUGUACCGCACUAUACAGGUUGGUUGGAAGAUGAUCACAUUGGUUUGGGUCGUUCAGGAUUCGUCCAUGGUAAUAGGAUUAUUGAUGAGCAAACUGAAGCGCAAGUCAAAUACAAUCAACUAUGCAAGAGGAUGCGAGAAUGUGAGAAUGAACAUCGGGAAAUACAGGAAGCCCACGAGAAUCUUACUAACGAGUGGAAAGAUAUGGCUGUCAACGCCAACAACCGGGUGGGAUAUCUGGAGAAAGGUAUACUGAAGUUAGAAGGAAAGUUCUUGAAAAGAAUUGAAGAUUGCCAAAAUGUCGAAGGGAGUGCAGGCGGACAUGUAGCUCGAGCCUAUUUGCUGCUAAGGAUGCCCGAGUUGAUGCAGCUGUAUGAGGGAGGCAAGAGUACCGAAUCUGGGAAAGAUCCUUCUGGGACCAAGUAGUUAGGAUUUUUAUUUCCUGCUUUCUUAAUGUAAUAAGUCCACUGGCCAUUAGUGAUGUCUUUACCAUUCAAUUGUCUUGUUUUUAUCAAUAAAAUAAGACAUUUAGCAUUAUAAGUUCUUCAAAUUUAAUUUGUCGCUAGUCCUACCUUGGGCACAACGAGGCACCCAAAUUAGGAAGAGAUUUAUAUUCCUGCGCGAUAUUUUUAAAUAUCGCAAUAUUAUUUAUCAGAAUCGGCACUAACGUGUUACCUUUUUUUGUUUUCUCUUUUAUUUUUUUACUCCCCUCCCAAAAUGUUAGUUCGUGCAUUCUGGAACCAUCAACAUACUCAACAAGAUCCAAAGGUCCUCUACCUCCUCCUCCCCCAAGUCCUACCAGAAACAAGAACAAAGGCGAAAUAGGCGAUACAAGCGCUAGAAAGGAACUUGAGGAAACUUCUCAGAAUGCUACAAUCACCAAGGAGACUGCUGCUCAUCUGGAGCAAAAUUUGAUAAGAUUCCGAGAGGAAUUGGACCAAGUUAAAAACCUGGCAAGUCCGUCAAUCACUCUCGUCGCUCCUGAUGUUAACACCCAGAACCCCGUACCUCCACAAAACACCCCACAACCUCCAAUACAACCCACUCAUAACGCUCUACUACUCAUCCUGAACAACAAAACACCACAAAAGACCAUAACACUUCGAUCUUUGUGGACAUUAUAUCGCGCAAUAGUCAGCCAAUCACAAGUGUAGCCGAAUCAGAUGAUAAGAUCUCCCUCAUUCAUAAUUUGACCGCUGAGAUUAAGAAGUUGACUAGCCGGGUUCAAGGUUUCAAAGAUAACAAAGGCGUCGAAGGGUUGAAUUACGAAGAUCUUUGUGUUCAGCCAUAUGUUGAGCUCCCGGAGGGGUUCAAACCUCCCAAGUUCGAGAUGUUCGAUGGUACAGGUGAUCCUAGGGUCCACUUGAGAAUGUAUUGUGACAAGUUCGUAGGAGUUGAAAGGGACGAGAAAAUUCGCAUGAAACUGUUCAUGAUGAGUUUGAAGGGUGAUGCUUUAUCAUGGUAUAUUAGCCAGGAUGCAAAGAAAUGGACUAGUUGGGUGAACAUGGAAUCUGACUUUAUGGACCGAUUUAGGUUCAACACUGAGAACGCACCAGAUGUGUUCUAUAUCCAGAAUCUCAAGAAGAGGCCCACAUAGACCUUUCGCAAGUUUGCUACUCGUUGGAGGUCAGAAGAUGCUAAAGUCAAACCGGCCUUGGAGGAAGAACAAAUAAAUAGGUUCUUCGUCCGUGCUUUGGAUCCGCAGUACUAUGAGAGACUGAUGCUAAUUGAGGGUCAAAAGUUCUCCGACAUCAUCAAGUUGGGAGAAAGGAUUGAAUAAGGCAUCAAAAAUGGUAUGGUCACUAACCUCAAGGUAUUGCAAGCUACCAACGAGGCUAUACAGUCUGGUGGCUCGUCGAAGAAAAAGGAUGUAAAUUCCGUAAUGGCUGCGCAAAGGAACAUUUCCCCUACGAAGUACCAAACCUACCCCUCAACUCCACUCACAUAUCAACCUACCCUAAACUACCAAGCACCAUCACCCACUUACCAAAUUCCACCACCUUCUUACCAAUCACCUCCACCACUUACGUAUCAACCCACUUCACCCAGAUAUUCCCAACCUGCACCCAUAUACCAAGCAUACAACUCCCAACCUUCUCACUACCAAUCACCUCCUACCCGCCAAAACUUUCCUCGACCUAGACCAAACUUAGAUCGUAAACCUCCCACACAAUAUUCCUCCAUAGCCGAGCCAAUUGACCAAUUAUAUGAAAAACUCAAAGCAGUUGGUUAUGUUACCCCUAUCCCGGCCGUAACUCCAGAAAACCGUUCCUAAUGGAUCAAACCAAACAAGAAUUGCGCAUACCAUUCGAGAUGAAAGGCCAUACCAUCGAUGAAUGUCGCUCGUUGAAAGACAAGAUUCAGAACCUGAUUGAAAACAAGAUCAUUAUAGCAAAGGAGCCAUCUCCUAAUGUCCACAGCAACCCUCUGCCUAACCACAAGGGUGGAGGCAUCCAUAUGAUUGAGAUUGAAGAUGAUUGGGACCCUAAAUUGUUAAUCGGUCUGAUAGUUGAAGGAGACGAGCCUAAAAAGCCAGCAGUUACUCUCAAUCCUAUUAUUGUUCAGGUUCAGCCCUCUGAGGGCGAUGUGGUAAAUGUAUCUGUGCCGCUCGAGUUUGAAGAAACUUCUGCAAAGGCGCCAAGACCAAUUGAGGUUGAGUUCGGGUUCCAAAGGCGUCUGCACCAUUUGAAGUUACUAUGUUACCUCCCAGGGUACCAAUUCCAGUCUCCAUGAUAGAUGUGACCCCGUUCAAGACAAAUGCUAUACCUUGGGAUUAUACCACUGAGGCUAGAAGGAAGGGAAAGACAUACGUUGGGGAAGCAAUUGCCGCACAGGGCAUGACUAGGACAGGCAUAGUAUACACCCCCGAACAUUUGGCUGAGUCCAGCAAGCAAGCCUCCGGGCGGGCUGGUGAAACCGGACCCGAUGAUCUUUGGAAGAAGGUAAAAGCCAAAGAGUACUCAGUCGUCGAUCAAUUGAACAAAACACCAGCACAGAUUUCUAUUCUGGCUCUUCUGCAAAACUCUGAGGCACAUAAAAACACCUUAAUGAAAAUACUGAGUGAAGAUUAUGUUCCCAGCAACAUAACAGGAGGCGAAAUGGCAAACAUGGUGGGGCAGGUACUGGAAAGCCAUAAGAUCACCUUCCAUGAGGACGAGUUACCACCGGAAGGGCUCGGUCACAACAAAGCAUUGCACAUCACUACGCAAUGUGAUGAUCAUUUUAUCUAUAGGAUUUUAGUCGACGGGGGAUCUAGCCUCAACAUUUGUCAGUUGAUAACUCUAGGAUAUUGGUUAAAGGAUUGCACGAGAUCAAAGACGGGGCUAUCAGUGUAAGCUUUUGAUGGAUCUCAGAGGUCCACCAUUGGAAAAAUCAGCCUAUGACUAGAGAUGUGACUUAUCUAGUUCGAUGUUGAGUUCCAAGUCAUUGAUGCACCAGCAUCCUACAAUUUGUUGCUGGGACAACCCAGGAUCCACGCCGCUGAGGCUGUAGCAUCAACUUUGCAUCAAGCUGUAAAAUUUGAAUGGAAUCAUCAGGAAAAAAUCAUUCAUGGCGACGGUAGCAACCCCAUAUACAGUCACCAGGCCAUCCCGAUGAUCGGAGGAAGAAGGAGAAUAAGUGGAGAAACAUAUCAUCACAUCGAGCGAGUCAAUGCCAUUGACAAAGACAAGUGGUGGGAUAACAAAAUUGAGAGCAUUCUUAAUUGGAGCGGGUAUGAGCCCGGAAAAGGACUUGGCAAAAAUCUCCAGGGCAUCACCAAGCCUAUCAAGUUGAAGAAGCAUGAAACCACCUUCGUCCUGGAAUUCGAGUACACCUGGGAGAUGUUCAAUCAUUGGUCACCACCGUGGCGCAGUCCCUUCUAUCCAUUGGAACAUCACAUACCCCAUUUAUGAAUAUACUUGGGAAGAGUUCAACCACUAGUCGCCACCAUGGCGCGGUCCCUACUACCCACUGGAGCACCCUCUACCUUAGCUAGAGCAGACCUUCAGCCAGCUGAUGUCAUACAUGGAUCAAAGGAAGAUGAGACACUGGCGCAAUGAAGAACUUGUUUCUGGAAGAGGAUAUGGAUUGUUGUGUUUUCUUCGAGGAGGAAGGGGAGGAAGGCCCUUCCAUUCAAGCUGUGAACCGAGGGGAACACCUAACCAAUUGGUCAGUCAAGACCACCAGAGCCUGGAGAGCCUCGGGAUAGCAAGGCUAAAUGACGCAUAUGCAUUGCAUUUUAAUUUUUGGUUGAUUUUAUCUUUUCCGCAUUGUCUUUACUUUGAAAAGAGCUUCGAUGUAUCAAGCUGUUAUGAAUUUAAGCAAAAGCAUUUUCCAAGUUUAGCUUUAUAUCUCGCUCUCAUUUAUUUUCUCUACCAUUUACUUUAUUUUACACAGCAUUACUAUUACAUAUCUUGAUGUUGAACCGACUACUGUAACUUGCAACGAGACAAUACGACAAAUGGACAUAGAUCAAGAACAGGACAAAAUACCAGAAGAGGUUGUCAGGGAGGUCGAGAAUUUUUGAUUGUAACCUGCAACGAGACAAUGCGACAAACGGACAUAGAUUUAAAAGAAGAUGAAAUACCAGAAGAAGUUGUCAGAUAGAUCGAGAAUUUUGAGAACAUGCCUAAGUACAACUAGGACGAAAGUGAGGCUGUUAAUCUGGGAGACUUAGAAAAUGCCAAGGAAACACGUAUCAGCGUACAUUUGUCACCGCCAGAAAAGGAAAAGUACACAGAAUUCUUAAAAGAAUAUGAGGAUAUCUUCGCCUGGUCGUAUGAUGAUAUGACCGGUCUCAGCACAUCCAUUAUAGCUCACAAGUUGCCGACAGAUCCAACAUGCUCAUCGGUAAAACAAAAACUCAGAUUGUUCAAGUCAGACAUGAGUCUGAAAAUCAAAGAAAAGGUUACCAGGAAAGUCAAAUCCCGGAUUCUCAAAGUGGUGGAGUAUCCAACAUGGUUAGCCAACAUCGUGGCAGUACCAAAGAAGGAUGGGAAGGUUAGAGUCUGUGUCGACUACCGAAAUCUCUACCGGGCCAGUCCUAAGGACAAUAUCCCUUUGCCAAAUAUACACAUAUUGAUUGAUAACUGCGCCAAAUGUGAGCUGCAAUCGUUCGUCGAUUGUUUUGCUGGAUACCGUUAGAUAUGGAUGGACAAAGAGGAUGCGGAGAAAAUGACAUUCAUCACGCCGUGGGGAAUGUACUGUUACCGAAUGAUGCCGUUUGGUUUGAAAAAUGCUGGUGCUACCUACAUGAGAGCCAUCACCACCAUCUUUCAUGAUAUGAUGCAUAAAGAGAUCGAGGUGUAUAUGGACGACGUCAUCAUUAAAUCCAAGAAAGUUGCAGAUCACAUGGAAGUUUUGAGAAAAUUCUUCAACAGACUGAGGAUAUACAACUUGAAACUGAAUUCUGCCAAGUGUGCAUUCAGGGUUCCCGAUGGAAAAUUAUUAGGUUUCAUUGUGAGUCGAUGGGGAAUAGAAUUGGAUCUGUCAAAGGUCAGAUCCAUUCAAGAGUUGCCACGGGAGACUCAACUAUAUCAACCGAUUCAUAGCUCAAUCCACUAUCAUUCUUGAACUCAUCUUCAAGAUGUUAAAGAAGGAUGAUGCCACUAAAUGGACUGAUGAUUGUGAGAAGGCUUUUGACAUAAUUAAUGAGUACUUGUCUACGCCGCCAGUCUUGGUUCUGCCUAAACCAGGAAGGCCCCUUUUGCUCUAUCUUGCAGUACUGGAUGGAGCCUUUGGUUGUGUCUUGGGACAACAUGAUGAAACAGGGAGAAAGGAGCAAGCCAUCUACUACCUCAGCAAGACGUUUACGCCGUACGAGGCUCGGUAUUCCUUAUUAGAACGCACUUGUUGUGCUCUAACCUGGGUAGCUCAGAAACCGAGGCAUUACUUCUGCGCUUACGCCACUUAUCUCAUAUCCAGGAUUGAUCCAUUGAAAUAUAUAUUUCAAAAGACCAUGCCUACCGGCAAGAUCCCCAAAUGGCAGAUACUGUUAAGUGAGUUCGACAUUGUUUAUGUUACCCAAAAGGCUGUUAAAUGAAAAGCUCUAGCGGAUCAUCUCGCCGAGAAUCCUGUAAGAGGAGAAUACGAACCUCUAAAGAUGUAUUUUUCUGAUGAAGAAAUAGCUUUCAAAGAGAAGGCAUUGCAGAAUCCAAUGGUGGUUGGAGGAUGUUUUUUGACGGAGCCGCAAAUUUAAAGGAGUUGGUAUAGGAGCAGUCAUGGUAUUAGAAACCGAUCAGCAUUACCCAGUAUCCGCCAAGCUCAGAUUCAUGUGCACUAAUAACAUGGGCGAGUACGAAGCCUGCAUCCUUGGGCUCAAAUUGGCAAUCGACAUGAACAUUCGAGAACUAUUAGUGAUCGGAAACUCGGACCUACUCAUACAUCAGGUUCGAGAAGAAUGGGAAACCAAGAAUUCCAAGAUACUCCCCUAUCUACAUCAUGUACAAGAGUUGAGGAAAAGAUUCAGAAAGACGGAAUUCCAGCACGUUCAUGGAAUACAGAAUGAGUUUGCCGAUGCCUUAGCCACUUUAUCGUCUAUGAUCCAGCAUCCAGAGACAAACUUUAUUGAUCCCAUCCAGGUCAAGAUUCACGACCAACCAUCUUAUUGUGCUCACGUCGAGGAAGAAGGCGACGGAAAACCUUGGUUCCAUGAUCUCAGAGAAUACUUGACAACAUGACAGUACCCAGAGCUUGCCAAUGCUACUAAGAAACGCACACUUCGGAGAUAUUCCAACAAGUUCUUUCAUAAUGGAGGAACCCUGUAUAGGAGGACUCUCGAUCUGAGAUUAUUAAGAUGUGUCGAGGCAAGAGAAGCAACCAAAAUAUUAGAGGAAGUGCACACAGGGACCUGCAGACCGCAUAUAAAUGGUUUCGUUUUGGCAAAAAAAGAUACUCCGAGCAGGGUAGUUUUGGAUGACUAUGGAAAUAGACUGCAACCAGUAUGUCCGGAAAUGCCACCGUUGUCAGAUACAUGCGGAUAUGAUAAAAGUACCUCCAAACAAGCUUACUGCAACAAGCUUACCAUGGCCGUUUGCCGCUUGAGAAUGGAUGUUAUUGGACCGAUCGAACCAGUCGCGUCAAACAGGCUGUCACGACCUAGAACCCGGUCGUGAUGGCGCCCAACCCUAAAGCUAGGCAAGCCUGACCGAUAAUCGCUCUCAAUUCGACAACAAGUCUCAAAAACGACAAUUUAAGUAAAAAUGUAAUAGUUUUAGAAUAAUAAUUCAAUAUUUAUAGUAAAAUAAUACGGAGAAAUACGUAAUCUGAUAAGACAAUCCCACAAGAUCUGGGGUCACGGGUCUAGAGCCUCUAAAACAAACUGGAUAUCAAUGUCUGUACGAAAAAUACACAAGUCUAAAAUGUAUAUAAAAAUAAAACUAAAAUAGGAAGAGUAGUCAGGUCCUACGAACGCCAGACAUCUACCUCAAUAACUCUGAUAAGCUCUGGUGACAACAACUGCUCAGCUAAGCCUCCGGUACACCGGAAUCUGCACACAAGGUGCAGGGAGUAUGGGUAAGUACUAUCGACUUAGUGAGUAAUAAGCAUAAAAAUUGUGUGAAGAUAAGAAAUCCACAAAAUGCCAAAAAGCAAAGCUAAAACUAACAGUCUGACACCUUAACUACGAUCCAACAACAAAUAAAUAUCAAGUAUAUUAGUCAAGUAUAAUGCAAGAAUGCAAUGCAAUGCACAUGACUCGCUGCGACGUACAACCCGAUCCAUUUAACGUCGACAAACAGACUUUGGAGGGGCUCCUACAGCCCAAGCGCUAUAUCAUCGUAUCACUGUUGCGGCGUGUAGCUCGAUCCAUACUUAGUCCACAUUAUGCAUAUGAGUCACAUAAACAGAUUUAACUAAUUUCCCAAUUUCCAAUUAUUAUGAAUAAUAUGAUCUAGUUAUUUAACUUCGGGAAAAAGGUGACUUAGCAUUUCAUAACUGUGAUUAAACAAAGGACUGAGAUUAAAGAUUAUAUAAAUCAUGAUAUCACAAUUAUAUUCAUCCUAAAUGGAUGCUACAGAUCAGCACAAGGCCCCAAACAUGGCAAUAAGCCCAGAUAUAUUCAAUACAUUGUACGUAUCAGUCGCCAAUAAUUAUAUUUAGCACUCGGGAUGGACCAAGUCACAAUCCCCAAUCAUAUACGAUCUCGUACCUGCCAUGGGGUGCGAGUCACGCCCUAACAUAGUCACCAUGUGAUAAACCGGGGUUUCAAACCCUCAGCCCAUCAUCUAUACAAACUACUCACCUAUAGUCGGUCGUAGACGUGUCCACAAUGCCUUUUCCUCUUGUAUCGACCUCCUCGCGCGUCGAAUCUAGUAAAAAUCACAACGAAUACAUAAAUAUAGGUUAAAGAAACAUAACCCAACCAAAAAUACUCGAAAAGUACUAAAAUUCACGAAGCUGGUAAAACCUGAGCCCCAUGCACACUUCUCGAAAAAUUCCAAAAAUCACAUCAUCGGAUUCUUUGUCUUGCCACGAGUCCGUACAUAUAAAGUUCACCAAAAACGGAGUUCAAAUGGCCUUUCAAAUCCCCAAAGUUUGUUUCUAAAAAACUAAGCCCUAUUUCUUUAAUAUUUCUACAGAAUUUCAUGGAAUUGAGGGUUGAUUCUUCCUAAAAAUGGUAUUUUUAAGUCAAAAAACUUACCUCCAAUCAAUAUCCUGUUUUAAAAAACCAAUCCCUAGUUCUUCACAAUUUCAACCUAUUUUCAUGCAUUUGAGUGUUGAUUCUUCAAUAAAAUGGUGUUUCUAAGUCAAAAAAACUUACCUCCAAUCAAUACCCGUUGAAUACCCACUUCAAAUCGCUCAAAGAGCUCUCUUGGUGGAGUAAAAAUGGUGAAAAUAUUAAGUGGGUCGCGGAUGAAAUAACUCUUAAAACAUUUUGUCUAGUUGAACGAUCCUUCUUCCCGAACGCGAGGUCCUUUCGUGUUCACGAUGACCAAUCCACUGGGCCAACACAACACACGCUGCCAGAACUUACCCUUUGCUCACGCGUUGCCUUUACGUGAGAGCGAAGGUGUGGGCUGCUCCAUCUAUGCGAACGCGGCUCCCUCACUCGAACGAGAAGCACCAGGCCAGGUCUUUCCCAAACGACCCCUACGUGAACGCGUCCGGACGACGCGAACGCAAAGGUCACUGGACCCCAGGCCUACUCGAACGCGAGGCACCCCUGCGAAUGCGAAGGCCAAGAAUGGCCUGCAACCGCUUUGCAAUUUCUGCAACACAAACCAACAUCCGAACUUCCCGUUAGCCAUCCGAAACGACUCUAAAGCCCUCGGGGCCUCAACCAAAGGCACAGAUAUACUCCAAUACCUCAUUCAAACUUUCUCGAGUCAUAAAAACACUAUCAUAAACAUCAAAAUCAUCAAAUUACCAGGAUUCAAGCCUAAGUUAAACUAAAACUUCCAAAACUUGCAUUUGAUAAAAAACCAGACCAAACGAUGUCCGAAUGAUCUGAAGAUUUGCACGCAUAUCUAAAAUCACCUAAAGGAGCUGCUGCAACUCUUGGAAUUCCAUUCCGACCCUCGGAUCAAAAUCUCACCUAUCAACCGAAAUUCGCCAAAAUUCAAACUUAGCCAAUUCAAGCCUAAUUUUACACUAGACCUCCAAAUUCAGUUCUAAUUGCACUCCUAAGCCUUAAAUCAUCACCUGAAACUAGUCAAAUCAUCGACAGUCCAUUUGGAGCCCUCUAACUCACAAGUCAACAUUUAGUUGACCUUUCCAAACUAACCUUCUCUUAAAAGGACUAAUUGUCUCAUUUCGAAUAGAACUCUAUCCGAAUUGUUUCAAAUUCACCAAACACAUAUAAUGAAACAUAUAGAAGCAUAUAACGGGGAAAACAAGGUAGAGAUAUAUGAGAUGACAGGUGGGGUCGUUACAUCCUCCCCAACUUAAUCAAACGCUCGUCCUCGAGCAUGCUCGGAGUUGUAGUAGGAGCCAAAAAUACAUGAAUGACCUUACCAACCAAAUACCCGGGGUGAUCCCACGUCACCGUAACUCACAUAGGCCCGAUAAUACAACAGGACUAAAAUUUUACAGUCUAUCUAGACCAUAACCGCAGAACCACAUUGCACCUCCGAAACCAUACACAAGAUUAGGGCCUCACAUUUAUACUCAGAAUAAGCCCGAACCAGCUGUAAUAACCCAUACCUGCAACCCUAGGUGAACCCAUGCAACAAACCGCACAAUCCAACACUCGAAAUGAUAGCUACUAUUCACAGCAUUUGCCCACAACACCCAAAUACCGGUGGAAAAACCUCUUAUUAACCAAGGUCUUAUUCCAACACUUUCAUGAACAAACCACACCAUCCAACACUCGAAACGAUAGCUACUAUUCAUGGCAUUUGCCCACAACACCCGAAUACCGAUGGAAAAACCUCUUAUUAACCAAGGUCUUAUUUCAACACUUUAAUACAAUGCUAACAAUAAAUGAAACACGCAAUACUGUAACAAUCUCUCAGAUCAAUCAUUCAUGAAGUCACUUCCCUUUAGAUUGCUAUCACAACGGAUUUCCGAGUCGAACCUUGAUAUUAACAUACUAACAUGCUGAAACCAAAUCUGUUCGUAUCCAUUUAUGACACUAAUGAUCCCCUCGAAUCCAACAUACCACUCUGGUGAUAAUACAUUUCAACACAGGCCUAAUCCAUAACCUGCAUCGUAUACGCACCAAUAAAAGACGAUCCGAACACACUCAACUCAUGGCAAUUGAUUCAAAUGAAAGAGCUGUACCUCAAGCUCAUCAGUACCAUCACAACACAAGGCUAAGACCCCAUCACGCAUCAUAGAAGUGGAAUAUCUGAAUCAUCCUUGAAGGUCAUAACUUCACGUGGACUCGCCACAACGCACGUCCUAACCACACACUGUUACAUCUGAAGUACCUCGAGUCACCAUGCUCAAAAUAGACAACCACACAUAGAUUGAUGCCUGAAACCAAACAAUCCAUCACACCCACGGUGAAGCAAGCAAUAUACCAUCAACUCCUGAAAGGACUCAACCGAUGUACUAUUCGCUGAGCAACUCCCAAUACGGACUUUCCUCAAAAACCAGGAAGCGAGGCAUACAAAGUAACAUAUGGAAAGUAUUCUCACAUGCAACCUGAUCCAUAUAACAUACCCUAUGGCGGCGUGCCACCCGAUCCACUCAAAUAUCUCACAUAGGGAUAUGCACAUCGAGCCGAAUUUGCUCAUUGUAACAAAAUAGCAAGUAUUGGUCGUAAGCACGCUGAGUGCGUAAUCAUAUCUACUUGUGGCAUUGUAAGCUACAAAACUCAACUUCCACUAUGAAUCUCGAUAGCAUCGCAAUAUAUGAGCCACUGUACAAAAUCAUAAUGCCUCACAUCACAGAAAAGCAACUCAUAGAUCUUCCCAUAUCACUAGUAGGUCCAAUAACGAUUGAAGCAACUCAUCCUCUAUUAAUACAAUUCAGGAUUAACUAAGCCAACUCAAGCUAAACACGUAUUCAAUCAGCUUACCAAGAAACUCAUUACCAAGAAGCCUGAAGCUACCUCUUCCAUUACUAUAGCUCAUGCCAAAGUUGUACGAUACUGUGCCAGACGCCACAUAAAUAAUAAAGUCCACAAUCUCGCCCGGCGACAUGCCCGGCCACGAGGAACGCAUCCGAAAAGGUCCCUCAAUACCGGAACUGAAUCAAUGGUAAAAAUCUCUGCACAUUUGCCACGAAGGCUCGAACAAGACAAGCAAACCUUCUCAGCCGUCCACUGGUCGUUGGAAUGCAACCCGCUCUUGAUAUAACAUCACCUUAAAUCAAUGGUAAAAACCUCUGCAGUGACAUUUGCCACGAAGGCCUAAUUAAGAAAAGAAAAUCCUUCCCAGCUGUCCGCUGAUCUUUAAAGUACAAACCACUCUUGCUAUAACAUAAUUUGAUGCGCUUUGCCACGCAACCUGUGGCAUUUUUUGACCUAGCCCAUAGCACAAUAGUCUAGAAUAACCCAGCACUUAGACAACCAUUCUACACCCAACAUCAUGUCCAAAACCUAUCAUAUCAACAAAUAAAGAUCCACUCUAGCCUACAAAUCCUAACUGCCGCUAAACGGUGCCGAAUACUCACGAUCUACAACCGCGACAUAGACUCCAUCGGAGAACUCCCAGUUUCCAAUUCCAUAUAACACACCAAUCACUAUACCUGAUCCCACAUUCCGCCGUAUGAAUACAUAUAACACACCAAGUACCCAUUCAUUCCACAAAAGAUAUUUUGAAAUUUCCUGUGCCAUCAACAAACUGAAAUGUCAACAAUCGGUCCAACAGGAAAUUGCCGCAAUCCCACCGAAGCGUUAUCAGUUUACAUCACCUUCCCCUCUUACUGAACGAAUACUCCCGUCAAAUUACUAGAAUAGUAAUACCAUUUUCCUUAAUCAUCUGAGGGUCGAUUCUAUCAAAAAAAUGCUGCAACACUACCAAAGUUCUAUCAACUUAAUCACAUUGCCCUUUCUCUGAAACAUAUACCCUCGUCAAAUCACAAUGAUUAGAAACACCAUUUCCUUGGUCAUAUGAGGACCAUUCACCCUAAUCAUCUGAAGAUCGAUUCUUAAAUCACCCACAGCUACCCGUGCUGCUUAAGAAUUUAAUGACUUUCCAUUCGGAACUGGACCGUACCUUACACACACGAACCAAAUCCUCCACAACAGACCGCACAUACCGUACCAUACUAGGAUAACUUGAGAACUCCAUCUCCUUUUUCCUAACCACAAGCUAAACUGCCAGGACUAAAUCCUUCUACCUACACCAGUCUAAGAAAGCUGUCCGAACUCAAAAGCUCUGCCACCAAAUACCCGUAAAGGCUCAUUACCUCAAACAUAAAUAAGAAAUUAAUCAUAUCUUUACCAUGCCGAUUCGGUCUACAAGAAAACUAUUCUUUCUAUCUAAUGUCCCUUUUGUUUCAUCACCAACUUGAUAUUUCUUUCUCAGCGUAGCAUCACAAUGGCUCAACUCGAGAUUUCCACACGGAGCUCAAAUAUAAUACCACACUAACUAUGACCCUUAGUCCAGUGAAUACUCUCUCAACUAUUCCCAAAAAUACCACAUUCUAAAAUACCAUACUCUGAAGGACUUCCUGCGAAUUUAAGUUCGCUACCCUUACUUUACAGAUGCUGAUACAUAGAAUCCCAUGAUUAACAUAAAAUAGCGCAAGUCUUGACUUUUUCUAAUGAAACCACAAUCUUCAGCCACAUACACAACCUUAAGACACCUGAUUGUUACAUGCAAAAAUCUUGAACAUAAUAAAACCAUUCUCGAGAGUCACUCACCCUCAUUUAACUUCAAGUUACCUAACUUAAUGAAUAGAACCACUCACGCCUUAUAGCACCCCGACACCGUAGAACAUGAUCUCAUACUAGUACAAACCAAACCACUUCCUUCUCUUUACACUAAGCAUUCUUUUAUCAACAACUCAAGACAUCCUAUUUUUUUCUCACAUCAACUAAGCAUCAUAUAACCUUUGUAAAAUUUUUCUUCACUCGUUCCAUCAUCGGCUCAAUUUCUGCAACCAGAACUAAUUCAACCGCAUGCAUCAAAUUGGAACUAACAUAGUACAUAACCUUACAAUUAGCUAAAUCACAAAAACCUCCCCAACUUAGCUCGAAUCCAUAUAUAUCACAACAUAUAUACUCUAUAGUUGUUGUAGUAUCAUGGUGAUAUUAAACUCACUCUUUCAUAAGCUUGAGGAAACGCAAAUCAUCAGAAAUUUUUAGCUUUUCUGCUAUUCUUGUAUUCAUUCACACAACUGUUAAGACCACUCUGUAGGCGACAAUGUUUUUACUAAGCCUCAAAUUUUUCAAAAAUUUUGGCAGAGUUUCCUUUGUAAUUGAGCCUAUCCACCUGCUAGAGAAUCACCAAAACCAUCCUAACAACAUGUCCACAACUUGACAANNNNNNNNNNNNNNNNNNNNNNNNNNNNNNNNNNNNNNNNNNNNNNNNNNNNNNNNNNNNNNNNNNNNNNNNNNNNNNNNNNNNNNNNNNNNNNNNNNNNNNNNNNNNNNNNNCCAACAACAUUAAUCUCAAUACUACAUGUAUUCUAUUAUCAAAAUUGAUACAUGGACAUGCGUUGCACCUAUUCGAAUCAUAACACAUAGAAAAUACCUUUCAAUUACACAUAAGGAUCAUACCACUUAAGGACACUUCGCAGGAGAUAACCCACUUGCUUCGCCGCAAUAUAACAUUUUUGUAUACCUUCCACAGCUACUUAGUCUUCUCGAGUCUGAACUCAUCUCAUAUCAUGCAAUUGACUUCACUCCCACUAAGAGACUCGAAAAGGUUCUUCACGCGACCAAAACUCGGGUUACUCAUCGGAUCACAAUAGGAAACGAAUCACUUGACAGUAUUGAUACGCAAUUUUUUGCAAUGUAUUUUUGUACUCAAAUACAUUCAAAACUAGAUAUACAAGCAUCCACAAAAAUUUUGGUAUUUUUUCAAGGUUUUUAAAACCAAUUUGUGGCAUAUUUUGCACUAUAUAAUCCAAUAAUUAUUCGCAAAAUUUGUUAUUUUCUGUGAAUAAUUCCUUUUAUUCUCACAUUUACACAAAAAUAGAAUUUACAUGAUUUUUGCAUAAUUUUACAAGCUCAUUUGGCAUUUCUAAUCCAAAAUUACAAUUUUAGCCUAUUUGUCGAUUAAACAGUAUUUAUAACAAUAAAAACAUUUAUAAUUUUUUUAAAUGAAUACUCGUGCUUUAUUUAUUAACUCAGUAUUUUUAAUUGGAUUUUUAAACAUCAUUUGCUAAUUUGUAUAAUUCAAAUUAGGGAGGGAAUUGGUUAUUUAAGUUAUAGCCAUUUUUGUUUAAAUUAUAGCCUUAAUUUCAACCCAAAUUACAAUUCCCAAUCAAAUAACCCGACCCACAACCCAUAAAAAUAACCCACUCGGAAUCCCCCUUUCAAUCAGGACCGCUGAUCACUUAGAUCAACGGCCCACGUUAACCUUUCCCUUAAUUAAACUAGAUACACCCCUAACCCUAAUCACUUUACACGUUCAGCCACCCUUGUAUCCCCUUCAUCUCUCAAACUCUCCCAAGUCCCCCUAAAACCCUAGCCACAUCCGGUCACUUUCUGACCUCUUUUCACCGGAGACUAUGGCCUUCCAGGCUUCAUGCUACGUAAACUCACCCCUCAAUCCCUUCUACGACCCUUUUGUUCGAAGAUUGAAACCCUAUUGUGAAGACCACUGUUGCAGAGGUCCACCAACUUGAGUUCUACGACUAUUACCGGUUUCUCUCCAGCGAGCUUUGAGGUUGUGAGUCCGUUGUCGACUCGAAGCUAGCCAGUUCCAGGAUUUCUCGUUCUCUAGGGUUCUCCCUGAAACCGUAAAUCGACAAGGUUAUUCUGUGUUUCUCUUUACUAUCUACCUUAGAUCUAUAUGAUUUUCUAAAGAUUCAGAGUGUUUUUCCACAUUUUUACUGAUUUUUAUAAACCAUUCAUCUUCUUAAAAUUAGGGUUUUCUCCGAUUUUCAUUUUUUUACUACUCUACUAUGACUUCUUUGCUUUUGCUUUUCUGAUGUUUAUCUAUGAUUCCUUUAUGUCUUGCUAUGGCUUUGAAUGUUUUCCUUUUGCCUAGGGCUUCUAGUAAUUCUACUAUAUUUUGCCUUAUUUUGUGUCCUCUCUUUGUUUGUUUACCUGAGUAUCCUUUUGUUUUCUCAUCUACACCGUGAAAUAUUAGAGAACCCUAGACUUUGGGGUUUUCGUCUUUGUGUGUGUUGUUUGCCUGAUUUUAAAAACCUAACCGCUUAAACGCUUCAUGCUUCUGACUUCUGCAUGAAUUUCUAAUCGCAUCUCAUGCUUUUGUGCUUCUGCUCUCUCAUUAGACGACUUUUCCAUCAAUUUCAACCUUGCAUGUCUUUGUGCAUCUUUUAUAACAAUCUUUCUGUUUUCGAAAUAACCUUAAUUUUGGGAAACUAAUGUGUACGAACUUAUUUAAUUCUUUAAUUUGGACUUGCUUUCUGACUAAAUUUAGUAUCAAUGUGUAUCCCGAUUUCCUUGAUUCUUUGAAUGAUUGACAAUUUUACUUGCCUUAUUUGUCUAAACAGUGUGUAUUUCGAAAAUCUUAAAUGUAUUUACCCCUUAUUUCUACAAUCCAUUCUUGAUUUCCUUUCCAUAUGUCGAACUCUGUUUAUUUACCGUAAGUCCGACUCCCUUAAUUAAAGGGAAUUCUUUCCUAGAUUGAUUUCGAUUGAUGCUAAUUUAUUUUCCUGCCUUAGUUGCUGCUUGUUAUUAGACUAUAAAAAACCCCCUUCAUCUUCACUUCAAACACACGAACAUAUACAAGUUCACAUUCGAAACUCUCUCUUCUCCUCGCUGCUUUUCGUUGUUACUUGUGCUGUUGCUCGAGUUUUAGCCGGCUGAAAGCCAAGGCUAAGCUAUAAGGUUCCCUUUGCCCUAUUUGCUUUACCAUUUGAAGUUGCAAACUGGUAGGUCUAUGAUUUAAUACUAUCUCCAAAACUACAUGUUUAAUUGUUUCUUUUCACAUGUCUGUGUAUGUUCAUUAUGCAGUUAAAACUUCAGCAUGUAUAUCCUUACCCCUACACCCCUAUGUUUUAAUACUGUGUGCUUGUAUGAAUAUUUUCAUGUACUUCUCUCUCCCCGAAUCCCUUUAGUCUACCUCUGUUUGACUUUGUUUCUGUUCUUAUGCAAAUGUUUUCAUAUCUGAUCCUUUUCCCUGACCCCCUUUUGUAUGUGAGUACUAUUUUGGAUGAGCGGUACUCUAUUACCACCUUUAGUUCAAAACCAGGUUGUCCUAAACCUCUACUCAAAUCAGUCCCAUUCCCUUACCCCCGUUUAUGUGUUGAGCUUGAUUCAGGUCUGUUGAUGCCCUAAUCAUCAUAUAAGCCUAAGUCUGACUUUAUUUCAAGUCCGCUCUUUGUUUAAUCCAUGUAAAGGUUAGGGGUGUGCCAGCCCUGUUCACGGCUAGGUAUGACCACCUUUUGCAUUGGUCUUCCUCUAAUCCCUCACUUUACACUUACUCUUAGUUCUUUAAGCCCUACCCCCUCUAAUAAACCAUGCUUAGGGACCCUUGAGUUCCCUUUAAACUUGGAUACCUAAAGGCUGGUAAUUCCACACCUUGCACUACUCUAAUCAUUAUUUUAGGGUGUAAGAAAUGCCUGGGAUUCCUGAAAGCCCUUGGAACUUUGAUACACUCUAAGGGAAAGCCUGGGAUCUGGAUCCUGGAUUAGGUAAAAUACAUAUGUUGGACAUUAAGGUUGCUUUGAGCUUCCUCGGGUCGUUUUAGCUUUGAUGUAUUCAUUUUAUUAGUCUUUUAUCUCCCUUUAUGUAACAAGAUUUGUAAAAUAAAUUUGGGGAUAUAGUGAAAAGGGUGUGAGAGGGGUUUAUAUUUUUUGUAAUCAUAAUGGAAAUCAUGCCUAUUGGAUGUUUUUCAUAAUAGAAAUCAUGCCUAUAGGAUUUUUGUAUUAGAAAUCAUGCCUAUAUGAUUUUGUAUUUGAAAUCGUGCCUAUAAGAUCUUAACGUUGCAUCUAGAAAUCCUGCCCAUAAGUAUUUAACAUUCCGUAAUCAAAUGCAUAUAGAAAUCAUGUCUAUAUGGACUGUAUAAAAAAAUGCUAGGCGAACAGUAGGUCCUUCGAACGUUUAAAAGAAACAACAAAUCAAUCUGUAGAUGUCAUGCUUAUAGGAUUCAAACUCGCCUAAUUUGUUAGACGCCUUCAAUAAAAGAAUUUGUCCAAUACUGCUUUUUUUGAGAGCUGAUCAAAUCUGCCUUCUACGCUAUUUUAAAUCUAUAAGAAUCUUUUUUUUAAUUUCAAACUGCAUUUUCUAAGAUCGACCUCUCUUUUCCUGCAUAGUCCGUACUUCAAUGCUUUUCUUGCACCAUUUUUACUUAAGGCAAUUCGGUUAUUUUAUUUCUUAAUUUUGCAAAUCCCAAAUUCUUGUUUCAAAUCAUCACUGGUUUUCAAAAAUGCUUUAAGUUUCAAUAAACCGGAUACGGGGUCUCAAAGUAGAUUUAUUAUCCAACGUUAUGUGUUUAACUAAUCUAUCUAUUAUCAAUUCUAAACUCAAGACCAAAUCGGUAAUUGCAAGUCAUGCUAAACUAAUUGCUGUUGUGAUUUGCGGGGUUUACGAGCCUCUGAAUGUCUGAUUUGUAUACUCUUAUGUUCUACUUGUUUUGGUUGUCGCCUUAGCAUUUUUACCUUUGAAACUCCAUAUAUAUGUCUUAUCCUUCUUCCCCCUUUUAGGAUUAGAAAUUCUAAUACCCCGGGACUAAUAGGUUGGGAUGGGUAUUAGAAUGCAAUAAGUAAACGAGACCAAACGCGUUUAAAUACCUUAACGGGAUGGGAAGGGUAGGAUAUGGAGAUGAUGACGAUGCGACAAUAUCAUAAAACGACCCCUCUUUGGGAAUAUAUGUAGGAUAUUGUAUCAAAUGAUCCAUAUUAUAGUUAAAUCUAGGACCCCCCCCCCCUUUUACUUUUACUUUUAUUAUUUUUUAAAUUCUUUCUCUAAAAAAUUCUCUUUUACUUGUGUUGUUCCUCUUUCAAAAUUGCCCAAUAGCUUUGCAUUCUUUAUAUGCACAUUUGCUUGCCUAUUUCUAUGCUUCUUUAAGUUACAUCUACGCAAGGCCGGGAACUACACUAGUGGAUCUUUAGGGGUGCCUAACACCUUCCCCUCGAGACAAUUUCAAGCCCUUACCCGAACUCUGGUUUUCAUUCAAAAUCUUAUUAAAAGUGUCGCGGUGCACUAUAAUCAUUAGGUGGCGACUCUUCAAACGCCAUAACCCAAUUCCCAAAAGGGAAUAAGAGUUGUUUUCUCCAUAAUGUCAUAAACCAAAUUUCGCUGCUUUUAGGAGGGAAAAAGGGGGCGUCGAUAGCAUGGCGACUCUACUGGGGAUUUUCUUUAAGGCUUUUACCAUUACUUGCUUCUGUGACUUUAUUUGCAUUUAUUUCCUAUUUUAAUUAUUCCAUCACAAUUACUAACUUGACUCUUCAUGUUUUCUCUUUCCGUUAACUGCUUUCUAUACCGCUUUGUUAUUUCAAUUCAGUUGUAAUUUUCAAGUAUCUAUUGUAAUCUUUAUUUUUAUGAACAUGAAAAUACAUGCAACUUGUUUCACUAUUGUAAUUGCAUCUCUCAACAUCAUAUUCCACUCAUGCCAAAACAAUUCCCAUAGCAAUGCUUACAAGGAAUAGUUGCGUCCUUCCAAUAUUAUAAAACCCCUAAAUGUGGCAAAGGCAUAUUAGUGGUAAAACAAGCCGAUCAAUGGUGUAGUUGAUGGUUUUGCGCCUUUCCUUAUUAAGUUGUUCGCUCAAGGGUACCUUGUCUAGCACUUAAAAAAUAGAAACCUUACUCUAUUGAACUGUUCAUGCAUCAUAGUCAACCAUAGCCGAGUCAGUUAUGUUGUCCGCAUAUUGAUUCAUUAAGAUAGCCUCAACCAAAGUCCAUCGGGUUUCCUCAAACCCAAACAGACAUUCACGCGAUGUGCAUUGAUUUGGAGAACUAAAUGCCUUUUGCUAAUUAUUAAUUCAAAUAGUCGAGUUUGGCGUGGUUAAGGGCCUAAGAAUUUGUUUUGCAGAAAAUGAGGCACGAGGUCCCAGAUUCGGUAUGAUAUCCAACAUCCACCCAAAGUUGCUGAGCUGGUGGGAGGAUCUUCAUAGCAGUGAUCAAACCCUCAUCCCUAAGCAUUUAGGGAAUUCGCCUUCGCUUUUGGAAAUCCAACCCAACAACAAAAUCAUUGAGCUGCCACUUUGUUUUGGGAUGGUGAUCAAUCAGUGUUCCGUUUCGGGGAUUUGGAGAUGACCCCUUUUCUAGAAGCAUCCCUUAGAAACGUCGGGUCUACUCAUGCUGGAAAAUCAUAAAAGUAGACGUUUCCUUAAAAUGAUGGGACUCAAGAAAAAUCCUAACCUUUCUUGCUUGAAGGACUCUUACAUACCAUUCGACUUUCUAUAUGAGAGAUACGAUCACAGUAAGUCCUAUCGCACCUACAUGGAUGAAUUCGCCCUCAGCUCUUUGUGGCACAUACAUAGAAGGGUGUUUGUGUUUAUGUUUUACUUCUUGGGCAUGUUAACUUUUCCUAUGAAGAAGGUUAGGAUUCACACCAAACUAACCAUGGUUACUAAGACUUUAAUAGAAGGGAUGGAUGGACGAUCAUUUAGCAUAGUACCUACGAUCCUCGCGGAAAUCUAUCAAGCCUUGUGAAAGUGCCAACAAGGGGCUCCACAUUUUGAGGGUUGUAACUUAUUACUUCAACAAUGGCUCCUAGAACACCUUCAGAAAGGCGACUACAGACAGGAAAUCAUACGCAGAGAUUGGGAUGACCACAUCACUUUUCAUCAUCCAAAGCGAAUGAAAUUCAUGCCAAAUAUGUUCGCUCAUCCAGAGGACACCAGUGGAUGGGUAACGUCAUUCGAGAAUCUGAAAGAAGAGCAAAUUCAGUGGAUGUUCGAGUGGUUCAUAACAGGAGAGUUCAUUGUUUGUUCUCGAGAUGCAUCGUUCCUCAUACUCAUUGGCCUUAGGGGAACUCAUCCUUACAUCCCCCUCCGAGUGAUGAGGCAAGCCAGAAGGACACAAAUCAUACCCAGGUUAGAAAAAUUGAGUCAUUUCAGGGCUGACUUUCAAAAUGACGAUAGCCCGCAUAGGUGUCACGCUCAACAUAUGUGGCACUGCAAGCUCGUUCUAAGGAAGGAUUCUAUUGAACCAGACAGGUAUCAUGCUGGGUGUGUACCGCACUACACAGGUUGGAUAGAAGAUGAUCAUAUUGGUUUAGGUCGUCCGGGGUUCGUCCAUGAUCACAGAAUUAUUGACGAGAAAGCUGAGGCGCAAGUCAAAUACAAUCAACUGUGCAAGAGGAUGAGAGAAUGUGAGAACGAACAUCGGGAAAUACUGGAAGCCCACGAGAAGCUGAUCAACAAGUGGAAGGAUAUGGCUGUCAAAGCCAACAACCGUUUGGGGUAUAUGGAGCAAGGUUUGGUAGAGUUGGAAGGAAAUUUAUUGCAAAGUAUCGAAGACUGUUAGAAUGCUGAGGGAAGCGCAAGUGGACAUUUGACUCAAGCCUACCUACUGUUAGGGAUGCGUGAGUUGAUGCAGCUAUACGAGGGAGGCAAGAAUACCGAAUCUGGGGAAGGUCCUUCCGGGACCAAGUAGUUAGGAGUAUUUUCUUUUGCUUUAAUGAUAUAAUAAGGCCAAUGGCCAUUAGUGAUAUUUUAUUUAGUGUCUCUUUGGGAUUCGUCUUAUUUUUAUCAAUAAAAUGAAGCACUUAGCAUUAUAUGUUCUCCAAAUUUUAUUUGUCUCUAGGCCUACCUUGGGCACAAUGAGGCACCCAAAUUAGGAAGCGAAUUAUAUUCCCGCACAAUGUGUUUAAAUAUUGCAAUAUUAUUUAUCAGAAUUUGCACUAACUUUUUACCUUUUUUGUUUUUCUUUUAUUUUUAUUCCCCUCCCCAAAGGAUAGUUCCACACAAUGUGUAUAAAUAUUGAAAUAUUAUCUAUUAGAAUCCACACUAACUUUUUACCUUUUUGUUUUUCUUUUUUUUUAUUCCCCUCCCCAAAGGAUAGUUCGUGCAUUCUGGCACCAUCAACAUACUCCACAAGAUCAAAGGGUCCUCCACCUCCUCCUCCUCCGAGUCCUCCCAGGCACCCCGAUACCAAUGCUAGAAAGGAAGUCGAAGAGGUUUCAAUCACCAAAGAAACUGCUGCUCAUCUUGAGCAAAGUUUGCUAAGGUUUCAAGAAGAGUUGGAACAGGUCCUGAACUUAGCAAGUCUGUCGAUCACUCUUGCUGCUGCUGACGCCAACAAAUCACCACCGCCGCCACCAGCCCAGCCUGCUCAGACCCAAGUCCGCAACACAUGCAACAAUGCUCCACUUCUUAUCCCGGAGCCCCAAAACACCACAGAUAACAAGAACACACCUAUCUUUAUGGAUGUUGUACCCCAUUACGGUCAGCCAAUCACCAAUGUAGCCGAGUCGGACGAUAAAAUCUCCCUCAUUCAGAAUUUGGCCACUGAGAUAAAGAAGUUGACUAGCCGGGUUUAGGGUUUUGAAGGUAACAAGGGUGUUGAAGGGCGGAAUUACAAAGAUCUCUAUGUUCAACUAGAUGUUGAGCUCCCGAAAAGGUACAAACCUCUCAAGUUCGAAAUGUUCGAUGGCACGGGUGAUCCCAGGGUUCACUUGAGAAUGUAUUGUGACAAGGUAGUAGGAGUCGGUAGGGACGAGAAGAUCCAUAUGAAGCUAUUCAUGAGGAGCUUGUAGGUGAUGCCUUAUCCUGGUAUAUUAGCCAGGAUGCGAAGAAAUGGACUAGUUGGGUAAGCAUGAGGGAUGAGAAGAUCCGUAUGAAGCUAUUCAUGAGGAGUUUAAAGGGUGAUACCUUAUCCUGGUAUAUUAGCUAGGAUGCGAAGAGAUGGACUAGUUGGGUAAACAUGGCGUCUGAUUUCAUGGAUCGAUUUACGUUCAACACUAAGAACGCACCAGAUGUGUUCUAUAUUCAAAAUCUUAAGAAGAAGCCCACAGAGACCUUUUGCGAGUAUGCUACUCGUUGGAGGUUGGAAGCUGCUAAGCUCAGACCGACCUUGGAAGAAGAACAAAUUAACAGAUUCUUUAUCCAUGCUCAAGAUGCACAGUACUAUGAAAGAUUGAUGCUAAUUGAGGGUCAAAAGUUCUCCGAUAUCAUCAAAUUGGAUAUGGAGUCUGAUUUUAUAGAUCGAUUCAUGUUCAACACUCAGAACGCACUAGAUGUGUUCUGUAUUCAGAAUCUUAAGAAGAAGCCUACGGAUACCUUUCGCGAAUAUGCUACUCGUUGGAGGUCGGAAGCAGUUAAGGUCAGACCAGGCUUGGAGAAAGAACAAAUGAAUAGAUUCUUUGUCUGUGCUUAAGACCUGCAGUACUAUGAAAGAUUCAUGCUAAUUGAGGGUCAAGAGUUCUCCGAUAUCAUCAAAUUGGGAGAAAGGAUUGAAGAAGGCAUCAAGAACGGUAUGGUCACUAACCUCGAGGCACUGCAAGCCACCAACAAGGCUCUACAGUCUAGUGGCUCGACAAAUAAGAAGGAUGUAAAUUCCGUAAUGGCUGCGCAAAGAAACAACUCUCCAAGGAAGUACCAAACCUAUCCCUCAACCCCACUCACGUAUCAGCUUACCUUAAGUUACACAACACCAUCACCCACUUACCAAAUUCCACUACCUGCAUACCAAUCACCUCCACUACCCACAUAUCAACCCACUUCACCCAAAUAUUCCCAACCUGCACACAUUUACCAAGCAUAUAACUCCCAACCUUCUCACUACCUAUCACCGCCUGCUCGCCAAAAUUUUCCUCGACCUAGACCAAACUUUGACCGCAAACCUCCUAGACAAUACACCGCCAUGGCGGAGCCAAUUGACCUAUUAUAUGAAAAACUCAAAGUAGUAGGUUAUGUUAUCCCUAUCCCAGCCGUAACUCCAGAAAACCCUUCCUAAUGGAUCAACCCAAACAAGACUUGCCCAUACCAUUCCGGGAUAAAGGUCCAUACCAUUGACGAUAUUCGCUCGUUAAAAGACAAGAUUCAAAAUCUGAUUGACAACAAGAUUAUUAUAGCAAACUAGCUUGCUCCUAAUGUCCGCAACAACCCUCUACCUGACCACAAGGGUGGAGGAAUCCACGUGAUUAAGAUCAAAGAUGAUUGGGACCCAAAAGGGGUCAAUCGGUUUGAUAGAUGAAGAAGAAUAGCCUAAGAAGCCAACGGUUACUCUCAAUCCCAUUGUCGUCCAGAUUCAGCCCUCUGAGGGUGACGUGGUAAAUGUAUCCAUGUCACUCGAGUUUGAAGUACCUUCUGCAAAGGCGCCAAAACCAAUUAAGGUUGAGUUCGGUGUUCCAAAACCACCUACAUCGUUUGAAGUUACUGUGUUGCCUCCCAAGGGACCUAUUCCAGUCUGCAUGACAGAUAUGACCCCGUUACAAACAAAUGCUAUACCUUGGGAUUACACUGCUGAGGCUAGAAGGAAAGAAAAGAUGUAUACUAGAGAAACAACUUCCGCACAAGGCCUGACUAGGACAGGUAGGGUAUACAUCCCGGAACAUUUAGAUGAGUCUAGCAAGCAGGCUUCCCAGCGAGCUGCUGAAACUGGACCCGAUGACCUCUGGAGAAAGGUAUAGGCCAAAGCGUACUCGGUCGUUGAGAAGAUGAAUAAGACACCGGGACAUAUUUCUAUUCUGGCCCUCCUACAAAGCUUUGAGGCACAUAAAAUGCCUUGAUGAAAAUACUAAGUGAAAUUUAUGUUCCCAGCAACAUAACAGGAGGCGAAAUGGCAACCAUGGUGGUAAAAAUACCAGAAAGCCAUAAGAUUUCCUUCCACGAAGAUGAAUUACCACCUGAAGGGCUUGGUCACAAUAAAGUAUUGCACGUCACUGCGCAAUGUAAGGAUCACUUUAUCUCCAGGAUUCUAGUCGUUGGGGGAUCCAGCCUCAACAUUUGUCUGUUGGUCACUCUCAGGAAUAUGGGCAAGGGAUUGCACGAGAUCAAAUACGGGGCUAUCAGUGUUAAAGCUUUUGAUGGAUCUCAGAGGUCCACCAUUGGAGAUAUUAGCUUAUGCCUGCAGAUGGGGCCCACUUGGUUUGACGUUGAGUUCCAAGUCAUUGAUGUACCACCGUCCUACAACUUAUUUCUAGGACGACCCUUGAUCAACGCCACUGGGGAUGUGGCCUCAACAUUGCAUCAAGCUGGGAAAAUUGUACGGAAUCAUCAAGAAGUAAUCAUUCAUGGCAACGGUAGCAACCCCAUAUACAGUCGGCAGGCUAUCCUGAUGAUCGGAGGAAGAAGGAGAAUCAGUGGAGAAACAUACCAUCACAUCGAGUGAUUCAAGGCCAUAGACAAGGAUAAGUGGUGGGAUAGCAAAAUUGAGAGCAUUCUGAAUUGGAGCAUAUACGAGCCCGGAAAGGGGCUUGACAAGAAUCUCCAAGGUAUCACCAAGCCCAUCAAGUUGAAGAAGCAUGGAACCACUUUUGGCAUGGGGUAUGAAUACACUUGGGAGGAGUUCCACUACUGGUCGCCACCAUGGCGCGGCCCCUACUACCCACUGGAGCAUCCACUACCCCAGUUUGAGUAGACUUUUCAGCCCGCUAAUGUCAUAUCAGAGGAAGAUGAGACACUAGCAGCCAUGAAGAACCUGUUUCUAGAGGAUGACAUGGAUUGAUGUGUUUCCUUCGAGGAGGAAGGGAAGGAAGGCCCUUCCAUUCAAGCUAUGAACUGGGGAGUGAACCUCACCAAUUAGUCAAUAAGGACCACCAGUUCCCGUAGAGCCUCAGGGCAGCAAGGCUCUACCAUUUACUUUAUUGUACACAGUAUUACUAUUACGUAUCUUGAUAAUGAACCAACAAUUGUAACGAGCGAUGAGACAAUGCGACAAACGGAUGUAGAUUUAGAGAAGGAUGAAAUACCAAAAGAGGUUGUCAGAGAGGUUGAAAAACUUGAGAACAGACCUAAGUCCAAUUUGGACAAAACUGAGGUCAUUAAUUUAGGAGACGUAGAAAAUGUCAAUGAAAUACGAAUCAGCGUACACUUGUCACCAUCAAAAAGGACGAAUACAUAAGUUUUUGAAAGAGUAUGAGAACAUAUUCGCCAUGUCAUAUGAUGAUAUGACCGGCCUCAGCACGUCCAUUAUGGCACACAAGUUACCGACACAUCCAGCAUGCCCGCCGGUCAAACAGAAAAUCAAAAAGUUUAAGCCAGACAUGAGUUUGAAAAUCAAAAAAGAGGUCACCAGGCAAUUAAAGCCAGGGUUCUCAGAGUGGUAGAGUAUCCAACAUGGUUAUCCAACAUUGUACCGGUGCCAAAUAAGGACGGGAAGGUUAGAGUCUGUGUCGACUACCGAGAUCUCAACCGGGACAGUCCUAAAGAAGAAUUUCCUUUGCCAAAUAUACACAUAUUGAUUGAUAACUGCGCCAAACAUAGCUGCAGUCAUUCGCCGAUUGUUUUUCUGGGUACCAUCAUAUAUGGAUGGACGAAGAGGAUGCAUAGAAAAUGGCAUUCAUCACGCCGUGGGGAAUGUACUGUUACAGAAUGAUGCCAUUCGGUCUAAGAAUGCUGGUGCUACCUAUAUGAGAGCCAUGACCAUAAUAUUUCAUGAUAUGAUACACAAGGAGAUCGACGUAUAUGUGGAAGAUGUCAUCAUUAAAUCCAUAAAAACUGCAGAUCACAUGGAAUAUUUGAGAAAAUUCUUCAACAGACUGAAGAGAUACAACCUAAAGCUGAACCCCGCCAAGUGUGCAUUUGGGUCCCAGCCAGAAAAUUAUUGGGUUUCAUCGUGAGUCGUCGAGGAAAAGAACUAGAUCUAUCAAAGGUCAAGCCAUUCAAGAGUUGCCACCUCCAAAGAACAAGAAAGAGGUAAUGAUUUUUCUAGGGAGGCUCAACUAUAUCAGCCAAUUCAUAGCUCAGUCCACUAUCAUUUGUGAACCCAUCCUCAAGAUGCUAAAGAAAGAUUUCGCCACUAAAUGGACUGAUGAUUUGUCAAAAGGCUUUCGAUAGAAUCAAGGAAUACUCUUCAAUGCCGUCAGUCUUGGUUCCACCUGAGCCAGGGAGACCUCUAUUGCUUUAUCUUGCAGUAUUGGAUGGGGCGUUUGGUUGUGUUUGGGACAACAUGACGAAACAGGAAGGAAGGAGCAAGCCAUCUACUACCUCAGCAAGAAGUUUACCCCUUACGAGGCUUGGUGUUCCUUAUUAGAGCGCACUUGUUGGGCUUUAACCUUGAAAGCUCAGAAAUUGAGGCACUAUUUUUGCGCUUACAGCACUCAUCUCAUAUCCAGGAUGGAUCCAUUGAAGUAUAUUUUCUAGAAGCCCAUGCCUACUGGCAAGCUCGCCAAGUGGCAAAUUUUAUUAAGCGAAUUUGACAUCAUUUAUGUUACUUAUUAGAGCGCACAAGUUGUACAUUAACCUGGGUAACUCAGAAAUUGAGGCAUUAUUUCUGCAUUUACACACCUCAUCUCAUAUCCAGGAUGGAUCCAUUGAAGUAUAUUUUCUAGAAGCCCAUGCCUACUGGCAAGCUCGCCAAGUGGCAAAUUUUAUUAAGUGAAUUUGACAUCAUUUAUAUUACCCAGAAGGCGAUCAAAAGACAAGCCUUGGCAUAUCACCUCGCCGAGAAUCCUGUAGGAGGAGAAUACGAACCCCUAAAGACGUAUUUUCGUGACGAAGAGAUAACCUUCAUAUGAGAAGACAUUGCCGAAUCCUAUGAUGGUUGGAGGAUGUUUUUUGACGGAGCCGCAAACUUCAAAGGAGUGGGUAUAGGAGCGACUCUAGUAUCGAAAACUGAUCAGCAUUACCCGGUGUCCGCCAAGCUCAGAUUCCCCUGUACCAAAAAUAUGGCCGAGUACGAAGCCUGCAUCUUAGGGCUCAUUGGUAUCAGAAACUGGUCAGCAUUACCCGGUGUCCGCCAAGCUCAGAUUCCCCUGCACCAACAAUAUGUCGAGCACGAAGCCUACAUCUUAGGGCUCAAGCUGGCCAUUGACAUGAAUGUUCAGGAACUGCUAGUGAUCGGAGAUUCGGACCUACUCAUUCAUCAGGUUCGAGAAGAAUAGGCAACCAAAAAUUCCAAGAUACUCCCCUAUCUACACCAUGUGCAGGAUUUGAGGAAAAAAUUCAGAAAGACGAAGUUCCAACAUGUUCCUAGAAAGCAGAACGAGUUCGCUGAUGCUUUAUCCACUUUAUCAUCCAUGAUCCAGCAUCCAUAUACAAACAUUAUUAAUCCCAUCUCGGUCAAGAUUCAUGACCAACCGGCUUAUUGUGCUCACAUCGAGGAAGAAGCCGACGAAAAAUCUUGGUUCCAUGAUAUCAGGGAAUAUUCCACACUAUGAGAGUACCCAGAGCUUGCCAAUGCUACUCAGAAACGAACACUUCGGAGAUUUUCCAAUAAUUUUUUUCACAACGGAGGAAUCCUGUAUAAGAGGACUCCUGAUUUGGGAUUAUUAAGAUGUGUCGAGGCAAAAGAAGCAACCAGACUAUUGGAGGAAGUGCACGCGGGGACUUGUGGACAACAUAUGAAUGGUUUUGUUUUGGAAAAUAAUAUACUCCGAGCAGGGUAAUUUUGGAUGACUAUGGAGACGGACUGCAUUCAGUACAUCCCAAAAUGCCUUCGAUGUCAAGCACACGCAGAUAUGAUAAAGGUGCCUCUAAACGAGCUUACUGCGACAAGCUCACCAUGGUCGUUCGCCGCUAGGGGUAUGGACGUCAUUUGACCAAUUGAACCAGCCGCGUCAAAUGGGCACAUGUUCAUCCUAGUGGCAAUUGAUUACUUUACCAAAUGGGUUAAAGCAGCAUCAUACAAGGCAGUCACCAAGAAAGUAGUAGAAGAUUGCAUCCGAGAUCGUAUGGUUUUUCGAUUCGAGGUUCUAGAAUCAGUCAUCACUAACAACGGCUCUAACCUCAAUAGCGACCUGAUGAAAAUGUGUGAAACAUUUAAGAUCAGACAUAAGAAUUCUACGGCUUACAGACCUGGGAUGAAAAGAGCUGUACAAGCAGCCAAUAAGAACAUCAAGAAGAUACCAAGGAAAAUGAUUGAAAGCACAACUAGUGGCAUGAGAAAUUAACGUUUUCUUUAUUGGGUUACCGUACCACGGUCCGCACAUCAACCGGGGACACUCCUUACAUGUUGGUUUAUGAUACAGAGGCGGUCAUUCCCGCUGAGGUAGAAAUUCCAUCCUUAAGGGUCAUACAAGAAGCAGAAUUAGAUGAUGCAGAAUGGGUCGAAAGUCGCUACGAGUAGUUAGCCCUCAUCGACGGGAAGAGAAUAAAUGUUGUCUGUCAUGGUCAAUUAUAUCAUAACAAAAUGUCCAAUGCCUUCAACAAGAAAGUUAGACCAAGGAAGUUUACACCAGGACAGCUAGUACUGAAGAAGAUAUUUCCACAUCAAGAUGAAGCCAAAGGGAAAUUCUCUCCCAAUUGGCAGGGUCCAUACAUGGUUCUAUGGGUUCUAACUGGAGGAGCCCUUAUUCUCGCAAAAAUGGACGGAGAAAUGUGGCCGAAACUAUCAACUCGGACGCACUGAAAAGAUACUACAUCUGAUCACAUGCUUUCUUUAAUGAUGUAAUUUGAACUACGCCUGACCUGAUUCCCGUUUAAGAUGGGAUACGUAGGUAGCCCUAUGGGUUCGGUCACCCUAUUGGAACUGGGGCAGAAUUUUGAGGAGGACCCUCAAAAUUCCGAAGUCAAUUUUUUGUAGUCUCUUCAGCAGCGCCAACCUAGUAAACAAGGGCAGAAUUUUGAGGUGGACAUUCAAAAUUCCGCAGCAAGCAAGGUCGUCGUGUUUUGAACCACGUUGCAAUUCAUUGGUUCAUCCAAAACAAAAGAAUUUUUUAUAUAUAUACGUACGCGCAUUAUAUUUACUAAGUCAUGCAUAAACAUCACUUGCACCACCAUCGUUUAGCAAUGCUACCCCCAUGAUACACGACGCCAAAUCUGGAGGAUAUGAACUAACCUCCCCCUACAGAACUCACGUUUUUUCUUUGUUUGCAGGAACUCAGGUUACUGAUCAAGACACAUUCGCUCUUCGGGAUCGAAUCCCUCAUAGGAUAACUAUCCUAGCAGUCCUAAUCUUGCAAAACCGUCUACCAGCUAAGACAACGUACCACUAUUAGCUCUUUUACAUUCCUGCAUUGCAUAAGGCUAUUAUCUGCCUUUCGAGUGACGCCAAAGGUUGGAGGACACAAACUAACCUUACUCAUAUUUUUCUUUGGUUGCAUGAACUCAGUUAUGGAUCAAAGCGUAUUCGUUCUGCAGGAUCAAAAUCCUCAUAGGGUCACUAUCCGUACUCCACAUUCCCCAGUAGUCCUAACAUCGGAAAACCAACAAUCAGCUAAGAAAACUUACUGCUAUUCACUCAUUUACAUUCCAGCAUUGCAUAAGGCUAUUUCUGCCUUUCGAGACUAAGCUCUGUCUCCAUUUGCAUUUUGCAUAAGGCUAUUAUCUGCCUUCCGAGGUUAACCUCUACCUCCAUAUUACAUAAGGCUCCUAUCCACCUUUCGAGACUAAGCUCUGUCUCCAUCUACAUUUUUUGCAUAAGGCUACUCUCUGCCUUUCCAGGUUAAUCUCUACCUCCACAUUGCAUAAGGCUAUUAUCUGCCUUUCAAAACUAAGCUCUAUCUCCAUCCGCAUUUUUGCAUAAGGCUACUCUCUGGCUUUUGAGGUUAAGAUCUACCUCAACAUUGCAUAAGGCUAUUAUCUGCCUUUUGAAACUAAGCUCUGUCUCCAUCUGCAUUUUGCAUAAGGCUACUCUCUGCCUUCCUAGGUUAAUCUCUACCUCUAUAUUGCAUAAGGCUCUUAUCUGCCUUUCGAGACUAAGCAUUGUAUACGGCCUGCAUGGCUGAAAUAUUGCCGCUUUAUUUUUCGACUAGCUGAAACAUCGCCACCAUCCUUUUGAAAUUCUCAUCUGGCUGAAACAUCGCCACCUGCAUUUUGAAAUUCUCAUCUAGCUGAAACAUCGCCUCCUGCAUUUGAAAUUCUCCUCCGGCUGAAAUAUCACCAUUUGUUUUAAUUUCUCGCUCUGGCUAAAAGAUCACCACCAUUUGCAUUCAUUUGGCUAAAAGAUCGCCAACUCAUUCAAAGGCGUUAUAGUUCGAAGGCACCAUGUGCACCCAAGAACAUCAUUUUAUGGCCUGCGAACCCUUACUUUUAUGCUUUUCAUGGCCCAGGACAUCAUAGUAUAAGCACAUCAUCCUAACCGUCCGAAGACAAACAUUCAUGGUCCAAUAUAUACGCACAUCGGCCAUUUGCAGGUAGUCUGGCUAGUUCACAGUCGUCUCAGCAUGAGCGAUCUUGCUCCAGUUCUUCGCAGUUUGUCUGAUUCCAAGCACCCUCUCAGAUCUAAUCGUCGCGAUUGUUUUUUCCGAAUUCCAAUCGGCAUACUCCGUCAAUGGUUCCUAAACUACAUAUGGCCUGAUUCCUGUAAAACCAGAGAUAUGUAGGCAGCUCAGAAACCAGAGCGCGGUCAAUAUAUGUUCACAAUCGCCGUCUCCGAUCAAAAUUGACCAUCUUAUCUUUACCCGACAACUCUUUCAUCCUCCUCGGGUAAAGAGGGGCAACUAUUGAUACCCAAAUUUUUUCUAUGUAUUUGUGUACUCAAAUACAUUCAAAAUAGCAUAUAUAAGCAUUCACAAAGGUUUUAGUAUUUUUCCAAUUUUUCAAGAUUUUUAAAACCAAUUUGUGGCCUAUUUUGCACUAUAAAAUCCACUAAUUAUUCCCAAAAUUUGUUAUUUUUUGUGAAUAAUUUAUUUUAUACUCACAUUUACAGACAAAUAGAAUACAUAAUUGUUGCAUAAUUUUACAAGCUCAUUUGGCAUUUAUAAAUUUAAAUUGUAUGAAAUUAUAAUUUUAGCCUAUUUCACGAUUAAAUAGUAUUUUUAAUCAUAAAAAUAUUUUUAAAAUUUUUAAAUUAAUACUUUUGCUUUGUUUAUUAACUCAGUAUUUUUAAUUAGAUUUGUAAACAUCAUUUGCUAAUUUGUAAAAUUCAAAUUACGGGGGAAAUUGGUUAUUUAAGUUAUAGCCCUUUUUUAUUUAAAUUAUAGCCUUAAUUUCAACCCUAAUUACAAUGCCCAAUUCAUCAAAUAACCUGAACCACAUCCCAAAAAGAUAACCCUCCCGGAAUCCCCCUUUCAAUCAGGACCGUUGAUCAUUUAGAUCAACGGCCCACGUUAACCUUUCCCUUAAUUAAACUGGAUACACCCUAACCCUAAUAACUUUACACGUUCAGCCUUCUUGUAUCCCCCUCAUCUCUUAAACGCUCCCAAGCCCCCUGAAACCCUUGCCUCCUCCGGUCACUUUCUGACCUCUUUUCACCAGAUACUAUGGCCUUCCAGGCUUCAUGCUACCUGAACUCACCCCUCAAUCCCUUCUACGACCCAUUUGUCCGGUCUCUCUCCAGCGAGCUUUGAGGUAGUGAGUUCAUUGUCGACUCGAAGCUAGCCAGUUCCAGGCUUUCUCGUUCUCUAGGGUUCUCCCUGAAACCCUAAAUCUCCAAGGUUCUUCUGUGUUUCUCUUUACGAUCUACCUUAGAUCUAUCUGAUUUUCUAAAGAUUCAGAGUGUUUUCCAUAUUUUAAUCGAUUUUUAUCUUCAAACCGUUCAUCUUCUUAAAAUUAGGGUUUUCUCUGAUUUUCUUUUUUUUUAAUACUCUACUAUGACUUAUUUGCUUUUGCUUUUCGGAUGUUUACCUGUGAUUCCUUUAUCUCUUGCUAUGGCUUUUGAAUAUUUUCCUUUUACCUAGGGUUCUGGUAAUUUUACUGUAUUUUGCCUUAUUUUGUGUCCUCUCUGAGUUUGUUUACCUGAGUAUCCUUUUGUUUUCUCAUCUACACCGUGAAAUAUUAGGGAACCCUAGACUUGGGGGUUUUCAUCUUUGUGUGUGUAUUUGCCUGAUUCUGAAAACCUAACUACUUAAACGCUUCAUGCUUCUGACUUCUGCAUGAAUUUCUAAUCGCAUCUCAUGCUUGUGUGCUUCUGCUCUCUAAUUACAUGACCUUUCCAUCAAUUUCAACCUUGCAUGUCAUGGUGCAUCUUUUAUAACAACCUUUCCCUUUUCGAAAUAACCUUAAUUUUGGGAAACUGAUGUGUACGUACUUAAUUCAUUCUUUAAUUUGGACUUUCUUUUUGACUAAAUUCAGUAUCAAUGUGUAUCCCAGUUUCCUGGAUUCUUUGAAUGAUUGUCAAUUUUACUUGCCUUAUUUGUCUUAACCGUUGUGUAUUCCAAAAAUCUUAAAUGUAUUUACCCCUUAAUUAAAGGGAAUUCUUUCCUUGAUUGAUUUUAAUUGAUGCUAAUUUAUUUUCCUGUCUAAGUUGCUACUUGUUUUCAGACUAUAAAACCCCCUUCAUAUUUACUUCAAACACACGAACAUAUACAAGUUCACAUUCAAAACUCUCUCUUCUCCUCGUUUCUUUUCUCUGUUACUUGUUCCGCUGCUUGAAUUUUAGCCGGCUAAAAGCCAAGGCUAAGCUAUAAGGUUCCUUUUGCCCUAUUUGCUUUACCAUUUGAAGUUGCAAAUUGGUAGGUCUAUGAUUUAAUUCCAUCUCCAAAACUACAUGUUUAAUUGUUUCGUGUCACAUGUCUGUGUAUGUCCAUUAUGCAGUUAAAACUUCAGGAUGUAUAUCCCUACCCCCACACUCCUAUGUUUUAAUAUUGUGUUCUUGUAUGAAUGCUUUCAUGUAAUUCCCUCUCCCCAGAUCCCUUUAGUCUACCUCUGUUUGACUUUAUUUCUGUUCUUAUACAAAUGUUUUCAUAUCUGAUCCCUUUCCCCGACCCCCAUUUGUAUGUGAGUACUUUUUUGGAUAAGAGUGGUACUCUAUUACCACCUUUUGUUCAGAACCAGGUUGUCCUAGACCUCUACUCAAAUAAGUCCCUUUCCUUUACCCCCGUUUAUGUGUUGAGCUUGACUCAGGUCUGUUGAUGCCAUAAUCAUUGUACAGGCCUUAGUCUGACUUUAUUUCAAGUCUGCUCUUAUUUAUUUAAUUCAUGUAAAGGUCAGGGGUGUGCCAGCCCUGUUCAUUGCUAGGUAUGACCACCUUUUGCAUUGGCCUUCCUCUAAUCCCUCACUUUACACUUACUAUUAGUUCUUUAAGCCCUACCCCCCCCCCCUCUCUGGUAAGCCAUGCUUAGGGACCCCUGAGUUCCUUCUGAACUUGGAUACCUAAAGGCUGAUAAUUCCACACCUUGCACUACUCUAAUCAUUAUUUUAGGGUGUAAGCAUUGCUAGGCUUCUUGAAAGCCCUUGGAACUUUACUCUAAGAGAAAGCCUUGGAAUCUGGAGCCUGGAUUUGGCAAAAUACAUAUGUUGGACAUUAAGAUUGCUUUGAGCUUCCUCGGGUCCGUUUUAGCUUUGAUGUAUUCAUUUUAUUAGUCUUUUCUCUCCCUUUAUGUAACAAGCUUUGCAAAAAGAAUUUGAAGAUAUAGUGAAAAGGGUGUGGGAGGGGUUUAUAUUUUUGCUAAUCAUAAUAGAAAUCAUGCAUAUCGGAAUUUUUUCAUUAUAGAAAUCAUGCCUAUAGGAUUUUUGUAUUAGAAAUUAUGCCUAUAGGACUUUGUAUUAGAAAUCAUGCCUAUGGGAGUUCAAUAUUGCAUCUCAUCUAGAAACCAUGUUUAUAGGAAUUCAAUAUCGCAAAUCACUUAGAAAUUAGGCCUAUAGGAUCUUAACGUUGCAUCUGGAAAUCCUGCCUAUAAGUCUUUGACAUUCCGUAAUCAAGUGCAUAUAGAAAUAAAGUCUAUAGGGACUGUAUAAAAAAACGCUAGGCAAACAGUAAUUCUUUUGAACGUUUAAAAAAAAUCAAUCUGUAGAUGUCAUGCCUAUAGCGUUCAAAAUCGCCUAAUUUGUUAGACGCCUUCAAUAAAAGAAUUUGUCCAAUACUGCCUAUUUUGAGAUCUGAUCAAAUCUUCCUUCUACGCUAUUUAAAUCUAUAGGAAUCUUUUUUUUAAUUCCAAACCUGCAUUUUCCGAGAUCAACCUCUCUUUUCAUGCAUAGUCCGUACUUCAAUGCUUUUCUUGCACCAUUUUUACUUAAAGCAAUUCGGUUAUUCUAUUUCUGAAUUUUACAAAUCCCAAAUUCUUGUUUCAAAUCAUCACAGGUUUUCAAAAAUGCUUUAAGUUUCAACAAACCGGAUCCGAGGGGCUCAAAGUAGAUUUAUUAUCCAACUUUAUGUGUUAAAUUAAUCUAUCCAUUAUCAAUUAUAAACUCAAGACCAAAUCAGCAAUUAAAAGUCAUGCUAAACUAAUUGCUGUUGUGAUUUUGGGGUUCUGUACGAGCAUCUGAAUGUCUAAUUUGUAUACCCUUAUGUGCUACUUGUUUUGGUUGACGCCUUAGUAUUUUUACCUUUGGAACUCCAUAUAUAUGUCUUAUCCUUCUUCCCCUUUUAGGAUUAGAAGUCCGAAUACCCCGGGACUAAUAGGUUGGGACGGGUAUUAGCAUGCAAAAAGUAAACGGGACCAAACACGUUUAAAUACCUUAACGGGAUGGGAAAGGUAGGAUAUGGAGAUGAUGACGAUGCGAAAAUAUCAUAAAGCGACCCCUCUUUGGGAAUAUAUGCGGGAUAUUGUAUCGAAUGAUCCAUAUUAUAGUUAAACCUAGGGAUAAUAUCAUAUAGCGACCCCUCUUUGGGAAUAUUUGCAGGAUAUUUUAUUGAAUGAUCCAUAUUAUAGUUAAACCUAGGAUCCCCCCCCCCCCUUUUACUUUUACUUUUUUUUUUUGUUUAAAUACUUUCUCUAAAAAAUUUCUCUUUUUCUUGUGAUGUUCCUCUUUCAAAAUUGCCCAAUAGCUUUUUAUUCUUUAUAUGCACAUUUUCUUGUCUAUUUCUAUGCUUCUUAAAUUCACAUCUAAGCAAGGCCGGGAACCACACUAGUGGAUCUUGAGGGAUGCCUAACACCUUCCCCUCGAGAUAAUUUAAAUCCUUUACCCAUUCUCCGGUUCUUCUUCUUUUAACUUGAAUAUCUUCUUAGUGUGCUAAUGCACUUAAUCAUUAGGUGGCGGCUCUUCUAAAUUACAAACCCAAUUCCCAAAAAGAAAAGAGUUGUUCGUCCAAAUGUCAUGAAUCCGAUUUCGCCCGAGAAAAGGGGGCAUCGAUUGAGGUCAUUGCCCUACCGAGGUAAAAGAUAAUAGUAAGUUUCAAUAGUAUGAAAUAAAAAAUAUAAAUUAGAAUGGCAAUGAAAUAAGACAGGUUAUACAUGGCACUUUCAAGCGCUAAUCCGAACUCUUGUUUUCAUUCAAAUUCUUCUUAAAAGUGUCCAAGUGCACUAUAGUCACUAGGUGGCGACUCUUCAAACUCCGUAACCCAAUUCCCAAAAGGGAAUAAGAGUUGUUUUGUCCGGGUGCCUAACACCUUCCCCUCGAGAUACUUUCAAGCGCUAAUCCGAACUCUUGUUUUCAUUCAAAUUCUUCUUAAAAGUGUCCAAGUGCACUAUAGUCACUAGGUGGCGACUCUUCAAACUCCGUAACCCAAUUCCCAAAAGGGAAUAAGAGUUGUUUUGUCCAUAAUCUCCUAAACCCGAUUUCUCUUCUUUUAGGAGGACAAAAGGGGCAUCGACAGGCAGUUCAUCUAUUAUCCAGCAGAUGUCUUCGUCACUACCAAGUCAUAUAAUUGCAUGUUGCAGUACUAACAUACUCAUCACAUGGAUGCCAAACUGCCAUUCCGGCUAAUAGCGACAAUACUGAACAUCUAAGUUUAGAACGCUUGCUCACACGAUCAACACCUCAAUGCUCAAGCCCUAGGCAAGAUCCGGCCUCAAGUCCUCCAGCUGGCCCAACAUCAAUCAUAGAAGUUACAUCUCGCCCCUCGAUUGGGGAACCACAAGCCAUCAAGGCACAUCUGGUACUAAGCGCUCGCGUGCGCAUACCAUCGCGUGGAAGGAAUUUCAAGAGUUUUCUUUUUCAAGAUGAAUGUAGGACACACGAUAAGAAUUCAAGAAUGUGAAGUUUUUCUAUAGGUUCUGUAGCCUCUUGAGGAUAGAUACGGAAGUCUACGUACCGAUCCGCGAGACUCUACUAAAUCGGCUUAUGACUCGCGAGGCCUAGUACCCUUUACUGAUACCAACUUGCAACAAACCAAAACCCGGUCAUGAUGGUGCCCAACCCUAAAGCUAGGCAAGCUUGACCAACAAUCGCUCUCAAUUCGACAACAAGUCUAAAAACCGACAAUUUAAAGAAAAAUGUAAUAGUUUUAGAAUAAUAAUCCAAUAUUUAUAGUAAAAUAAUACAGAGAAAUACGUAAGCUGAUAAGACACUCCCACAAGAUCUGGGGUCACAAGUGUAGAGCCUCUAAAACAAACUGGAUAUCAAUGUCUGAAUGAAAAUACACAAGUCUGGAAAUGUAUAUAUAAAUAAAACUGAAAUAGGAAGAGUAGUCAGGUCUUGCGAACGUCAGGAAGCUACCUCAAAAACUCUUAUAAGCUUUGGACACAAAGACUGCUCAGCUAAGCCUCCGGUACACCUGAAUCUUCACAGAAGGUGCAGGAAGUAGGGGUGAGUACUACCAACUUGGUGAGUAAUAAGCAUAGAAAAUGUCUAAAGAUAAGAAAUCCACGAAAUGCCACAAAGCAAAGCUAAAACUAAUAGUAUGACACCUUAACUACGAUCCAACCACAAAUCAAUAUCAAGUAUAUUAGUCAAGUAUAAUGCAAGAAUGCAAUGCAAUGCACAUGAUUCGUUGCGGUGUACAGCGCGAUCCAUUUAACGUCGACGGUACUCACUGGGGGUGUGUACAGACUCCGGAGGGGCUCCUACAUCCCAAGCGCAAUAUCAUCAUAUCUCUAUUGCGGCGUGCAUCCCAAUCCAUACUCAGUGCACAUUAUGCAUAUGAGUCACAUAAAUAAAUUCAAUUAAUUUCCCAGUUUCCAAUUAUUAAGAAUAAUAUGAUUUAGUUAUUUAACUUCAGGAAAAAUGUGACUUACCAUUUCAUAACAGUGAUUAAACACAGGGCUGAGAUCAAUGAUUAUACAAAUCAUGCUAUCACAAUGGUAUUCAUCCUAGACAGAUGCUACAGAUCGGCACAAGGCCCUAAACAUGUCAAUAAGCCCAAAUAUAUUCAAUACAGGGUGCGUAUCAGCAUCCAAUAAUUAUAUUUAGCACUUGGGAUGGACUAAGUCACAAUCCCCAAUCAAAUACAAUCCCGCACCUUCCAUGGGGUGCGAGUCACGCCCUAACAUAGCAUCACAAUGUGAUAAACCGGGUUUAAACCCUUAUGCCAUCAUCUAUACAAACUACUCGCCUCUAGCCGGACGUAGACUGGUCUGUAAUGCCUUUUCCCCUUGUAUCGACCUUCUGGCGUAUCGAAUCAAGUCAAAAUAACAACAAAUACAUAAAUAUGGGUUAAAGAAACUUAAUUCAACCAAUAAUACUCGAAAAGUACAAAAAUUCACGAAGUUGGUAAAACCCGGGCCCACUUCUCGAAAAAUUCCGAAAAUCACAUCAUCGAAUUCUUCGUCAAGCCACAAGUCUGUAUAUAUAAAGUUUGCCAAAAAUGGAGAUCAAAUGGCCUUUCAAAUCUCCAAAAUUUGUUUUCAAAAACCAAGCCAUUGUUCUUCAAAAUUUCAACCUAUUUUCAUGAAUUUGAGUGUUGUUUCUUUAAUAAAAUGGUGUUUCUAAGUCAAAAGACUUACCACCAAUCAAUACCCGUUGAAAACCCUCUUCGAAUCGCCCAAAAAGCUCUUUUGGCGGAGUAAAAAUGGUGGAAAUAUUAAGUGGGUCGCAGAUGAAAUAACCCUUAAAACAUUCUGUCCAGCUGAACGAUUCUUCUUCGCGAACGCGAGGCCCUUCCGCGUUCGCAAACCAAAUUCCACUGGGCAUAUUUUCCUACUUCGCGAACGCGUGGCCCGUCCAGGUUUCCGAUAGACACAACACCAGCUGCCAGAACUUACCCUUCGCACACAUGUUGCCUUAACGCGAACGUGAAGGUGUGGGCUCCUCCAUCUAUACGAAUGCGGCCCCCUCACGCGAACGUAAAGCACCAGGAAAGGUCCUUCCCAAACAAACCCUACGCAAAUGCGUUCGGCCCACACGAACUCAAAGGCCAAUAGACCCCAGGCCUACGCGAAUGCGAGGCACCCCUAUGAACGCGAAGGACAAGAAUGGCCUGCAACAGCUGCUGCAAUUUUUGCAGCACAAACCAACAACCAAACUUCCCGUUAGCCAUCCAAAACCACUCCGAAGCCCUCAUGACCUCAAACAAAGGCAUAGAUACGCUCUGAUACCUCAUUCAAACUUUCUCGAGUCAAAAAAACACUAUCAUAAACAUCAAAAUCAUCGAAUUACCACGGAUACAAGCCUAAGUUAAACUAAAACUUCCAAAACUUUCAUUUGAUAAAAAACCCGACCAAAUGAAGUCCGAAUGAUCUAAAAAUUUGAACACAUCUCCAAAGUCAUCUAACAAAACUACUGAAACUAUCGGAAUUCCAUUUUGACCCUCGGAUAAAAAUAUCACCUAUCAACCGAAAUUCGCCAAAAUUCAAACUUAGCCAAUUCAAGCCUUAUUCUACACCGGAACUCGAAAUUCAAUUAUGAUUGGACUCCUAAGCCUUAAAUCAUCACCCAAAACUAUUCGAAUCAUCAAAAAUUCAUUUCAAGCCAUCUAACUCACAAGUCAACAUCCAGUUGACUUUUCCAAACUAACCUUCUCCUAAAGGGUCUAAUUGUCUCAUUUCUAACCGAACUCUAUUCGAAUUGUUUCAAAUUCACCAAACACAUAUAAUGAAACAUAUAGAAGCAUAGAAUAGGGAAAACUGGGCGGAGAUAUAUGAGACGACGGGUCGGGUCGUUACACAGGCACAAGUUCACUACAAUGUCAAUUGAUUACUUUACCAAAUGGGUUGAAGCAGCAUCAUAUAAAGUAGUCACCAAGAAAGUAGUAACAGAUUUCGUCUGUGAUCGUGUUGUUUUUCGGUUCGGGAUUCCAGAAUCAAUCAUCACCGACAAUGGUUCCAAUAUACACAACAACCUGAUGAAGGCAAUAUGUGAAACAUUCAAGAUUAAACACAAGAACUCUAUAGCUUACAGACCUCAGAUGAACGUAGACUUAUAAGCAGCCAAUAAGAACAUCAAGAAGAUACUAAGGAAGAUGAUCGAAAAGCACAAAUAAUGGCAUGAGAAGUUGUCGUUCACCUUAUUGGGAUACCGCACAAUGGUCCGCGUAUCAACUGGGGCCACUCCUUACAUGCUGGUUUAUGGUACAGAAGCGGUCAUUCCCAUCGAGGUAGAAAUUCCUCCUUGAGUGUCAUACAAGAAGCAAGAUGAUGCAGAAUAGGUCAGAAGUCGUUGCAAGCAGUUAGCCCUCAUCGACGCGAAGAGAAUGAAUGUUGUCUGUCACGGUCAAUUAUAUCAGAACAGAAUUUCCAGAGCCUUCAACAAAAGAUUUAAGCCAAGAAAGUUCACGCCAGGACAGCUGGUAUUGAAGAAAAUAUUUCCGCAUCAAGAAGAAGCCAAAUGGAAAUUCUCUCCCAAUUGGUAAGGUCCGUACAUGGUUCAUCGGGUUCUACCUGGAGGAGCCCUUAUCAUCGCAGAGAUGGACAAGGAAAUCUGGCUGAAGCCUAUCAACUCAGAUGCAGUGAAAAGAUACUACAUUUGAUCAUACGUUUUCUUUUCUUCAUGAUGUAACUUGAACUACGCCUGACCUGAUUCCCGUUUAAUAGGGGAUACGUAAGCAUCCCUAUGGGUUCGGUCACAUUUUAAUAAAAAAUCCAUCUCCCCCCCCCCAAAACUGAAGCUGGGGCAGAAUUUUGAGGAGGACCCUCAAAAUUCUGAAGUCAGCUUGUAAUAUCUUCAUCAGCGCCGACCCAGUAAACUGAGGCAGAAUUUUGAGGAGUACCCUCAAAAUUCUGGAGCAAGCAAGGUCGUCACGCCUUGAACCAUGUCGCAGUUGUUGGUUCAUCCAAAAUAAAAUCUUUUUUUACAUAUAUACGUAUUUGCAUUUACUAAGUCACGCAAAAAUAUCAUUUGCAUCACCAUCAUUUAGCAACAGUAUCCCCGUGAUACGCGACGCAAAGAGCUGGAGGAUACGAACUAACCUCCCCUCUAAAAAACUCAGAAUGUUUCUUUGGAUGCAGGAAUUCAGGCUACGAUUCAAAGUAUAUUUGCUCUAUAGAAUCAAAACCCUCCAGAUGGUCACUGUUAACACCCAACACUCCCCAGCAGUCCUGAUAUCGCAAACCAUCUACCAGCUAAGAAAACUUACUACUAUUCGGUCUUUUACAUUCCUACAUUGCAUAAGGAUAUUAUCUGCCUUUUGAGACUAAGAUCUAUCUCCAUCUAAUUGCAUAAGGAUGUUAUCUGCCUUUCGAGACUAAGAUCUAUCUCCAUCUGAAUUUUGCAUAAGGCUACUCUCUGUCUUCCGAGGUUAAGCUCUACCUCCAUAUUGCAUAAGGCUAUUAUCUGCCCUUCAAGGCUAAGAUCUCUGUCCAUCUGCAUUUUGCAUAAGGCUAUUCUCUGCCUUCCGAGGAUAAGUUCUACCUCCAUAUUGUAUAAGGCUAUUAUAUGCCUUUCGAGACUAAGCUCUGUCUCCAUAUGCAUUUUGCAUAAGGCUACUCUUUGACUUUUGAGGUUAAACUCUACCUGCAUAUUGCAUAAGGCUAUUAUCUUCCUUUCGAGACUAAGCUCUGUCUCCAUCUGCAUGUUGCAUAAGGCUAUUCUCUGCCAUUCAAGGUUAAGCUUUACCUUCAUCCUGCAUAAGGCUAUUCAUCUGCCUUUCUAUACUAAGCUCUAUCUCCAUCUGCAUCGCAUGAGACUACCUAUCUGCCUUCCGAGACUAAGCAUUGUCUCCGCCCUGCAUGGCUGAAAUAUCGCCGCUUUAUUUUUUCGACUGGAUAAAACAUCACCACCUGCAUUUUAAAUUCUCAUUUGGCUUAAAUAUCGCCACCUGCGUUUUAAAUUCUCGCUCUGACUGAAAGAUCACCACCCUUUGCAUUUAUCUGGCUGAAAGAUCGCCACCCUUCGCAUUCAUUUGGCUCAAAGAUUGCCACCUUCUCAUGAUCUCAAAGAUCGCCAACUCGUUCAAAGGCGUCAUAGUUCGGAGGCACCAUCUGCAUAGCCCGAGAACACCAUUUCAUGGCCUGGGAACCCUUACUUUUAUGCUGUUCAUGGACCAUGACAUCAUAGUCUGAGGACAUCAUCCUAAUCGUGACAACAUUCAUGGUCCAACGGGAACUUGCAUCAUGUUUAAAUUAUGCAAUAUAUACGCACAUUACCCAUCUGCAGGUACUCGGGCUGGCACAUGGCCGUCUCAGCAUGAGCAAUCCCACUCCAGUUCUCCCCAGCCUAUCCGAUUCCAAGCACCCUUUCAAAUCUAACCAUCGCUUCCGUCUUUUCGAGUUUCCAUCGGCAUAUUCCGUCAAUAGUUCCCGAACUACAUAUGGCAUGAUUCUUGUAAAACCAGGGAUAUGUUGGCAGCUCAGAAACCAGAGCGCUGUCAAAAUCCUAUUACAAUCGCCAUUUUCGGUCAAAAUUGGCCAUCUUAUCUUUACCCGACAACUCUUUCAUCCUCCCCCGGUAAAGAGGGGCAGCUGUUGAUACCCAAUUCUUCCCUAUAUAUUUUAUACUCAAAAUACUUUCAAAAUAGCAUGUUUAUGCAUAUAUAAGUAUCCUCAAAGGUUUUGGUAUUUUUCCAAAAUUUUUAAAACCAAUUUAUGGCCUAUUUUUACACUAUAAAAUCCAAUAAUUUAUUUUAUUCUCACAUUUAUGCAAAAAUAUAAUUUACAUGCUUUUUUACAUAAUUUUACAAGUCCAUUUGGUAUUUUUAAAUUAAAAUUGCAUGAAAUUACAAUUUUAGCCUAUUUCUCGAUUUAAUAGCUUUUUUAAUCACAAAUUCAUUCCUAAUAUUUUAAAAUAAUACUUAUAUAUUUUUUAUUAAAUUAGUAUUUUUAAUUUGAUUUUAAACAGCUUUUACUAUUUUUAUAAAUUCAAAAUAGGAAAUGUGGCUAUUUCAAUUGUAGCCCAUUGUACUUUCAAUUACAGCCUAAUUUCAACCCCAAUCCCAGCCCCUAAUUAAAAGACCCAAUUUCAUUUUCUACCCAACCCAAACCCAAUUAAAUAAACCCGGCCCACGUACCCCUUAAUCUCGACCGUUGAUCAUUUAGAUCAACGGUCCACAUUUGCCCCUUCAUUUUUUAAUCCAAUCGAACCCCUAACCCUAAUCACUUACACAAAAUAGCCGCCUUUGAAUCCCUUCAUUCUCUCAAACUCCCUCAACUCCUCUCCGAAACCCUAGCUCCUUCCCACCGAUUUCCGCCUUAUGUCACUGAAAACCAUGGCAUCUUAGUCCAUGGGUGGCAUGUGCUCACCCCCACGUGCCCUAAUACUCCAUUUACUAGAAAAUCCAAGGUCCGACCUUGAGGACCCUGGCUCAGAGGUCCUCCGAUUAAGGUUCUACGGCCAUUUCCGGCUCGUCUCCGGUGCGUCUUAGCCCUGGGAGUUCAUCUCCGACUCCGGACCAUCUCUUUCCAGCCCUUUCUCAUUUUUCUAGGGUUUCUUUGAAACCCUAAGCCAUUUUCAAGGUUUUCCUAAUUUCUAUAAGAUUUACUUUAGAUCCGUGCUAUUUCUGAUAUUUUCAAAGUGUUUCUCACAUCAUUUCAAGUUUUGCUUUCUAAAUUGUUCGUCUUCUCGAACCCAGGGUUUCUUGGAUUUUUUUACUUGUUAUACUGCAAUCUCUAACUAUAUUUGCUAUAAUUCCUAAAUGUUCUCACUAUGGUUUCUCUGUAUUUUCUUUACUGUAUUUUCCUCCUAGGAUUUCUAGUGAUUUUCUUUACUUUGUUUGCUUUCAUGAAAUGUCUGUGUUCUUUGGGUUUUCCUGAAUUUAUUUUGCCUAAUUUUCGAUGCUUUCGUCUUUGCAUUUAAGCUGUGGGGGAAACCCUAGAUUUUGGGGGUUUUCAACCAUUUGUGUACGAUUGGUCUGCUUCUUGUUUGAUCUCAAAAAUCCUAAUCUCUAAAUUCAUCUCAUGUUCUCCGAUUCUUGCUAAGCUUUGCAAGACCUUCUGAUUCCUCUCACAGCUGUGUUCUUCUACUUUUGAUUGCAAGACUACUUUGCUCUGUUUAAUUCUAGCCUCUGCAUGUUUAAGUUUAUGCAUCCUUUAUAGUCAUACCUUUUCCUAUCAAAAUAACCCUAAUUUUGGAGAUUGAUUUCAGACCACCAUUAUGUGAGCCUAUUCGAAUUUUUCCUUGUCUAAUUUGGACCAAUUUUCUGACUUAAUUCAUUAUUAAGUUCGAAUAUUUAAUUCCUUAAUUUACUGUGCUCUACUUGAUUUUAUUCUUGCCUUAUUUAUCUAAACCGUGUAUUUUCAAAAACUUCUCUUAUGUAUUUACCCUUUACUACACAAUGUGUUCUUGAUUUGCUUUCCUUAAAUAAAAACUGUGGCCUUUCCUAUUCAAAUUUGAAUUCCUUAAUUAAAGGAGUUCCCUUCCCCUGAUUGAUUAUGAUUGAUACGGAACUAUUUCUUGCCUUGUUUACCUGCCUGUUUUCAACUAUAAAUACCUCACUCCUUUUUUUUAAAAGAUACGAACAACAGAGUUUUCAAAACACACACACACACUAAAAGAUGUCUUUUCUUUACUAUUACUUGUGCUACUAUUCUGGAUAGCCGACUGAAAGCUAAGGCUAGACUUUGGAAUCUCCCUUGCUUUCCUCAAGUGUUUGCUAAAGAUUCUCUGGCUGUUUUCUUGCUUUGUUUGUUCUGCUGUUUGAAAGUUGCGAGUGGUAUAUCUCCAUAAGUUAAACAUUCUCCACAACUAUGUGUUUACUUCUCCUUGUUACAUGUCCCUCACUAUAUGUUUAGCUUUUUUGCAUUAUGUAAUCAUGUUUUAGUCUGUUAUGUUCUUUCUUCAUGUUUCUGCACCUUUAAAUUCUGUUAUGCUUUCUUUUUCCUGAUGUUUUUCUAUACAUACUUUUUCAUGUGAACCCCUUCCCUUUGACCCCUUUAUGUGUGAGUACUGUUCUAGGUUAAUGUAGCAUCCCAUUGCUAUCCAUGACCUGGGACCAGGUUCUCUUGGACCUUUACUCAAAUCAGUCCCAUUCUCUUCUCCUCCUUUAUGUGUUGAGCCUUGACUAGGGUCUGGAAGUGUCUUAAUCACCACCCAGGCCCAUGUCUGACUUCUAAAGUCUAAUCGUUAUAUGUUUAAUCCAAAUGGAGGGUCAGGGGUGUGCCAGUCUUACCCAUGGCUGGGUAUGACCACCCUUUGCUUUGGUUUNNNNNNNNNNNNNNNNNNNNNNNNNNNNNNNNNNNNNNNNNNNNNNNNNNNNNNNNNNNNNNNNNNNNNNNNNNNNNNNNNNNNNNNNNNNNNNNNNNNNNNNNNNNNNNNNNNNNNNNNNNNNNNNNNNNNNNNNNNNNNNNNNNNNNNNNNNNNNNNNNNNNNNNNNNNNNNNNNNNNNNNNNNNNNNNNNNNNNNNNNNNNNNNNNNNNNNNNNNNNNNNNNNNNNNNNNNNNNNNNNNNNNNNNNNNNNNNNNNNNNNNNNNNNNNNNNNNNNNNNNNNNNNNNNNNNNNNNNNNNNNNNNNNNNNNNNNNNNNNNNNNNNNNNNNNNNNNNNNNNNNNNNNNNNNNNNNNNNNNNNNNNNNNNNNNNNNNNNNNNNNNNNNNNNNNNNNNNNNNNNNNNNNNNNNNNNNNNNNNNNNNNNNNNNNNNNNNNNNNNNNNNNNNNNNNNNNNNNNNNNNNNNNNNNNNNNNNNNNNNNNNNNNNNNNNNNNNNNNNNNNNNNNNNNNNNNNNNNNNNNNNNNNNNNNNNNNNNNNNNNNNNNNNNNNNNNNNNNNNNNNNNNNNNNNNNNNNNNNNNNNNNNNNNNNNNNNNNNNNNNNNNNNNNNNNNNNNNNNNNNNNNNNNNNNNNNNNNNNNNNNNNNNNNNNNNNNNNNNNNNNNNNNNNNNNNNNNNNNNNNNNNNNNNNNNNNNNNNNNNNNNNNNNNNNNNNNNNNNNNNNNNNNNNNNNNNNNNNNNNNNNNNNNNNNNNNNNNNNNNNNNNNNNNNNNNNNNNNNNNNNNNNNNNNNNNNNNNNNNNNNNNNNNNNNNNNNNNNNNNNNNNNNNNNNNNNNNNNNNNNNNNNNNNNNNNNNNNNNNNNNNNNNNNNNNNNNNNNNNNNNNNNNNNNNNNNNNNNNNNNNNNNNNNNNNNNNNNNNNNNNNNNNNNNNNNNNNNNNNNNNNNNNNNNNNNNNNNNNNNNNNNNNNNNNNNNNNNNNNNNNNNNNNNNNNNNNNNNNNNNNNNNNNNNNNNNNNNNNNNNNNNNNNNNNNNNNNNNNNNNNNNNNNNNNNNNNNNNNNNNNNNNNNNNNNNNNNNNNNNNNNNNNNNNNNNNNNNNNNNNNNNNNNNNNNNNNNNNNNNNNNNNNNNNNNNNNNNNNNNNNNNNNNNNNNNNNNNNNNNNNNNNNNNNNNNNNNNNNNNNNNNNNNNNNNNNNNNNNNNNNNNNNNNNNNNNNNNNNNNNNNNNNNNNNNNNNNNNNNNNNNNNNNNNNNNNNNNNNNNNNNNNNNNNNNNNNNNNNNNNNNNNNNNNNNNNNNNNNNNNNNNNNNNNNNNNNNNNNNNNNNNNNNNNNNNNNNNNNNNNNNNNNNNNNNNNNNNNNNNNNNNNNNNNNNNNNNNNNNNNNNNNNNNNNNNNNNNNNNNNNNNNNNNNNNNNNNNNNNNNNNNNNNNNNNNNNNNNNNNNNNNNNNNNNNNNNNNNNNNNNNNNNNNNNNNNNNNNNNNNNNNNNNNNNNNNNNNNNNNNNNNNNNNNNNNNNNNNNNNNNNNNNNNNNNNNNNNNNNNNNNNNNNNNNNNNNNNNNNNNNNNNNNNNNNNNNNNNNNNNNNNNNNNNNNNNNNNNNNNNNNNNNNNNNNNNNNNNNNNNNNNNNNNNNNNNNNNNNNNNNNNNNNNNNNNNNNNNNNNNNNNNNNNNNNNNNNNNNNNNNNNNNNNNNNNNNNNNNNNNNNNNNNNNNNNNNNNNNNNNNNNNNNNNNNNNNNNNNNNNNNNNNNNNNNNNNNNNNNNNNNNNNNNNNNNNNNNNNNNNNNNNNNNNNNNNNNNNNNNNNNNNNNNNNNNNNNNNNGCUAGUAGUUUUAAUUGACGCCCUAGUAUUUUAUCCCUUUCAAACUCCAUAUAUGCCUAUAUCCCGUUUAUUCCCUUUUAGGAUUAGAAGUCCAAAUACCCUGAGACUGAUAGGUCGGGACGAGUAUUAGCAUGCAAUAAGUAAACGAGACUAAUCGCAUUUAUAUACCUUAACGGGGUGGGAAGGGUAGAAUAUGGAGAUGAUGACGGUGCGCUAAUAUCUCGUGUGAGAAUGAUUUCUGGGUAUUGCGCUGAAUGAUCCAUAUUAUAGUUAAACCUAGGACCUUUUUCUUCGUUUUUCCUUUAUUUAAAUUAACAUUUUUUUUUCAAACUAAGCUCUCUUUUCACUUGUGCCUUUCUUCUUUCAAAAUUGUCAGCUUGUUUAUAUUUCUUAUGUGCAAACUUUGCUUGUCUACUCCUACUCUUCUUAAAGUCUCAACUAAGCAAGGCCGGGAACCACACUAGUGGUUCUUGAGGGGUACCUAACACCUUCCCCUCGAGAUAAUCUCAAGCCCUUACCCGAACUUUAGUUUUCUUUCAAAUCCUUAUUCUUUUCUCUAAAAGUAUUCUAAUACACUAUAAUCAUUAGGUGGCGACUCUCCAAACUCCAUAGCCCAAAUACCCCAAAAGGGGGAUAAAAGAGUCAUUCCACCCAUAAUAUCGUAAACCCGAUUUUUCCUUAGAAAAAAGGGGGCGGCGACAUUGUGUUUAUGCAUCUAACAAAGAUUUACUAAAAUUAUAGAUAGGGAAUUGUUUACCUUGGUCUUCCUGGACUAAAACAACACUUACCGCAACUUCUGAUACUGCUAGAUAGAUAAGUUAUUUUUCCCUUGCCUUCGGCUUUGCCAACAACGGUGGAUUUGACAAAUAUGCUUUAAAAUUUCUAAGUGCUUGUUGAUAGUCUUCGUUCCACUCAAAAUGAUCAUGCUUUUUAAGUGCUGCGAAGAAUUUGAAACACUUUUAUGAAGAUUUAGAAAUGAAUCUUCCCAAGGCUGCAAUCCUUCCCGUAAGUUUUUGAACUUCUUUUUAAUUUGAUAGCACAUCAGGAAUUUCCUCUAUUGCUUUGAUCUGAGAAGGGUAUACUUCAAUGUCACAGUUAGAAACAAGAAAACCUAAAAACUUACCUGAUGCGACUCCAAACGCACAUUUUUCUGGAUUAAGCUGCAUAUUAAAUUUUCGCAAAAUUUGAAAUGUUUCAGACAAAUGAGAUAUAUGUUCAUUUGAAUGCUGAGUUUUGACGAACAUAUCAUCUAUGUAUACCUCAAUUGUUUUCCAGAAUAUUCUUGGAACAUUUUAGUAACCAACCUUUGAUAGGUUGCUCCUGCAUUCUUUAGACCAAAGGGCAUUACAUUAUAACAGUAAGUCCGCCUGUCUGUUAUGAAGGAAGUUUUCUCCUCAUCAUCAGGGUCCAUUUUGAUUUGAUUAUAACCUGAAUAUGCAUCUAAAAACUUAGUAGCUCAUGCCCUGCAGUAGCAUCGAUUAUUUGAUCUAUAUGCGGUAGAGGAAAAGAAUCAUUUGGACAAGCUUUAUUAAGAUCUGUAUAAUCCACACAGACUCGCCACUUACAAUUCUUUUUAGGCACCACAACGGUAUUAGCUAAGCAGUUAGGAUAUUUUACCGCGCGGAUAGACACAAAUUUUAAUAAUUUCUUAAUCUCAUCUUGAAUCACUUGAUUUUUUAAAGCUCAUUGCUUUCUCUUCUUUUGUUUGAUUGGUGUGAAUACUGGGUCUUCAUUUAACUUAUAGGUCAUUAUCUCCGGUGGUAUACCUGUCAUAUCAGCAUGGGACCAAGCAAAACAGUCCACGUUAGCUUUUAAAAAUUCAAUUAUCAUAUCUCUCAUAUCUGGGCUCAGGUUUGCUCCAACAUACACCUCCCGCUCGGGCCAUUGUUCAAAUAAUAUAACAGCUUCCAGUUCUUCAAUUGUUGUUUUGAUUUUAUCAUUCUCCUCUGGCUCUUGAAUUGUGUCAGGUCUCGAGUCUAUGUCUGCUCGUUCCUAUUUAGUUGAGGUUUGAACUGUGAUGUCGUCAACUGCUCUCUGUGGUUGCUAUUUCUCUUAUGUCACAAAAUUAAUAUUCAUGGUUGCAUGUUGAUCUCCACGAAUUUGACAAAUUCCUCAAGUUGAUGAGAAAUUAAUAACUUGGUGUAAAGUUGAUGGAACAACAUCCAUUUCAUGGAUUCACGGUCUCCCCGGGAUCAUGUUAUAAGCCAUUUCUAUAUCUACUAAUUGAAAUUUAAUUUCUUUAGUAACACCUUCUGCAAAAAUUGUUAGUAUUACCUCUCCUUUUUUUACUACGCUAGAAUUAUCGAAUCCAGACAAGGUAUGCGCCUUUGGAAUCAUUUUUCCUUCAGCUUGCAUUUCACGCAAUGCCCUCAGUAGGAUAAUAUUUACAGAACUUCCUGGAUCAAUCAAAUCUCAUUUCACAUUAGUAUCAUAUACAAGUAAAGAUAUUACCAGUGCAUCAUUAUGUGGAGAUAAUACACCAUAUGCAUCUGCAUCAUCGAAGGUAAUACUUUCUUCCUGCUUGAUUGAGCGAAACAGGCAAGAAUCUCCUUGCUUGAUUUUGAAGAUAUCCUCCACUAUUUUAUCUACCUUUUGGGCUCCCGAAUGUGCUUUAAUGAAAUAAUCUUCAAUCUCAGCAAAAGAGUUUAUUAAAUUUUUGGGUAAGAGAGAAUACCAAGUUAAUGCCCCUUUGGUGAGUGUUUCACCAAUUUUUUUGACCAAGACUGAUUCAAUCUCCUAUUUUGUCAAAUUAUUGCCCUUCACGCCAGUUAUGAAUGCCAUCAUGUGGUCUCGUGAGUCCGUUGUUCCAUCAUACUUUGGGACGUCAGGCAUUUUGAAUUUCUUUGGAAUUGGGAGGUGGCCGGCACUUGACUUCCACGAAUGUUGUGAGUAUUUAUCCAUAUCCACUCCUUUGAUUGCAGGUAAAACUCCAGGGAUUUGCUCUAUGCGGUCGUUUUGUUCCUUGAGCUAUUUCCGCAAGGUUAGUACUAAAUUUUGCAAAUGAAAAUUAGUUGAAUUACCUGGUUCUCCCUCCUGUGAUUCACUGGGGGUUCCUCCAUUUCCAGAAUUAACAAGCCCAGAACGGGGAUUUGACAACUAUGAUUUUAACAUGUUUUAUACCCAUUCUUGCCUAAGCUUUUGGGUGAAUUGCCAUAAUUUAAUGCCAAAAUGCUUACAAGUUGCGGUUGAUUGCAGGUUUGAGUGACAAGAUGAUGAAUGUCAAAGAUCGACUUGAAACGGAGUGAAAUCUGCCAAGCGUUAAAUUCAAGUGAAGUGGGGAACAAAGAGACCCAGCGUGGACCGCACUGCUUUGCCACGCGGACGUGCUAGAAGUUCAGAGACUGGGCACUCCAAUAUGUUGUUAUUGGUUGUAGGUGUAGGUGGUGCAACAGGUAACCGACAGACUACAGCCUGAAAAGCUUUGUUAACUCGUGCAUCAAUUACUUUUUGUAAAGCCUCAUCUUCCCCUUCAAAAUGUUCAAAUUGUUCCUAUUCAUCUUCACGAAACUCAGGGGUGCCUUCACGAGAUUGCCGUGGUGAACCGUGUGGAGAGGGUAUCGGGUGAUUGUUUUGUAAUUUUCCCUGAUCUUGCUAGGUUUGAUCUACCUGAUUUCCUAGAGUGUUGUCAUUAUUGUUUGCCAUAGUAGAUGGAAAUUGUUUGCCAUAGUAGAGUGUUGUCAUUAUUUUUUGCCAUAGUAACGGAACCAAUUUGUUUAACCAAAAAAUAGGACCUUGGUCAAAGCUAGAAAUUUAUGAAAACUCGGGCUACUGAUAAUCAGUAGAAAAUAUUAAGAAAGACUUUAAGAAUAAGAUAGUAAGAAAGCAUGUAAAUCAAGUAUAUUCCAAUAAUUCUUUGUGUCGUACAAUUGUUGGUUCUUUCCCCUUUUAUAGCCUUUUUGAGACUAUGAGCCUUGCCUUAAGCUAUAUGAGGCAAUGAUGAGUAAUAAAUGCCAUUUAAUAGUAUGUUACAGAAUCAAACAUUAAACAAAUAUUCUCUAACGUUUCUAGUAUUUAAUAUAAAUUAAAUUCUGUAUUUGGUCUCUCAUCGGCUGUAAGGUGCAUCUCCUUUGUUCUUUGUGCAAUUUUGAAUAGGUACGGGCUCUGCAUCUCCUGUUUAAUCGCCUAUGCCUUCUCCACUAUCUUUGCUCACAUCUGUUAUUGCUCGUAUCUCUUAGGUAACUUUAUUUCUUUGACUAUUUUAUUGAUCCACGUGUCCUGACAUGUCAUCUCCAAUAUAUAAAUUCGAUUUUGGGUUCCAAAAAAAACAACUAAAGUUAAAUGAUAAUUUCUUUUACAUCAAUGGUAGAUACUAGUUAUGACAUGAAUUUAAAGACACCAAAAUUCCCUUCUUUAGGAUAAAAAAACAAGUUAUGUUAAAGGAAAUUCAAUUCAAGAAAAUUGCGUAUGACAGGGAGAUUUUUCUGAGUAUUUUAAAAGAAAAAUUCACAGGUAACUCAAUUUACAAUAUACUGAGUAUUUCACCAAGUAGUGAAAUCUGACCACAACUAGAUUAUCCAACUUAUAGAAUUGCACAAUCUGCCUAUACAAAUGUGCAUUUCCUAUUGAUAUAUCGAAUUGGGGGUUCGUAAUUUCUUCUUUUUUCAUCUUUCAUACUUUUCUUUUAUGAAAAAUGUUUACAAGUGGUAGAUUUACUUCUUUCUUUUCUUGUUUUGUUUAACCAUCUGAUAUAUCUGUAACUCUUUAAUCCGAUUAAUUCAGAUUCGUGUCACUUAGCUAAAGUGCAGGAGUUGUACUAUCAAACCUUCAACUGAGGCAUCCAAGUUAAUCAUGGGGCCUCAGCUUUUUUUUUUUUAAAAUCUUUUCUUUUGUCUCAUUGUAAUGAAGAGGUAUAUACACCACCAAUACAAUUGGUCCUAUUUGAUAUACCAGCCAGGCACAAGUGCGUGAGCUAUUGCAUGGCCAAGAUUUUUUAGAUGUGGAUUUUGCAAUAAUCCACACUCAGACGUGGCAACUCUGGAUUGCUGUAAGAGAAGAAAUCAACAUUGAGUUAGAUUUUUGAGGCAUAAUUAUGUAUCUAAAAUAUCUAGUCAUGUUGAACAAAUGGACUAGACUACAAAUAAAAAAUUGUCAUUCACCAACGAGGAAACAGAUAACGAUAUUUUAGGAUAAAGACUGGAGUCAUUUAAAUACUGUUGGUGCAAGACCAUGAAACUCAAGCCAUAAACCAACUCUUACUUCUGUGUAGUAGCUGGACUUAGAGUUUUUUCAUCUUCCUUCUACAAUGGCAGCUGCUACAAUGGCUCUCUCUUCCUCUUCUUUUCUUGGAAUGGCAGUUAAACUCUCACCAUCUUCCUCUGAAAUCACUGGAAAUAGGAAAGUCACCAUGAGGAAGACUGCUCGCAAAGCCAAGCCUGUCUCUUCUCGUAGCCCAUGGUAUGGUCCUGACCGUGUCAAGUACUUGGGUCCAUUCUCUGGUGAGUCCCCAAGCUAUUUGACUGGUGAGUUCCCUGGUGAUUACGGUUGGGAUACUGCUUGACUUUUAGCUGAUCCAGUAACUUUUGUCAAGAAUCAUGAGUUGGAGGUGAUUCACUGCAGAUGGGCCAUGCUUGGAGCUCUUGGUUGUGUCUUUCCAGAACUCUUGGCCAGUAACGGUGUCAAGUUCGGUGAGGCCGUAUUAUUCAAGGUUGGAUCCCAAAUUUUACGUGAGGGUGGACUUGACUACUUGGGCAACCCAAGUUUGGUCCAUGCACAACGUAUCUUGGCCAUUUGGGCUUGCCAAGUUGUAUUGAUGGGAGCCGUUGAGGGUUACCGUGUUGCUGGUGGGCCUCUUGGUGAGGUUGUCGAUCCACUCUACCCCGGUGGCAGCUUUGACCCAUUGGGUCUUGCUGAAGACCCAAGAGGCUUUUGCUGAACUUAAAGUAAAAGAGAUCAAGAAUGGUAGACUUGCUAUGUUUGGAUUCUUCGUUCAAGCUAUCGUCAAUGGAAAGGGUCCAUUAGAGAACUAGCCGACCACCUUGCUGACCCAGUUAACAAUAACGUCUGGUCCUACGCCACCAAUUUUGUCACCGGAAAGUGAAGUUCUUAACAUAUAGUUUGUUCAAUUAGCUGAUUGUUUGAUGAUCUUGUAAAGCUAUUGUGAAUUACAGGAAAUCAUAUAUGAAUUUGUUUGGUCUCCAAUAAUUGUGUUGUUUUCAGUUACAUUUUCCGUUCUUUUGAUAAAUCAAAUGUAUACAAGUUAAAGGGGCUAAAAAGGGCUUCCACUAGCUAUAAAAU